ACCUGGGGGGUGGGGAGACUUCAAGGGGUUCCAAUACUUUUCUCUAUCAUUUUUAAGAAAAAAAAUGAGUUAUUUGGUAGGUAAAGCAAGGUUUGAGCUUGACCUGGAAUUUUCUUUGGAAUUGGGUUUAGGCCUAACUUGACUCAGCCGAUGAGCACCUCUAUCAUAAACAAGUUUAUUUAGUUCAAAUGAAUGAACAUGAAUGCAUGUAAUUUUAAAUAAACAAACAUGAAUUAAACACAAAUAAGAUUAAAAAUUUAAAUAAAAACAUAAAUUUGUUUAUAAACAUAGAGGAUUAAAAUUUUAAAUAAACUAAUCUUAAAUAAACUAAUUUAUGUUUCUAUUUAUUCAUUUGAGUAAACCUUGACCAUUCACGGUUGGACCUAAUACACGAACCUUAGAAAAAAAAAUUGUUUAUAGAUGUCAAGAGUGAAGCUUUACCUAAAUGUCAAAAGUUUUAAAAGUCUCUCAAAUAAAUGUUUGAAAACAAUUCUAGUUAUAAAGAUAUUAAUGGUUUGUUAAAAAGAAUUAUGUUAUGGAUAAUGGUGAUAAUGAACAAAAGUUCAUUACGUUUAUGAAAGGAAAAGGGAAUCAUUCAAUAUUAUAGGAAAAUGUUAAGAGAGAACCCCAUAACUACUUGUAUAUAUGUUCCACCAACGUAUGCUUUCUAAAAUAUCCAAACAGUGAAGCUCCAUGAACCUUGUCAUAAUUUUGGAUUAAUUUCACUUUUUCUACUUUGCUAAAGUAAUAUCGAGUGAAACAUUUGCUACGGAAUACUUCUUGGAGAUGACACUUUACAUGGCAAUCUUGUUCUAUAAGUGAGUUAUUUCAUGAUAGUAUUAUUCUUAGAUGAAGUUGCUCUAAACAAUUAUUAUUCUUGAGCAAACAACUAUUUAGAAGAAGACUUGUUUUGGAAAAAAUUGUUCUAAACAUAGUUGUUCUUGGUAGAGGUUCUAAACAUCAACUAUUUUAAAUAUAAUAGGUUUUUGGUUGAGGCUUCUAUCAUGUUCAUCAAUUCUUGAAUAAAGGUAAGAAUAAGAGUAUUUUGAUUUUUAGUAGAUUAUCCAUGUCUUCUAAUAAGUUUAGCGUUGAAGAUUUUAGUCAUCUAAUGCUAUCACUCCUUCAGAACAAAAUUGUCAAAAUGUAAAGGGUUUUUGGUUUAGAGAGAAAAAGUUGCAAACAAGGAAAACAUAAUGUACCAAGACAUCACAAAGAAAGAUUGAAGCAAACCAACAACUAGUGGUUCGUAAGGUGGAGAAUUGUUGAAGUAGACUACUUGUGGAUAAGAAUAAACUUGAGAAAAGGAACAUGUUGAUAGAACUUUAAAAAGUUUUUAAUGGAAUAUGAAUUGCUAAAAUGCUAAAAUCCCCUUACAAGUUGUGAAGGGCUUUUAAUUAUAGAUGUAAAAAUAAUAGUUAUAUAGUUAUACAUUAAAUAAGAUAAAGAGAAAGAUUUUCAAUUACAAAAGACAUUAAUAUGUUUUAUUAAUAAAGUUUAACCACCUUUUGAUAAUAACUGCAUAGUAAACAAAAGUUCACCACAAUUCCAAAGACAAGGAAAAUCACUUGAUGCUACAUGAAGGGAAAUCACUUGGUUCACACUAAUCUCUAAACUUGAUAAAAUUUUCUAUUUUUGGUCUAUAUGAUGAUGUGGCACUUUGAGAUUGUGUCAUGUCAUUAGUUAUAUUUUAGAAAAAAUAUAAAUUUUGAUGUAAUGAUGUGACAUAAUAUAAGUGUAACACCCUACGCUUGAACUGGUUGUCGGAUUCGGGUAUGGAUCAUUAUAGGUUGACCGGAUUCGAAAAACACACCUAUGUACUUUUCUUUAAAGAAAAGCUCAUUAUCCUUAUGGUGGGUACCUCCUUCAUCAGAGUGGUAUUCCUUUAGUUCAAGACCAUUUUUGUAACAACCCUAACCCGUAUCUGUCUCCAGAAUAAGGUUAUGAAGCAUUAUCAAACUUUUCACAUAAACAAUCAUACAUUUUCAUAUUCAUUUCUCAUAUCCAAGCAAUAGUCAUUCAAAUUCAAUCAUAUAGUCCCUAACACAAGCCCUCAAGGCCCAAAAAAAGCAUUAAAAACAAAUUGAGACUAAAUUGAAAACUCAUAGAAGUUUUGGAAAAACAUUGAAAAUUUACAAAGUGCUGGGGACACAUGCCCGUGUGGCCAGGUCAUGUGUCUCACACAGUCAAGAGACACGUCCAUGACUCAGUCCAUGUGGGCAUUCGAAAUGGGAUCGCAUGGCCGUAUCCUAGCUAGUGUCCAACCCCAUGUAACUCACUGACUUGGGUCACACGGCCAACCACACGCCUGUUUGACUAGCCCGUGUAGCUCAUUGACUUACUUUCAUUAGAAAUUUUAGGGGACACACGGUCGUGUCUCCUGACCGUGUGUCACACAGGCCUGCGUUUCUGCCCGUGUGGACAAAAAUAAGCUAUUUUCUAAGCCAGAUUUCUCACCCAAAUAGGUACCAACCUAAGCUCAAUAAUGCAUAUACAACCAUGGCAUAAAUAAGCAUUCAAAACUAACCAAUACCAAGUUUAUAACAUGUAAUAUCCACACAUACAACAUGAUAUCCAUAAGCACAUUCAUUUGACCACUUUAAAGCAUACCAAAUAUACUUCCAAAGUCUAGUUAAAUGGUUAAUUACAUAUAUGAGACAUUGAACCUAAAACUUAGAAUGCAAGCUUAUCUCAAUUCCAACCAUUUGGUUCCAAAACACAAUUUCACAAGCAAGGCAUUCAUAUAGCAACUAUACACCACAUAUCACAAGGCCAUUUAUACAUAUAUACAUAUCAAAAUAUAUGACCACUUUUCAAGCCAAUUCAAAUGGCCUAAACUCAUCAAGACAUAUAGGCUAAAUUAGCCAAAAUACCUAUACAUGUCAUUUAACCAAAAUAUAGAGAUUCAAAAGUACCAAAACGAGAGCUUGAUAGUGAGACACAAUCUCCGAUAACUUUCAAUUCGAAUGAGCUUCCGAUUCAGUAUUAAAACACGAAAAAUUAAACAGAGUAAGCAAUUAAGCUGUAACAUAAAACUCAGCUUACCAUUUAAUCAUAAUUUAAGUAAUUAAACAUAGCAUAAUGCAACUCAAUUUGAUCCAUAAGCCUAACACAUGUUCAUCCACAAGAUUAGACAUGAAAUAACAAACCUCAUAGAUUCAAUUCUCACAUGAUUGACAUACAUACCUAUACUAGUUCAUAUCGAACUCAUACACUUUCGUAAUAACACUGUGCCCGUUGAACUAUUUGGAAUAAUAUCGGAUACUCAGGUAUCUCGCACACUUAGUGCUAAUACAUGGUCGAAACCAUCUCUAUCUCAUAUAGAUGCUCACUCUCGAGCCAUCACUAGGUCUGCUCACACAAGCUGACGGUCAAGACGUAGCUACACGGUGCUACUCACACAAGCUAUCGGGUAACCGCAACACAUGCUAGAAAACUUAGCCAUCGGUAGAACGUAUGGGAUCAACACCCAAAACACGAUUAUUCCUAAUGACAUGUCAUUUGUACCUAUCUAUUCCUAACGUUCGAUCGGGAUCCAUACACUUGCCGAUAUCUUGUCGAGAAUUUAUGUAGUAUCGUAUCAACUAAUAUUUCAAUUAAUCAUGUAAACAUAUAUAUAAUUUAAAGCUUAUUAAUAUAUGAACUUACCUUGAUCUCGUACGAUGAAAAUUUAUCGUUUAAUCGAUAACUUUAUCUUUCCCUCGAUCUAAUUCCGUACUUCGCUUUUCUUGAUCUAUGUAAUCAAAUUUAACUCAUUUAAUCAUUAAUCUAUUAAAUUCAAUCCAAAGUUCAUGUUAUGACAAAAUUACUAUUUUGGCCCUAAACUUUUGGCUUCUUUAUAAUUUAGUCCUAAACUCAUAAAAAUGCAAAUUCAUGCAAUUCAAUUUCAGCCCAUGCUAGCUGAAUAUCAUAUAGGUCCCUAGCAAGCCUUAUAUUUCAUUUAUUUCACAAUUUCACCAUGUAUAUUACAUAUUUUAAUUAAAUCCCUAUUUGACAAUUUUACUAAAAAUCACUUAACAAAUGUUGUUUAACUAACAACAAAGAUUCAUUUUCUUCCAUCAAACAUCAAAACACAUACACAUUCGUCAAUGGUGAAACCCUAACUCUUUAACACUUUUGCAAAUUAGUCCCUGGGCUAGCUAGAUUAAGCUACAACGACUUCAAAACCAUAAAAAUCAUUAAAAACCGAGCAAAAUUGCACUUACAUGCAAGGGAGAAAGAUGGUUGAAUGUUCAAUCUCCUUCCAUGGAGUUUCCUAGGUCUAAUUUCAGUGGUGGAUGAUGGAAAAAGAUGAUAGCCAUAUUUUAUUUUACUUAAUUUAUCAUUAUUUACCUAUUUACUAAUUUAACCUUUAAAAACAUUAAAAUUUAUACAAAUGCCAAGCCAUUAUCAUCCACUAAAAUUUUAAUUGUAUAAUUGCCAUAUAAGGACCUCUACAUUAAAGUUCAAUAGCUAUUAAACACUUUUAGCUAUUAGAACCUAACUUUUACACUUUACGCGAUUUAGUCCUUUUCAUCAAAUAAAACAUGUAAAUGAUAACAUUUCUUAACGAAAUUUUCAUAUGACUCUAAUAACAUUGUGUAACCAUUAAAAUAAUAAUAAAAUAAAUAUUUUCACUUCGGAUUUGUGGUCCCAAAACCACUGUUCCAAUUUCACUAAAAACGAGCUGUUAUAAUUUUAGUUUGGAAGCGCAAUUUAAAUAAAAACUCACUGCGUUAAGGAUGCAUGGAAUAACCCUUUGGUGGCCACUUAAUUAACAUUAAUAAGUCAUAAUAGCAUUUGAUCAUCAAAGCUUCCAUUCAACAUUCAACGUUUUCAAAGUAUUGUUCAAUAAAUAUUAAAAUUUCAAAUUGGCGGUUUCUAAGAAUUGGCCUAAUAGCCCCAGUAAAUGCAUGUUAACUUUGAAAUUAAGAAGGCUCAUAAAUGGUCGUAGAUCUAGCUGUAUCCCUUCGAUCACCUCGCUUAACCUAAGAACUUGAAAGGAAGAAGAAACUGGGUAAGUUCGUAAGAACUUAGUGAGUUCUUGGGAAAAAAAAUCCCACCUUAGUUAGUAUCAGACAUUAAGACAAAAAGACUUGACUAGAUCACCCUAUUUGGCAGAUACAUUACCUUGUCUUGUAGAUCAACUGGCGAAUGAUACCGCAAAUCAACUCAGCUUAUUGGUGAACAACACUGGUUUCUAUAAUCAUAUAUGAUAAUCACGGGCACAUAUUUUCCGCGAAUUUGCCACUUGUGUGGACUACCAUUUUUGAUAGAUAAGCUUACUGUUCAUGCUUUCAUGCAACAUGCAAUACCACAUACACUGUUUUUCUACGUCCUCUCUUUUUUAUGCUAGGUUCUGAUCCCUAUUCCUGAAGAACCAAAAUUUUCCUGUAUCUUCAAAUUCACUUGUUUGAGCCCUAACUUUUUUCCUUGUAUGAACACAUAAGUAUUCUACCGCAAGGUCGAGUUUUCACCAAUCAUGAUUUGUAUCUAAGUGUCAUCCAAAGGCAAAACAUAAUUUCAUGUAUCUUCGUUAUCAUUAUAUACAACAUUCCUCCGAUACCUUCUUACACCCAUCUAGAUGCGAAGCUUGUGCACCAAGGAAUGAGUACUUAUACUGUGUAUAUACCAGGUUUUUUGGGCCUGUUUAACCAUGCAUGCAUUGACUCUUUGAAUGAUACUCUUCAGACAUGAACUUCAAAAAUAAAUAACUAAGUCACUUACCUAGCUUAAUGAAGUUUAGAGGUAAAUAAACUAAUGCAGAUACCAGACAUAAAGUGCAAAGGAACUCACCAGAAUACUUUAUUCAGAGCUUUAUCUACUUUACUAGUUCUUUUCCUUUAGCACACAUGAACUUCAGAAAUAAAUAACUAAGUCACUUACCUGGCUUAAUAAAGUUUAGAGGUAAAUGAACUAAUGCAAAUACCAGACACAAAGUACAAAGGAACUCACCAAAAUACUUUUCUCAGAACAUUAUCUACUUUACUGGUUCUUUUCCUUUAGCACUGGGACCUUUUCCCGUUUCUUUAUCUAAACAAUAAAACAACUUUUUUAACUAUCAAAUAUAACCAAAAACUUAUGAUACAACAAAAGUCUAUAGACAUGCAAACGAUUUUUGGAUAAGAGUUUCCUUCCUACCCUAGAUUCAAAGAAAUCCUAUCAAUCAUUUCUCAAGUUAGUUUCUACCUAUUUGGUAAAACUUCAAGGAAGGUUUAAGAAUUUACCAGCAAACAACUAGCAUAGAAGUUCUCCUAAACUUUUACAAUUAACACCCUUGUUAGCAAAGAAGAACUCUUCUGGUUUCUUCGAUGAUAACAAAUUCUAUGUUCGAUCUGGUGCCUUGAGUACAAUAUAUUUGUCUAAUGAAAUUUGUAAUGUCACACCCCAAAUUUGACAGACCUAGUUAGAAGACAUGUAGAUGUGAAGUUAUCUGUUUGGCGUAGUGUAGUUUGCACAUUUGUAAUCUUUUGGUGAAUAACUGUAACAGCCCGGUUUUCAGUGGUGAUAGAAAUAGUGGUUUUGAGACCAUAAAUUUCACUGUGCCGACUUGUAAAUAUUAUUUUUAGAAUAUUUAUAGUCAUUAUAGUCAUAUUAAAAUUUGGUUAAGAAAUAUUAAUGUUUAGUUAGUUAAUUAAGAUAAAAGUAACAAAUUGAAAAAGGUGCAAAACUUGUUAAUUAAUACAUUUAGGUGAUUAGAUGGUUUAAUUAAUAAAUGAGGAAGGGAUUAAGUGAUAAUUAAGCUAUAAAUAAUGAGUGGGACGACAAUUAAAGUUAAAAAUGAAAGAAAAUUUAAUGAUAAUGGCAUAAUUGUAAAUUUCUUGAAAGUAAAACAAAAUUAAAAGAAGAAAAAGACAUUUUCUCUUCAUCUUUCUAUUUUUCAUUGUCAAAACACCAUGGGAGCUUAACUUGGAGGUUCGUCCACUUUAUACUCUUGCAUGUGAGUUUAAUUCCUAUCUGUUUCUUGUAAUUUUUAUGUUUUUGAGAUCGUUGCAACUAGGUCCAGCUAACCCGUACCUUUGAUUUUUAAACUGUUAAAGAUUUUGAAUGUUGCCAUUGAUAAAUAUACUAAUUUUUUAUGUUAAGUUGGUAUUUAAAAGUAUUUUGUUAAGGGAUUUUUGAUAAAUUUUUUAUUAGGGACUAAAUUGUUGAAAUAGUAAAAAUACAAGGGUUUGUUGUGAAAUUAUUGAAAAAAUGGGCUGUAAUGAAUGCCAUGAAUAUUUGGUUAGCAUGGGUUUGCAUUAAAAAUGGUUAAUUUGCAUGUUUUAGGCUCAAGGACGAAAUUGAAUAAAAGUAAAAUGUUAGGGGCAAAUUUGUAAAAAUGUAAAAAAUAAAUUCCAUAAAAUAAAUUUUUUUAUUUUCUAAAUUAAUAAAUUUAAUGAAAUUGUUAAUUUAAAUCAAGAUCGAGGGGAAGAUCGAGGAGAAUGGAAAAUUACCAAAAUGCCCUUAUACUUUUACAUUUCUACAAUUUAGCCAGGUAAGUUCGUACGGUUAAAAUUUAACAUUUGUGUAAACUGAUGAUUGAUAUUAUAUAUAUGUUCUAUUGUUGGAAUUGAAUUAUUGCUAGAAAUAUAUUAUCAAAUUUAAUACUUUGUUUGGAUUGAACGCGAGAUUUGAGUACAUUUGUGAUUUGGUGUAUGAUGGGGGUUUGGAGUGGAGAUGUUAUUGGAGGGUGUUAAGUUCAAUUUUUAGCUUAACUUAUUCCAUUAAUUACCUAAAUUAUUGACAAAUUCUUGAUCAAUUAGUUUCAAUUAGCUCAAUUUGCAUUAAGAAUAUACUAUGCUUUGUUAAUUUAUUUUUGCUCCAAUCCGAUGAUUUAAUGGUAUUUUAAGACAUGUUGCAAGGUAGGUACAUUGGGAAGGUUCGAAUGAACCCAAAUGUGGAAUUCACUUGCCCCGAAUAGAGUUGAUGGAAGGGGCUGGGCGAAUGCUGAAUUCUUUAAAGUCGGCGAAGUCAAAAUACAAAUUUGAAGUAAUUGAGUCGACCGCAAAAGACCUUGACAGCAAAAGCAAGAUUCGGUCCAACUUGAAGGUGCCAUAGACCGACAUUGUGUGACCAGCCAGCAAGGGAAUCAAAUUUAAAUUCGAAUUCCCCUCUUUCCAGCUAUGACCGAUUCUAGUGUACAAUGAACAAACCAACUCAGACUUGAGAAGUUAAGUUGGAGUGAAAGUCUAAUUGGUUUGAGCUAACCUUAUGCGAUAGGCGAGGAAAAAAUCAACGGAGAGAUCAGAUUUUUAUUUUCUAUAUUUAGAGGCUGAGUUUUAUUUUUGAAAAAGGGGAGAGGAGAAGAAAUUGAAAAACAAGAAUGAGGGACUCAGGAAGAACACCGUCUCCAAUCGACCUAGUAGGUGCGAAUCAAGGAGCUAGAACCGGUCUUAGAGUCCAGCAACUUCAGGAGGAGGGAAGCUCGAUGACCUUAGCAGUGUUGUUAAGCAAGAGUGAUUCUAAACUCGACUUGAUUUUAAUUAAUUGUUGUUUAGCCAUGAGGAGCUAAAGUCCCUUUGCUUAGUUAGGCAUUAUUGAAGCCGAACACAAGUUGAAGUAAAGACUCAUUUUAUCUGGAAUUAAAACUCGGUAAUUUGUAGUUGAUUGUUUUUCUCAAAGGGGUUUAUUUUCUAAGUCAAGCUAAAAUGAUCACCUAAUUAAUUUAGGAAUUCUCCUAUCAUCACCUAAGUAAAUUUAAGAAAUCCUAUUUCCUAAGUAGACUUAGAAUCGAUGAACACUAUUAAACAGCUACGGGUUUAAUUUAAUGGGAGCCGUUAGAGGUUUUCCAUGGUUAAUGCAAGGCAAAGCCUCUUUAGCACCUUACGCAUGUUUAAUCGAUUAAACAAAGAGGGAUUAAAUAUAAUUUUCAAUUAAGAACGUUUCAUAAUUGAACUAACAUUGGAAGAGGUAGGGAGUCACUUCGUAAGGGAUUUUCCAGCCUUACUAUCGAGUAGAUUUCCUAGGAUAAGUUGAGUCUCAGUUAGUUGUGUUUGGUGGAUUAGUCGAUAACUAAGCAUCUUUUUCCAUUUGAUUCUAGAAUAUAAGCAUUUUCAUCUCAAACUACUUUCUUUCGUUUUUAGAAGCAACAUUCAUAUAAAACCCCCCACACGCGUAUGUGUGUGUAUUUCAUUUAAUUCUUUUCAAAUAGAUUUAAUACGAGCUUCCUCGUGGGAUCGAUACCCCAUUUUCCCUAUAUUACUAGUUAAUAUUGGUUGAAUAGUGGAUUUAAUUCGGUGAACGUAACGACUUCUCACCAGAGGGAUAUAUCGACAUUUUACCCAAGUAAAUUGGGGUUCAACAUUUAUUGUGAACUCUCGGCUUUUACUUUCUCUUUGGCAUGAUUCGGGUGGAUUAGCUCUUACGAGCUUCUGUUCAGCUCUUUUGAGUUUCUAUUAAGCUCUUAUGAGCUUCUGUUGACGAUGUACUCUUACUCGUAAGUCGUUCUUCAUAUGAAAAAUCUCGAUAAGGUAAUUUGUUUAAUGAAUUUGAAAGUUUUGUUAUUUAUUGAAUAUUGACCUGAACAUAAAUGAAUUCAUCAGUUGAGAUUGUGGAUAAUGCUUAGGUUUGUGCUAAGCUGUUGGUUGCAUUAUAUCAUGUUGAAUAUUAAUUAUAUGAAUUGACAUGGUAAUUGGUUAAAUGGAAAUAUGCUUAUGUUUAUAAGAAGGUGGUAAGAUUCAAAAUGUGUAAUUUCUUAUAAAAUGGUUUAUCAUGUGAUUGACCCCGAAUGAGUUAUAUACAUAAAUGCACUAACUUGUUUAUUGAUGAUGGUGAUUAGGCUUAUGUCAAGCUUCAGAUUAUGAUUGAUGUAUAUGCUUAUGUUUGGUAUUAUACAAAUGAAACGGUAAGUUCAUAAUUGAAAUGUGAUAUGAUGAAAAAGGGAUUGAUGAGUUGAAUAAUGUACUUAUAUAUGAGAAAUUACGUGUGUUAUGGUUGAAAUUACCUAUGUUAUGAAUAAAUAUACUAAUUAGUUAAUUGAUGUUGUUAUUUAAGUUUAUGUUUAGUAAAUGGAAUGGAAAGUAGGUAAAGAAAGUUAUUCGUAGUUUUAUGAAAAUGUUAAUGAUGGUGUAAAAUGUUUUAUAAAAUCUUAUUAUGUUAGGAAUGAAUAUAUAUAUGAUGUUGAUAGACUUACUCAUUUAUGAGUUAGUGGUUAUGUAGUUGAUAAAUCUUGAGGCAUUGGUAUAGCUUUAUAUUUAUCAUAUAAAGUUUAUGAUUAAAUUAGAAUAUUAUGUUUAAAGUUUGUAUGAGCUUGCUAAGCAUUCAUUGCUUAGGUAGUUGUUGAUCCCUUACUUUAUAGAUUAUUAGAAGCUUGAUCGGGUUGGAAGCUUGUCAGAGAUCUAUCAAACUAUCCAACGAUUAUAUCAGUAGAUUUUGAUGUCUUGGUUAAAGUUAUAAUGGCAUGUAUAGUUGGAUUAUGUCUAAUGCUUAAUUGAUGAGUUUGGUAUAUAUAUGUCAUUUUGGUUGAUAAUUAUGGCAUGAAAUGUUGCCUUGAAUUUGAGGUACUUAAGGUACUAUUGAUAUCUUGUUGGUUAUGGUUAAUAUGGUUAAUUUGAUGCAUGUUUAGAAAUAACCAAAUUUGGUAUAUGUUGUAUCAAUCUCAAUAUGGCCAAGACAUGGUAUGUUUUGGACAAGUCUUGAAUAUAUGUGCAUGAUUGAAAUAUGGUAUGCCUAAUAUGGUAAGGUUAGUAUGUGUCAAUUGUGUUAUGCAUUGGUAUGGAAACAAGUCAGUUGGUAAAUGGUAUCAAUGUGGUCAAAUGUGGUGAGAUUAUUUUUGAUAUAGCAUGGAAAUAGUAUUGAGAUUAUUUAGGUAUGUAUGGUUAAGGUUUGUACAAAUAUGCUUAUGUAUAUAUAUAAGUUUGAUGCUUGAUGAUUAAGGUGCCUUUUGGCAUAUUGGUUAAAGUUGUAUGAGCAUUUGGUAUGGAGAUUAGUCAUUUUUUGCAUAAUUUGAGUAUUUUUAAAGGCCUUGUAUACAUGUACAAAUUUUUUGUAGGUUUAUGCUUGAAAGAGGUGAAAGAAAUGGCUUGGAAAUGGUCAUUUUCUUGUUACACUACCUAAGACACGGGCGUGUGUCUCAGCUGUGUGAGUCACAAGGCUUGGCCACACGACUGUAUGAACCCUAUAGUUUGAAAAAAAUUCUAUCUUUUUUUUAUGAAAUUAUAAAUGUUUCUGAUUUUGUCCCGAAUUGUUUCUAAAGUGAUUCGAAGGCCCCGAGGGCUCGAAUAAGGGACGUUAUGCAUGUGUUUGAAUGAAUUAUGCUAUGAUAUAUGAAAUGUUUAAGAAUGAAAGUUUUUAAGUUAUGAUUUCCCGGUAAUGCUCAGUAACCCUAUUCUGACGACGGAUACAGGUUAGGGGUGUUACAAUAAUAGUUGGCUUAGAGUAUCUACCGUGUAAGUAAUUAAAGAUUUUAUCUUAUGUUAUUCUGCUAUUUAAGAAAAGAAUAUGACAAGGGAACAGUAAUACUAGUGAGAGUUAGCGCCAAAAGUAUAGUACCUCCAGUUUGCCUAAGCACUGUGGUUAUUAGGUUUUGUAACAUGAUCUAGUUAAAAUCCAACUGAAUUGGCUGGUCAAAUAAUAUUUGUACAGGAUCCUCAUUUAUAUUUAUCUCAGAUUUUGUAGGCAAUUUAUUAGGAAAAAUUCUGGAUACAAUUGACACUUGUCAAGUUCCACUAAGGGAACUAGAGAGAUAUAUAUGGUGAGAAGGGUUCGCAUGAAGGGUUUUCUUCUUUUAAUACUAUUAUCUAGUUCUUCUACUUAAACUUAUUUGUUUUUUUCUCCUUUAUUAAGUUAGAAGCUAAGGUUCUUGAAUUAAUGAGCGGAUGUUCUAUCUCAUGGUAAGUUUGAUAGCUCUGCAUGCUAAGUUUUUGAAAGAAGGGUAUUAAGAAACAUAUGAAUAGUGAGUUGUGAAUAAGAGACCCCGUAUAGGGGUCGUCUGUGAUUGAGAUAUUAUCCAUUUGUCUAUGAAUGGGUUUUAAUGGUGGUUCCAUGUUCUUUAAGAAAUUGCUGCUGCUGGUUCGAGAGGGAUGUUCAAGUUUCGAACUCCAAGCUAUAGUUUAGGUGAGUAUCAUGUGAGUUUCUAUCUUAGCUCCUGUAUGUGCACUGUUCAAAUAGGGUUAUAUAUAAUGAUAACGUCUCAAAAAACUGGUAAGUGUGUUUUGCAGUAAUGUAAAGAUUUUACUUGGUUUAGGAUGAUAUGUGUGAGGUAUUGUGUGCGUAAUAAGUAAAAUGGUAAGUAUGCCUCUGAUAUCGGAUAUGAGUAAAUAAGAAUCAAUCAGGUAUGUGAAUAAUCUAGGUAACUAACUUCUGUGUAAACAUCUAUUGUGAUGCCUUUGGUUGGGCAAUUAUAGUUCUAACCAGACUGGAAUAUCAUGAUAUGAUGAAACAUGUAAGUUCAUGUGGUAGAGACCCGUGUCAUUAUAUGAUAAGUAAGACAUUCAUGGUGGUGCCUCUAGUGAAAUGAAGAAUGGACUGGAAAAUCACGACAUGAAUAUGUGUAAGUCCAUGAGUCUGAGAAUCAUGACGUAAUAUGAUAAUAAGAAUGUUCAUGGUGAUGCCUUCGGUAAGAUGUAAAUCAGACUGACAGAUCCCAACAUGGAGAUAUGAAUAAGUCUAUGAGAGAGAAACCCAUGAUACCUUUUGUGGAAGUCCGUCGGGCCAGUAAAUAUGUGAUUCAGUGUGUUGCCUGUGUGGCGUGAUCUGCUAAGCCUUGGUGGUGUAUUCUAUGUUGCCAUUGUAGCGAAUUAUAGAAUGCCUAUGUGGCGUAUUCAGGGGUGCUUAUGUGGCAGAAUUUGAUUAUCCACCUUUGUGGUAAGUUCUAAGAUCUCUUUGAUAAAUGAUUCUAUGAUAAUGGUCUGAUACGUCUGAAGUUAGCUUGGUUUGGUUAGGCUUGUGAGGAAAUUGGUUGAGUUUUAAAGAAAGAAUCAGCCAUAGUAGUCUACUAGUAUAGGAUAUGGGCGUAUUCAUAAUUAUGAAGGGUAGAAGUGUUCGUUGGUAAGAAUUCAUCUACACUAUGAAGGGCUGAAAUAUAAAUAAUCAGGUAUCUGCCAUAUCUGAAUGGUAUCAUGUCUCGUUCUGGGGUUAUUUGGAAUCUGAACCAUUUGUCAAUUUUGACAUUCUUGUGUUAUGUAAUAUAGACGUAUGGAAUUCUUCUGAAUGAUCCAGAAUGUUUCAUCAUUAGUAUGAGUUUGUUUUGGGUUUAAUUCAAGAUACGAUCUGAUUGGUGGACUGGCAGCUGCUAAACACAGUAUGGGAAUCUGCCAAGUGUAAGGUUAAUUAGUAAUUAUCCACUAAAGAAUAGUGUCUAUGAAUAACCAUUUUGGGAAAAAUGUGAAGUGUUGUUUGAAGAGGAAAUUCGAUGAAAGUGAGUUCUGUAUAGAUAUUCUUCUUAGAAGUAUCUUGUGUUCUAUGAAUGAUUAAGAUCUAUAGUGACUGGUACAAUUUGGAAUCGGUCUAGGAGUGAAAUGAGAGUGACACAUUAAGUAUAGAAGCUGACAUAUAGGUAUAUAUAUGAUAUUAUGAAUGUAUUAGCCAAAGAUAGAGUGAUAAUCCAAAAUCUUCAAUAUGAAGAAUUCAACUAUAAAGGCUCCAAGGUAUUUUGUAUUUAAACUGACUAGGUUCGCAUGAACUUACAAACAUUUUGUUCGUGUUUCAAGAGUUCACUAGGAGAGACCAAGCCAGGGAUGCACUAGAGAAAUUGGUGAGGGGAUAUUAUGCGCACAAAUGAGAUCUUAGUAGUAUGACAUAUAGUUCUCUAUGCCAAUGAGAGUAUGUCUUUAAUGAACUUCUGUGUUUAAUGUAUUAUAUUGUUUUUAAGGGUCUGUUUGUAUUCUUGAACGUUUUCUUUAUCUCUUUUAUUUAGAAGACCUUUAUUAAAAUAAUAUGAAGUAAGUUGAAAAAGGAUUAUACACAGAUGGUUUAAAAUUUAUGCUAAGUGUUCGUAUGUGUAAACAUCCGUUAUCCAGAUCUGGUGAUUCGGGUUUGGUAAAAGGUGUUACAUAUAAUUUUUUUGAGAAAAUUAGUUAAUAAAAUUAUUAAUUAAUUACAUUAAUACUUUGUAUAUUGUCCUCACCUGGUUUUUGCACGCAAAGAAAAAUAGAAGAAAAUGUUGCUCAUUGGUUGUCUAAUGUUUAAAUAAUACUAAGCGGUAUUACGUGGUCGGAUCAUAGUAUGGAAAGAAAACUAUCAGUAGAAGAACCUAAAAAUGUCCGUAGUGUAAUUGGGGAUGAGCAAACCGAUUGAAAGACUAAUAUGUCGUCUAUCAAGUCUAAUUAGGGAGAUAUCUUAUCAUGGGCAUCGGAGCAGAUUACUUUCAGAAGAUAGAGACAUAUAUGUGACUGACAUGACUGACAGUACAUUAGAUAGGACCCAAGAAUAAUAGAUCCUAAAUCUGUUUAUGGAUUUAUUCACUUGUGAUGUUCAUAGGGUAGCAUACCUAAAUCCUGAGUGGAUGGCAGAUUAUGUAUGCGUGACUCGUACACUUUGAUGUAAUUAAAAGCCCGAGUUCAAAUAGAUACAGAACCGAAAGCUGGUGCGUUGGGUGUACGACUUUUGUAGUAUGUAAUGUCAUUGAAAAUAGUGGAUUUCAUAGCCCAAAACAUGGGUAAAUGAUAUCUUCUCAUUAGCAUUACUUGAUCACUAUUUGAUGGUGAUUGAAUUUUCAUGAAGAAAGAUGUAAUGAUUAUCGUAAGAUAAAAUAGGAUCAUAUUGGGAGAACAAAUAUUAUCCCAAAGAGAUCAAGGAUUUCCUAUGAGGGUAACACACUAAUGACAAGGUCAUUAGACGAUUACUGAGUAGUUGCUUUCGUAAUGGUAUGUCGUCGGAGAGAGUUCAACCAUGAUACUAUAGUGGAUUGACUUUAUGACUAAAUGAGCCUAUAAUUAAUAGGCAAAAAGUCAAAGCUUAAUUAUAAAACAUUUGAGCGUCAACUACAUAUGUCCAAUCAGUCCCUCCGCUAGCUCGUUGAAAUAAAAAAAUAAUUUCAUGUUUGAAUAGAAAUGAAUGAAAUGAAUAGAAGAAGUGAAAUUGGGAACAUUCGAGAAUGAUUAUGGUUUUCUUUAAAAUGGAGAAAUGGAAUCAUUUGAAAAUGAAUGUAGGUUUCCAAAAAUGGAAAUGAAAAUGGAAAUUUGCAAUCCUAUAUGGAUUACUUAAAAAAUGAUGGGAAUAAUGAGUUCAUGUUUUUAGACUAUUUUGAAGCCCGAAAAGGAGAACAAACUAUUCAACAAAAAAAUAUACACUAUUUUGAUCUCCUACUCUAUUUAGACUGAAUAGUUUGUUUUCAUUUUCUAUUUGAAAUGUCAACCGCUCUCCUACUCUAAGUAGGAAGUGAUUUUUCUAUUUGAAAUAAACCACUACAACCCAAGAAGGGUUCUAUAUUCUCUUCCUAUAAAUAGAUGACACUGAUAGAGCUAUUUACAUAAUUGUUAUUCUGCCAAAAAUAGAGAGAAUUUAUUCUCAACUAUUACAUAUAUUUAUCCGGAGUAAUAAUUCUAACAAUUACUAUUAAAUAAUAGAGAAUUUUUGUUUUCACCCCAAAAAGAAAAGAAAGCUUUUUCUAGUUCCGUGUUUUGUUUCAAUUGGUUCAAGCCUAUACUUGAAGUAGUUUGUGGUACGAGAAUAGUGAAGAAUAUCUUUUCAUUGAAAGCCAGAAAAUAUCAAGAAUUUGCUUAUCUGAAAAGACAUGUAUGAUUGUUCAAGGUUUAAUGCUAUAAAUACCACAUAUAUAGUCAGUUUUCAAAAUUUUAAUUUUCUGCUAUGCAAGAAAACUGUUUUCAAAAUAAGUUUUUUUCCAACAGUUUUGUGGAGAAGGUGAAUCAUAAAUCUUCUCUCCACUAUCGUUCUAUCCUAUUUAUAGAUAACCAAUGUACAAAUCCCAAUUAGGAUUAUCUCUAAUCAUUACUUAUUCUCGCAUGCUUCCACUAAUUAAUAACAUCUGACGAGGCUCUAUAAGUGUCCUAAUUAUUGACUCGUUCCCUCCACUAGGAUGUCAGAUGACUUAAACAUGUCUUACAAGCCAUAGGACUUACUUAAGGAAUGAUAUUGAAACACGAGUGAUUAUCUUAUUAGUCGGAAAGUCUACCUAAUAAGGUGUUCGUCCUAACUAUAUCCUCAUUUAUUGCUCAAAUUGACACUCCGCAGCGUUGGCGAAGUUCUUUGUAGUGCUCCACCACAAAGUUACCAACCUUAUCCGAUCUAAGUCUUGCAACUUAGGUGGCCUCCGCUAGUGUAGUCUCCCAAACCAAACCGAUUUGCCAAACCAGGAUUUGACAAAAAAAUUCAAGUACUAAGUUAAUAAAAAUUGACCAAUUCGAAGACUAAAUGUUACCUUAUAAUAAAACAAUAAAGAGGUUUAAUUAGAAAUGUUUAAGGUAAAUUACUCAGUUGGCAACCCAACUUUUAGGGCGCUUUCAUAUUAGUUACCCAAGUGUCAAAUCCGUAAUAAUGACAAACUGUAUACGCCGAAUCAUGUCCACAUCGUGUUUACACUUUCAUUUUGAUCACCCAAGUUCUAGGUCACUUUCAUUUUGGUCAUUGAAUUUUUUUAAAAUUUUUGAUCUAGGUAAAACCAUUAAGGAUUAAAGUGAAAAAGUGGUAGAAACUAAAAUGAUUGAUUAAAAAUUUGUCAAAUUGUACAAUUAAAUAAAUUGUUGAAACUUUUAUCCCUUGAAAAUGUCAACCGAUUUGUUACCAUAACAUUGAAAUUAAUUUAAUUAAUUAAUUUAAUCUCCUAAAUUUUAAAAUUUUGUUUUAUGUUUCCAAAUUAUCCUUAAUGAAAUCAACUCCAAUAAAUCAUAUUUAUUAAUUUUCUAUGAAACUUAAAUCUAUUUUGAUUAUAUAAUAUCGAAUCUUCCAUGUUAAACUAAAAGAUAAGGAAAAAAAUCAUUGCAAUUAAUUAAGUUAAUUGUUUGUUCUUCGUUUGGGUAAAGAAAUGAAAAUAAUUUUGGAUUUGUUUGGCAUGUAAGAAAGUUAGUUAAUAUAAGAGAAAAAAAUUAUUUAUUUUUUUUCUUAACAUUGAAUAUUCAAGAUCAUAUAAAAAAAAUUAAGUUCGGUAGACAAUUAUUAAAAAUAAGUGAUUUUAUUUGAUUUUAAUUUGGAAACAUAAAAUAAAAUUUUAAAAUUUAAAAUGAGGCUAAAUUAGUUAAUUUCAAAAUUAUAGUACCAAAUCGACUGACACUAUCAAGGGAAGACAAAAUUUCAGUAAUUUAUUUAAUUGAUUGUAAUGUUUUAAAAUUUAAAAUUUAAAAUUUCAGUAUUGAAAAAAAAAUUAGAACUUUGGGCAAGGGGGUAAACAAAGAUAAUAUGACAGUUUUUUAACUCAUUAUUUUAGUUGUUAUCGCUUUUUUACUUUAAUGUUUAAUGUUUUUACCCCCAUAAAUAUUUUAAAAAAUAUUUUUUGUGGUGACGAAAAUAAAAGCGGCCUAGAAGUUGAGUGACUAAAAUAAAAGUUUAAACAUGAUGUGGUAUGUACAGUCAACCAUUGUUAGAGAUUUAACGUUUGGAUGACUAAAAUGAAAACGCUUUAAAAGUUGAGUGACUACCACAAUAGUUUAUCCAAAAAUUUAAGAAUAAAGCUAAAAGUUGCAUUGAAAGAUUUAGUUGAAUUGCCCUUUUUCAGGGAAAAGUUAAGUAUGUUAUGGGGUACUUUGAUUUGACACUACUUUAAAGGCCUGAUUGAACUUUGAGACGACGAAACUGUCAUGUAUGGUGAAUCAGCUAGUUAUAAAAUCAAUUUUUUUACUCAAUUAACCCCCACAAUUAAUAUUUACGAAAAUGAUCGAAGUUGAAAACUUAUAACGAAAAUGACUUAAAAUCUAUAGUGUCGAGUGGUGCCGACACUCCGAUGGCCGACACCAAAGUCAAUCAUCGUGUAUUGAUUGCUUGUUAAUUGGGUUGGGGUUUAAAAAACUAAUUUUUUGAUAUAAGUUUUUCAAAAAUACAAGUAUUUGCCAGUUAAAAAGUAUUUUUUAUUAGGUUACGGCAUCUAGGUGGCUGACACGCCGACACCAGGAAAAAUAAUCCAAAAUUUAUGUUUUGGCAUUUUUUAGUUUUGGCAUUGCGAUGGCUGGCACUCGUGUCGAAUGGAUUUUUUUUGGUGCUGCCACCGGUGUGGUUUUUAAUUUUUUUGCCGGCGUUCUCUGGUUUUUAGGAACGGUGACUGUUUGGUUUUUCUUCAUUAAGCUUUGGACAAUGCGACUCCUAAACUUUCAAUUGCAUGAGAAGUGAUAUUUGAAGAAAAUAACACAAUAUCAGUAGAGAAGAGCACUGGAUAUUUGAGAAGAAAAAUAAAAUGAUUUUGAGUCCAGUUUACUGAUGAUAGUACUUAGUAUGUAAAAUAAACAAGAGAACAAGAAGAUGAAAAGAAAAAUGGAGAGUUGUAUAAAAAAAAGAAGAGUGGAAGAGAAGAAAGCAAGACAAAUUUAAAUUUGACAUUUAUGGUUUUAAUAGAAAAAAAAAUUUGUAUAUGGAAUUACAUUCACAAAUUUAAGUAAUGGAAUUACAUUAAAAAAUUUGUUUAUGGUUUUGAUGAUGGACUUUUGUAAACUUGUCAGUCGGAGGCCCGGGUCACAAAAGAGAUGCAUUUUAAAGGAAAGGAGGGAGGUAAAGGCAUGGAUAUAGUGGUUGAUUCAUCACCAGUGAGGGCUCUUUCUUGGAAUGAAAAACUUUUGGGGAGAGGUGCUACUAGAUCUCGAGACUCAUCGGGUGUUCCUGAUAGGGACUUGAGGAGGACUUCGACUUUCUAGAAUGAGGUAUAUUAGAUCUAUAGUUAAUGGGAUUCUGUCGAUUGAAUUUUCCAAUAGGGUACAACAAAUGCUGGAAAAGUAAAUGGCAACUACGAUGGUAGUCAAGCUAUUGGGGAGAAAUAUUGGAUAUAAUACUUUUCAAAACAAGAAUUUCAACUUGUGGAAGCCGCCUAGGCCAUUUCAACUAAUGGACGUUGAACAUGGAUAUUAUUUGGUAAAAUUUCAAAGUAAUGACGACUUUGAAAAAGUGUAAACUCAAGGACCGUGGGUAGUGUUUGGACAGUACCUAACUGUUUAGCCAUAAACACUGGAUUUUAACCCUCUCCAACCAUACCCAAGCAUUGUAAUGACAUGGAUCAGAUUGUCAAGUUUGCCUGGUUUUUUAUACAAAAGGAAAAUAUCUGAGGAGAUCGACAAUUUGGUCGGCGGAGUAGCAAAACUCGACUACAAUAUUGACAGUAAAUCGAGAGGAAGAUUUUCCUGAAUGACGAUUUUCGUGAACCUUGACAAGCCAUUGAUCCCUCAAGUUUUGGUGAAUGGUAAGGCUCAACUCAUGGAAUAUGAGGCUUUGCCGUCGAUUUGCUUUGGAUGUGGUAGGUACGGCCAUACGAAAAAUCUAUGCCCUCACAUUUUUGGUAACUAUAAUUCCACCAUAUAGAAGGGCGAGACGACAGAUCCAUCAAUAGGAGAAAAUACGUCGACCAAGGUGGCGGGGGCAUUUGGGUCGUGGAUGGUGUUGGAGAGAAAAAUACGACAGAAUUUUAGGGAGAAUCAGAAUCAAAAUGCUAGAAAUCAAGAGGAUUUUUUUGGAUCAAGAUUCGAUAUCUUGAACCCUCUGGAAGAUGGAAACGACGCUAUUAAUGGAGAUUUAGCAGAUCUAUAGGGCAUCACUAUUUAGAAAGGUGAUUUUAUUAAGAGUAAUGUUAGGGUUGAGGGAUAUGAUGAUGUUAGAAGUGGGCCAGGUAAGAAAGGUGUAAAUUAGAUUUCUAUAGAUAGCCUGGUAGGUGAUCGUGAGCCAAAUGGAAAUGAAAACCUUUAUGGGUUAGUAAAGAAAGGGCCUAGACUAAAAAAAAUGGUGUUACAUGUGAUUUUAGGUAGAUUGGGGAAACUAGGCCAAUGGUAGAAAAAGCAAAUUUAAUUCGGGCUAGCAAAUUAUAAGGGUGGGCGAAAAUUGGAAAGUGUCAUAUCUUUGCAUAACUUUAAUAAUUCAAAAAAUAAUUAUGGUAUAGUGGAUGCUAAUUCUGGAAAUUCUCACGAUAAUGAUCUUUUAAUGAAGGAGAUGUAUAUUGAUAAUGGGGCGAAAUUAUCAUUUAGUCCCUGUUUGGCUACGACAUCGCACUUUAAUCCUACCUUUGAGGGACUAGUUGAAACCACAGUAUCACUUAGUGGUAGUGUUUUGGAUCUAGGAACGCAUUCUGUUGUUACCUUCAAAGAAAAUUCUAACCUAGUUACUAAUAAGCAAUAAGAUGAAGUUAGACUCAGUGAUUCUAGUAAAAGCAUUCUAGUUCCUAAAGGGCAUAGUCUUGGGACAAAAGAGGGAUAUGUCUGAUGUAACACCAUAAACCCGGCCUAGACGUCCAGCCCAAGUUUAUAGAGUUACCUCAUCGAUUAUAAAACGUCACGCAACAACACAAAUAAGCUAAACCAUGUUUCAUAUCACAUUUAUCAUAAAACAAAUUAAUUAUAUAAUCUUCUAAAUUUCAUACUGUUAUAGUUUACCGAAAUUCCUCAUACUACUUAUAGAAAGAUAACGCUUGACAGAGCAUCCGUUGCGCCGACCCAUUCAAGACUGGGAACCACAUGAAAUCCAAUAAAAAACAAAAUGAGUUGUAAACUCAGUUCGUAAAAGAAGUUUAUUCAGUUAAUGUCCACUUAUAAGGUAGUUCCAAAUUCAGAGAAUUAGUUCGAUACAAAAUUAAUUACAGUUUAGAUUCACGACAGAUCAGUUACCUAUAGAUAUGCAAUUUCAGUUCAUAUACAAUGCAGGUAAGAUUUAGAUGCAGAUAUUCCUAACCCUAUCUGCUACACACCAUCUUCAACCAUCCCAACACACCGUUAAGUGCAUCCAAUACCCAAUCAACCUUACACACCACAAAGUGUUUCUCUGACACAUUUAUAGAAACACAUAUUAGCUGCUGGAUCAUAAUGUGACGAAGUGCCAGAAUCAGAACUAUACACAUGGUGGCUUAACCACUGAUUCAGAGUGGAUUACUUCCUUCAUCAUACAUCCCAACCCAUACAAAUACAGAGUAUAAUUAUCUACAAUACACUUACAAUUAUGAUAUUCAUACGUCCGUUACAGAGUAUCAGAGAGUUCUCGUUCAGUUAAAUUCAAAUCAUUCAUACAAUAAGGAAUCAAUAUCAGCCAUAAACAACAUUUACGACCUCAAAAAGGGUUUCAGGCCCCUUUUACGAUGCCAUACGGCUUGGACACACGCUCAUAUCCUUGCCCGUGUGGCUCAAACGACUUGGACACAUGCCCAUGUCCUUUACCCGUGUGGUUCUAAAACGUAAACAGAGAGUUACACGACUCGGACACACGACCAUGUCCUUGCCUGUGUGACUCACACGGCCUGGGCACACAGCCGUGUGCUUGCCCAUAUGGUUCUAAGUCACAAAUAGUGAGUUACACGGACUAGACACACGCCCGUAUGCCAUGCUUGUGUGGCCUCAAAUCGAUGAAUAGUAAGUUACACGGCCACCCACACAUCCUAGCGAUCCACACGGCCUAGAAACACGCUCAUGUGCUUGGCCGUGUGGCGUCGACAGCCACCAUUUUCGGUGAACAAAACUUGCAAAAGCUAAGGAUUUUGAUACGCGCUUAGUUUCUCUUUGAUGGGAAAUAAGACAGAGAUUACUUGAAAACUAAUUGAUCAUUCAGUAAUCAAUCAAUUGACUAAAUGACCAAUUAACACAACAAUAAUACACAAUCAACUAUGCCGAAUAAAUUGACACGAGGGAACUUCAACGACUAACGCUUAUCGAUGAUUUAACUCGAAUUUUUUGCGAGUACAAUAGAGAAUUUAAGCUUGAUAUCGUGGGAUUGUUAAGGACUAGAGUAAAUGGAAGUAAAGCAGAUUGUAUCAUUGCUAAAUUAGGUUUUCAGUUCUCUUAUCGGAUAGAAGCUAUUGGUUUUUCUGUUGGUAUUUGGGUUGGUUGGAAGGAUUUUAUACAAGUUGAGAUUAUCCAGAAUCAUUCACAAUUUCUUUUGGUUUGGGUCAUUUCCAAUGUUGUGAAAUCUCCUGUUUUUAUCUCCUUCAUUUAUGUGAGUCUUGAUAGAUAGAAGAGAAGGCUUUUUUGAGAGGGUUUAAAAUUGACUGUGUCUGAUGUUUCUAUGCCCUAGAUGGUUUUUGCUAAUUUUAAUGUCAUUAUAUCUUUCUGUGAAAAGAAAUGUGGACAUAUUCAUGAAAGAAUAUUCAUGAAAGAAGGUGUCCUUAUUUUAGGGAUUUUAUGGAGUCACCUGACCUUCAUGAUUUGGGAUAUAAAGGUCCCUCAUUUACUUGGCAUAGAGGUGGGGUUCAUGAGCGCCUUGAUAAAGCCAUAGGUAAUAAUGCUUGGAUUGAAGCCUUUCUGCAUUAUUUGGUGUCCCACCUUCCGAGAAUUAAGCCUGAUCACAGGCCUCUACUCAUGUCUCUAAGAUCAGAUGUUAUCCCAUCUAGAGGUAGACCUUUCAGGUUUUUUACUAGAUAGACUGAACAUCCAGAAUUCUCAGAGUUGGCUAAUAAUAAUUGGAGUUAUAAUGGGGAUAUGACUACUUCUAUUGCUAAAUUAACUUCCGAUAUUAAAAAUUGGAAUAAGUCUGUCUACAGUCAUAUUUGAUAUCGUAAAAGAUAGUUGUUAUAGAAACUUACUGGCAUUCAAAAGGUUAUGUGAAGGUCAGAUUCUAAUUUGUUAAUUUAGCAAGAAAUAGAGGUGCAUGAACACUUGGAGAGUGUCCAGCAUGAGGAACUUCUUUGGAGCUAAAAAACAAGAUGUGAUUGGUUAGUCUUGAAGGAUCAAAACAUUAAUUUUUUCCAUAGACGAAUAAUUCAUAGGAGAAAGCAUAAUAGGAUUACUGCUCUGAGGAAUGAGAACGAAGAGUGGGUUUUCGAUAACGCUCUGUAGGUUGAGGUGAUUAAGUUUUUUCUGAGUUUAUAUGGAGAGGUUCUUGAACCUUUGAGUGGAAUUCCAUCUAGUGCGUUUCCUAAACUUGAGAAUGCGGAGGUUCAUUUUUGAGCAAUGAAGGUACAGAUGAGGAAAUUAGAACUACCCUAUUUGAUAUGGCUUUGCUUAAAGCUCCAAGAAGCGGAGGGUUUCAUGCCUUAUUCUUUCAGACUCAAUGGGACCACAUUAGUACAAUUAUUUGUAAUUGGGUUAGGUUAGUGUUUUUCGAGAAAGCUAUUAAUUCAGAUUUGAAAUAACACUUUAAUUAUUCUUAUUCCCAAGGUUCAUAAUCCUGAAAGCUUUUCUUAGUUUUGGCCAAUCAGUUUAUGUUCAGUCCUCUACAAACUGGUAAUAAAAAUCAUCGCUAAUCGAUUUAAAGUAAUUUUUCCUAAGAUUAUUGCAUAAGAACAAGCAUGAUUCAUUUCUGAAAGAAACAUCAUGAAUAAUAUUAUUAUAGAUUAAGAAGUUAUUCAUUCCAUGAAAAACAAGCAGAAGAACAGAAACUGGAUGGUUAUUAAAGUUGAUUUGGAAAAAGCUUAUGAUUGGUUGAGAUGAGAGUUUAUCGAUACUUCUCUCCAUGCUACAGAUAUCCUUGAUUUUCUUCGUAAUGUUAUUAUGUCUACUAUUACGAACUCUAAUUUGCAGAUCAUGAUAAAUAGAGUCCCAAUUGAGAAGGUUCGACCUAUUAGGGGCAUCCAAUAGGGGCGUUCGCUUCCUCUAUACCUCUUCAUUUUGAGCAUGGAUUGGUUAGGACAUGGUAUUAAGUUUUCCAUUACCAUGGAUCAGUGGAAGCCUACCAAGUUUUCGCGCAUAGGGCCUACCCUUUCUCACAUCUUUUUUGCAGAUGAUCUCAUUUUUUCGAGUGAGUGGAGGUGUAGCAAGCCAAAAUCAUAAAAGGUAUGAUGGAAAGUUUUUGUGGUUAUUCCAGCCACAAGUUAAUUCUCGAAAGACGAACAUCUUCUUUUCUAAGGUGUUAACAAGGAGUUGGGGGAGCAGAUCAGUAGUAUUUUUUGUUAUCAUAAGGUUCAAAACCUCGGUACGUAUUUAGGGUACCCCCUUUUGAUGAUAAAGUUACUAAUAGUACUUUAACGUUUGUUAUGGAUAGGGUUUGGAGUAAGCUGUAUAGUUUGGAUGUGAGACAUUUGUCUCUGGUAGGAAGGUUCAUUUUGGCUCAAUCUGUCUUAUUGUCGAUUCCAAGCUAUUUCAUAUAGUCCAUGAUGGUCCCUAAAGAUAUUUGUGUAGAAAUAGAAAUCAUAGUUAGACAAUUUAUCUAGUGAUCCUCAGUUGGGGGAAGGAAAAUAACAAUGGUUAGAUGAGAAGAUAUUUGCCAACCCCGAUCUUGUAAGGGGCUGGGCAUUAGGCAUCUGCAGGAUCAGAAGACUUCCUUUAUGGCUAAGAUUGGUGAUGAUGAAUGCAAAUUCUCUUUGGGUAAGUUUCCUGAAGUCGAAGUACAAAGUACAAAGUUCAAGAUGAGACUCCAAAGGAUAUAUUGAGGGGAAGAUGCUCGUUUCUUUGGAGGGCCCUUUCAAAGACCUGGCCUCUAAUCUGUGAAAACUUAAUAUGGUCUGUGGGAAAUGGUUGCAGUGUUAAAUGCUGGUUGGAUCCCUGGCUUCCAAAUGUUUGGCCGUUUGUAGAAAAAAUCCAUUCAAAUUCUAAUCUUGAGAGGGAUUGUUUACUUUUGGAUAUGGUUAUAGAAGAUGGCAGAUAGAAUUUGGAUCUCUUUCAUCUCUGGUUAUUGAAGGAUAUAUUUAGAAAGAUUGUGGGGAUCCCCUCCACAUCCUUCUGCACGUCAAUAUAGAAUUAUAUGGGCUAGGUCUACUAUUGGGGCCUUUUCUGUUAAAAAUGCUUAUAGGAAACUUCGUGAGAUGACGUGGAAUCCAAAAAAUGGAUUAUGGCAGAUUCCGUGGAAAUUUCAUGGUCUAUAAAGAGUUAGAUUCUUCAUUUGGAUGAUGAUUAAAGAACGUCUUCUAACUAAUAUCGAGCGUGUAAGGAGGGGGAGAAGGAGCAACAGUUUAUGUGGAUUUUAUGACCAUGACUCUGAGGAUGGCUUACAUGUUAUCAGAGAUUGUAGAGCAACUAAAGAUAUUUGGUUACAUGUGAUUCUUGAAGAUAAGUGCAAAUGGUUUUUCUUUGGGGACUUGAAAGCAUAGCUAGUGGCUAACUUGCAGAAUCAGCCACAAAUUUUGUUUGGGGAGGUGGAAUGGUCAUGCCUUUUUGGGUUAAUCGCUUGGCGUAUUUGGAAAAUUGAAAUUUACAUAUGUUUCAAAGAGUAUCGUGGAGUGUUGAUGAAGUGAUUAAAGAAUCAUAUAGUUGGGCUAAACAAUAUGCUUCUACAUGCAAGGUGUAUGUGUCCAAAAGGAAUACAACAAAUUCCUGUCUGAUAUUGACAGGUAAUUGGAUUAAGUUAAACACGAAUGGUGCCGUCUGGGUGGAUUCUAGUUUUACUACUGCAGGAGGGGUUAUGCAUGACAUGAAAGGGAAUUGGAUCUUAGGAUUCAAUAGGUGUUUGGAAGUAUGUAUGUUCAAUGCUGGAGGCUGAGUUAUGGGGUAUUUUUAAGGGUUGCGAUUUGACAGAGUGUUGAUUAAUAUAGAUAGCUUGGAAGCAGUUUAGGUUAUUCAAGACAACAACUUAAGGAACUCAAGUUCAACUUUGGCGAGGCGUAUACAUCAACUAUUGGGAAGGACAACUCAAUGGCAUAUCCAACAUGUAUCUAGAGAAGAUAAUAAAGAUGCGGAUUUUCUUGCAAAAUGAAUCGUAGUAAUGAAGACGUUUUACUUCUGUUUGAACAACCUCUUUUAGGUGUUUUAGCUUAAGUCCUUGUGAACACUUUGAUUUGUUUUAUAUUCACCAAAAAAAAAUAAUGGUUUUUUUAUGGUUUCAAAGUAAGAAAAAAUUUAAUGUCAUUUUAUGGUUUCAUUAUGAAAAAAAGUUCUGUAUAGAAAAAAAUUUCUUCCCUCUGUCUAUUAUCACCUUUCUUAAAGUGUAUUAAUUAACUUUUAAUCCCCAUGUACAACUUUUUUUCUCUUAAAAAAGUUAAUUAAUAACCUUAAAAAACUUUGUUUAAGAUUUUUAAACUUAAUAAAAAAUUGUAAUACAUUAUUUAGAAAAUUUCAAAUCAUAUCAUUUAAAAAUAAUAAUGCAGUUAUAUUAUAUAUGUUUAAAAGACAUUAUCAAAUUAUAAUCAUAUAUCCCGUUUAUGCUUGUGAAAUAAAAUAUUUGAGCCAUUUUAAAGGAUUUAUGCAGGGUUAAAAUAGUAAAAUUUUGUAUUUUAAGAGUUAUUAAAUCAUAAAAGGAUAUUAAUUAACUUUUUUAAGAGAGAAAAAGUUGCACAUGAUUAAAAGUUAAUUAAUGCACUCUAAGAAAGGUGAUAAUGAAGAGGGGGAAAUUUUCUUUCCAUCUACAACUUUUUUACUAUUGAAACCAUAGAAUUGCAUUAAAUUUUUUCUUGCCUUGAAAUCAUAAAAAAUUAUUAAUGUAAUUUCAUAUACAACUUUUUUUUUUCCGUUGAAACCAUAGAUGUCAAAUUUAAAUUUGUCUUGCCUUCUUCUCUUCCACUUUUUUUUUUUACAGCUCUCCAUUUUUUUUUCAUCUUCUUCUUUUGUUUCCUUUGCCUACUAAGUACUAUUAGGAGUGUUCAGUCGGUUAACUGACCCGAAAUUGUAAUAACCGAAUUAACCGACCUCCCAAAUUUUUUAAUCGUUAACCGAACCGAAUUUUUUUAAAAAUAAUUAAUCGAACCGAAAUUUUUUUCGGUUAAUAAGGUCGGUUAACCAAUUUAACCGAAAAAUAUGUGUUGGUCAUUUUUGGUUAAAAAUUACCCGAAUUACCUGAAUUACCCGAAAAUUAUCCAAAUUACCCGAAUUACCCGAAAAUUACCCAAAUUACCCGAAUUACCCGAAGAUUACCUAAAUUACCCGAAUUACCCGAAUUAAAUCACUACAUAAUUAAAAACAUUACAUAAAUAUUUGAAUCACUACAUAAUUAAAAAUAUUACAUAAGUCUUUGAAUCACUACAUAAUUAAAAACAUUACAUAAGUCUUGAAUUAACACAUAAUUGAAAUGUAAGUUUUUAAUAUUCUCGAUUUAUAUCCAUUUCAUCUCUCCAAAAUAUAUUCAUUUCAUCUCUCCAAAAUAUCUCCAUUUGCAUUAAACCUAAAAAAAAAAAACAUGAGCAAAAAUUUAGCAUAUAAUAGAAAUAUACGCAUUUAAAAAAACUUAAAUAAUAUAAACAAACGAAUAGAUUAUAAAUUAACAAGAAUAAGAUAGUAGUAAGCAUACCCUUCAACUCACGAAAGCUCAUGAAUCUAGGGUAGGCUCUAAUGCAUUCCAAGAAAUGUCUAAACAUUGAAUCAAUUAAAUAAAUAAGGGUGAUAUGGUAAAAAAAUUGAAACUAUUAAAAUAAAACAAUAAACAUACCAUUUUCAAUCUUGUCAAGCUCUUGGAUUUGUUCUUCAAUCUUUUUUAUGUCUUCUCGUGAUGAUGAUCUUCGAAUCCAAUCUUGAGUACACACAAGAGCUUGUACAAUUUUAGGAGUUAAAGAACUCUGAUAUUGAUCAAGCACACGUCCCCCGGUGCUAAAUGCAGACUCUGAAGCAAUCGUAGAAACCGGUAUAGCUAACACAUCUCUGGCAAUUUUUGAAAGAGUGGGAAAUCUAGGGCUGUUCACUUUCCACCACAAUAAAAUAUCAAAAUCUUCAACAAAUUCUUCAUUAGCCUCAGCUAGAUAUUUAUCCAACUCAGAUGUUUUAUCCUCACCACAAAUUUCCAACUCACGCUUUUUAUACAAAGCUUGCAUUCGCCUUUUCAUUUUUUGUUGUGGUUCACCAAUAGAAACAUGUGUUGACACACUCGAUUGGCUACAAGUACUAUGAAGUGGAGGCUUAUACUCAUCAAACAAUUCAUACAAAGAUUCCUUCAACUUUUGCAUCAUUUCACAAGCUUUUUCAAAACUAGACAUUUCACUAAGUGCAAAUUCAAGAUACUUUAGUUUUUGUCUAGGAUCUAAAACACAAGCAACAAACAUAAGCAAAUUCAUCUUAUCAAUACCACCCCAAUACUUAUCAUACUUCUCUUUCAUCUUGAUGGCCAUAACAUUGAAAUCAAUAUUACUAUUUAACUGAGCAUCUCGUAAAAGAAUAUCAAUUUCGGAAAGAUCAUCAAAAAAUUAUUGGACGUGACAUAUGAAGUGCCAGAUAUACGCAAAGUGACUUCAUAAAAGUGUUCCAAGAAAUCCCUCAAGUUUCUAACAUUAUCCCAAUCAUCCACACUAGGCCAACCCUCUCCCUUUUCAAGUUUAGCCCUAAAGUUUGUAUCUUGCUCCUGAAAUCUCUCAAAAGCUCUCUCAAAGUUCUGAGCAGUGUCUAACAUUAAGUAGGUCGAGUUCCACCUAGUACAAACAUCAAGACACAACAUCUUCUUGCACUCUAUCUUUUCCACCACAACACACUCCUUAAACUUUUGUAAUCUAGUUGGAGAUUGUCUCACAUAUCUAACAGCCCCCUAACACGUUCAACAGAUUUAUUCAUUUCCUUUAAGCCUGCAACAAUAAUCAAAUUCACAAUGUGUGCCAUGCAUCUCAUAUGAAGAUAUUUACCAUUUUGAACUAAACCCCCUCGAGGGUUAAAUUUCUUUCUCAAAUAACCAAUAGCAACAUCAUUUGAACUUGCAUUAUCAACAGUAAUAGUAAACAACUUAUCAAUCCCCCAAUUCAACAAGCAUUUCUUAAUCACCAUCCCAAUCGACUCACCCUUAUGACUAGAAAUUGGACAAAAGUUUAAAAUCUUUUUAUUCAAUUUCCAAUCAUUAUCAAUAAAGUGAGCAGUGAUACACAAAUAAUUAACUCUUUGCAAAGAUGUCCAUGUGUCAGUAGUUAAGCAAACUCUAGAACAAGAACUUCUCAAAAUUUGUUUUGGCUUGACCCUUUCAUCUAGAUACAAUUGAUAAACAUCCCUAGUCAUAGUAGUUCGUGAAGGAAUAUGAAACCUAGGACACGCCACAAACAUAAAUUUCUUAAAACCUUCACUUUCAAUAAACUUGAAAGGUAAUUCAUCAAUCAGAAUCAUUUGUGCUAAUCCUUUCCUACAUGCUUCUUGAUCAAAUCUCCAAGUUGAAAGAUUCCCUUCCCCCGCCCCCUUCAACUCCCUUGCUAGGUAAAACUAGUUGUCCUUGACUAGUGUCAACUACAUUACUAGGAUUUUUCUUACAUGAACCAAUAUGAUAUUUCAAUGACCUUGCACCUUUUUUUUCAUAUCACAACAAAAUUCCUUUUCACAAUAAUUACAUUUAGCCUUACUUGCACCCUCACUAUUAAUAAACUUAGUGAAGUGAGACCAAACUUCUGACCUUUGAGGAGGAGCUUUUCUUUUCCUGGACGUAGUCCCCUUCGUUUGGAUUGAAGCUCCAACCCUCGAAUUUUCAGAAUCUAUCGAAGUAGGAGGUGUAACACUACCCUCAAUAGAUGUUGGUUCGGUUGACAUUCUGCAAGAAAAAAAGUAUAUAAUAAAUUAAAAUAAUACGACAAACUUGGGGUCAACUGUCAAGGACAAUAUUAUUUACAAAAUCCAAAAACUUAAUAAAUUGAUGCAAUAUUAUUUAGAUCAUUUACAUUUUUUAAUUUCUCCAAUAAUUAUUCUAAAAUAUAGCAUUUUAAACCAAGUGAAAUCAUUAGAUAAACCACCAAAGAAAUAGUUUAACAGAUAAGAAUAAACCUUAUGGAAGAAGGCAUGACGAUCUUAUGGGUCCUUCAUUCAUCCAAAUUCGACCACAAUUAUUUGAUACGAAAUAAAAUAUGUUCUGAGACUUAUUUAUUUAUGGAAAAAACACUUAUGAAGUCCCAAGUUAAAAAAAACCUAAUAAAUGAAACUAACUAAAUUAUUCCAAAAUCUUGAUUGAUUAAGUGUUUAAAUAGGUGAAGAUAAUGAUUAGACAUCGAAUCUUUAAUGCUAAACAAUUUUAUUCUUAACAAAAAGAUCUGAAAUAAUUAAUUAACCAAAUAAUUAAAAAAAGAGAAAAGAAGGCCACAAAGAUUAUAAUAUGAUGAUAUAAAUAAAGAAAACAGUUGUACUGAUUAUGAUAAUAAUUCUAGUCUGAUUAUAUAUACUUUUUUAUGAAAUAAUCUGAUUAUCAUUAUUAACAAAUAAAUAAAGUCAUGACGGAUUUUAAAAAAAAAAUACAAAGAUAAAGAAAGAUGGCAAGAAAAGCAACGUUUAAGAUAAGAACAAAAGAAAUAAAUGUGUUUCCCCAAUUGAAUAUUAAAUCGUCAUAAAAUAGUAACACAAUUUCUUAGACGUAUAAAUAUAAUAUUCUACAUGUAUAAAAAAUGUAAAUUCUCCGGAUAGGAUUUGCUAUAGCCUUUGGCUUUAAUCUAUGGAAAGGAUUAAGUUUAGUAUGAAAAUUUGUUACUAUUUUUAGUGGUUUCUCCUUAUGUUUAGAUAAUUAGUUGUGGUGUAUUACUUGAAAUAACUUUUGGAGAAUAAUCAUGAAAAGAGGGUAAGCUUCCAAUUCCUUCCAAACAAAAACUUUAUUCCAUUUAAUACACUACAUAGUUACAACCUUGUGCCAAAUGUUAAAUGUAUUUCAUUUGAACUUAAUCAGCAUCAUGUAUCAAACAGACAAACACUCAGUAUUUUUUAAAAAUUAUAAAUUCCAACACUCAAUAUUUAAUAAGUAUCCAUGCAUCAUGCACGUUUAACCAAUCACUAAUUAUUAUAAUUAAGUAAUUAAUUCCUUUUAGAACCUAAUAAUGAUGCAGAAUACACUUAAAAGGGAUCUAUAUUGUAAUUCUCACAUCCCCCAUGAUAGUUUAAGUGCGCUUUCAGCCUAACCCAUUAUUUUUCAUCAAUAAAAAUAACUGAAAAUGUCAGGCUCUUCAACCCUUAGCCUAUCAACCUCCUCCGUCAAACCUGGAUAAAUUUUCCCUAUAAAUAACAGUUUUGCGUGGCCCUAAGGUUUAAACAAAUAAGCUACAUUACAUACAAUCUUUGCAAUGUCUUAUUCAAGAGUUGCCUAUUAGCCCUUACUUUCAUUGUCCAAACAGCUUUUGGAGCUGACCCUCUUUUCCAUUUUUUUCCAUUAGAAAAAAAAAACGAAUACUAUCUAUAUCAGUCAACUACAGAGUACAAACCCAUUCAAGAAAUUGGAAAAAAAAAAGAAAGGGAAAGUAGAAGAAAGCAAACCUAGCUAUUGGUGUGGUGGUCCGACACUCUGACUCGGCGACUCUGGCGGAAGAGAAAUAGUGUGUGAGUGAAAGUUUAAGUGUGUGAUUUAGGGUGGGAUUCGACUGAGAUUGAGAAUAUUAGGGUGGGAUUUAGGGCUAGAGGGGUUGGGUGUUAACUGUUAAGUGUGUGAGUGAAAAGUGAAAACUGAAAGUGAAAGGGAGGGGGUAGAGACGUAGUAGUCGGGCUGCUGCAGUGCUGCUGAGAAAUGGGCAUUGGACAGUAGGUUUAAAUUUGGGCUGGGUUUAAAUUUAAUUGGUGUAGGCCCAACCCUGUUAAUUUUGGUUUACCCGAAUUUUAUUGGUUAACCGGUCCGUUUCGAACCGAUUUAACCGUUAACCGAACAAACCAAAAAAAUUUAACUGACCCUCGACCGAAGUUUUUCGGUUCACCGACCGAUUAACUGAACUCGGUCGGUUAACCAAAAAAUUUCAAUUUUAACCGACUAAUGCACAGCCCUAAGUACUAUAGUCAGUAAAUUGAACUCAAAAUCUUUUUUUUUCUUCUCAAAUAUUCAGCGCUUCUUCUCUACUGAUAUUGUGUUAUUUUUUUUCAAAUCUCUCUUCUCAUGUAAUUGAAGGCUUAAGAGUCACAUUUCCAAAGCUUUAAAAAGAAUCAAACGGUCACCGAUCAUGGCAACCAGAGCAUGCCAUAAAAAAAAAACCACGCCGGCGCUAGUGGAGAGAAGGUCGGCACCAAAAAAAAUAAUUUAAUCUGACACGAGUGUUAGCACCAAAAAAUACUGAAAAGUAAAAUUUCAUUAUUUCCCGAUGCCGACUACCUAGAUGCUGACACCUAAUAAAAAAUAUUUUUUGAACCAGAAAAUACCCAUAUUUUUCAAAAAAGUACACAAAAAUACAUACGCGUGUUAGCCAUUGCAGUGUCAGCACCAAAAAAAUUAUUUUUUAAAACCCUGACCCAAUCAACAAGCAAUCAUUAUACGCUGAUUGACAUUGGUGACGACCAUCGGAGUGCCGACACUGCCCGACACUGUAGAUUUCAGGUAAUUUUCGUUAUAGUUUUUCAACCUGGGUCAAUGUCAUAAAUUUUUUUUUGGUUAGUUGGGUAAAAAAGCUUAUAAAAUCACUACAAAUAUAAUAUUUUAAAUGGUAAAAGUAUGAUAAAGGCUCUUAUUUUAAGAGUAGAUUACAUUUUUCUCUUUUUACUUAAAAAAUAAGUAAAUUAGUCUUUUUUAUAUUAAAGGUACACGUGACAUUCUAUAUGUAAUUGUCUGAUUAUUCUAUCAAUCAAGUCAAUUUUUAUCAAUAGAAAUAGAAACUUUUUAAUAGAAAGAACUAAUUUACUUUUUAAUCCAAUGUACAAGAAUUAAUUUAUUAAUUUAAUUUUGCUCUUAAUACACAGAUUUUUUAUUUUAUUUUAAGCAUGAUCCAAUAAAUUAACUAAACUAAAAUCUGGUGUUUUUUUUCAAAAUUGAUCCAAAAAAUAGAUUAUUUAUGAAAAUGACCCAGGUGAAAAAUCUUUGAUGGAAAUGACUUGGUUCUAUAGUGCAUGUUGGUGCCAGCCAUCUCACCGUCGGCACCACCCUCCAUGAUCUCUUAAUCAUUACCCGAUGAUUGCCCGGUCAAAUAAAAAAUAAUUUUUUUGUGUUGGCACUGUGUUUGUUGACACCAAUAUGUUUUUUUUCAAAUACACUUAAAAAAUACAGUAUUCUAAGAUUAAAAAAAAAGAAAAAAUAAUAAUAUUUUAAUAGGUGUCGGUGUUCACGUUGCCAACAUAGGUUCAAAUUUAAAAAACAAUGUUUUUUAGUGUUGGUACUAACGUUCUCAUUGUCAGCAUCAGUGUGGUUUUGAUUUUUUUUUGUCGGUGUGCUCUAAUUACUAGGACCGGUGACUGCUUUUUAAAAAAAAAAGCCAAAGGCAUUUUAUCAUUGACAAAAGACUACGGCGUUGUCAUAUUUGUUGCCGUUAACUGCAUGUCCUCCACCGCCAAUGUCUUCUUCCUCUAUUUGCUGCUAUCAUCACACGACACUCUCCUCCGCCUGCUUCUUGUUCUUGAAGCGACCAUCAUCGACUUAUUCAACAUUAUGACUUUUUAUUGAUUGGGCAAUCAUCAGAUAAUAAUUAAAGGAUGAUGGAGGAUGGUACCGACGAUGAGAUAACCGACACCAACAUGUACUAUAAAAAAAUAGUUCAUUUUCAUUGUCGAAACCAUUUUUAUUUUGAAAAAUGGGGUCGACUUUUAAAACGAAAAUGGAGUCGCCACCAAUCUUUUUUCGAGGUGUGAUCUGAGAUUAAUUAUUUUAAUAAAACAUUUUGAUUUAUUAAAAUAAUGAUUUUGGUCUACAAAAUUCGAGAAAACGGGCUCGGAAGUUGGUUAUGCACGAGGAAGGAUUAGCACCCUCGUAACGCCCAAAAAUUGGUACCUAAUUGAUUAAUUAAUGUCUCAAAGUCGAAUGUCGAAAAUUUGAAAAGUUUAGAAACGAUUCCCCUUUUUAUUAAUGCCAUAUUUUAAAACAAUGCUUGGAUAGAUUUGAACGAAUGUAAAAUGAUUUCUCAUCCCGAGGCAACAAGAUGUCGUAUCCCCUAAGUUAGGAUGCAACGUUUGAAUUCCCGAGCAUAAGUUAACCUUUUAAAAAUAUUUAUUGAAACCUUGUGCAUUUGAAAACUAAAAUGUUUAGUCAUUUUAGUUCAAUGAGAAAAUCGAAACCCCGUAAGUUAGAGCACGAUUUCUCAUCGUUCCAAAGACGACAUAUUGCAAACUUCAUUUUCCCUUUUUUACGAAAUUGGAUCAAAGCGAAGGUUUAAUGCAAUAUUAACAAUGAUAUAAAUUUGAUUUAUUCGAAAUGAAAAGAAAUGAAAUAAUCAAAUUUUGGCAAAUAAAUCGAAAAUUUUAACUAUGAUGUAAUGUUCUCAUUUAAUAAAUUGUUUAAAACAACUAAUAAAACACAAUAUAUAAAAAUAUUGAAGCAAAUGAAGUAUGAAGAAAAAUUAGAAUAUCCAUUAUAUAGAAAAAAAAAGUAAUAUUUAUAAUUCAAAAUAAAUAGUAUGUAUAUGGAUGAAGUUUAAAACAAUACAUGAAUUAAAACAAAUAAUAUAUAUGAAUGUACAAUUUAAUACCAAUAAUAUCUACAAUUUGAAAUGAAUUGGAUAAUUUACAAUAAAUAAUAUAUAAUAAAUUUGAAAUAAUAAUACAUAUAAAAUUUAAAAAUUUUAUGAUAAUUCUAGAAUAAUCAUACGUGAUAAAUCCAAAAUAAUAGUAUAUAAUAAAUUUAAAAAUAUUAAUGAUAAAUUUGAAAUAGAUAUACAUGAUAAAUUUAAAAUAAUGUUAACAAUGAAUUUAAAAUAAUAAUAUUGAUAAAUUACAAAUAAUAAAACAUGAUAAAUCUAAAAUAAUAAUAUACAGUACACUUAGAUAAUAUUAAUGAUUAAUUUAAUAAUAAUAAGCAUAAACAUUCAAAUAAUAUCAGAUUUAAUUUUUUUAAAAAAAUAGCAUAAUAAUCGAUACUUAAAUAAAUAAAACACAAGCAAAUUAAAUCAAACUAAUGAGGAUUAAAUUGAAUUUAAAGCAAAAUUAAAAGGAAUAAAUGAGAAUAAAACAAAACUGAGGGCCAAAAUAUGGAAAAAAAUAGAUAGUAUAAAAAAAUAAAUUGCAAUUGAUAAUAUAUGGAAAAAAAAUUAAAGCAAAUAAUCAAACAAUUUAAAAUGGACGAUUUAUAACAUGAGUUUUAAAAAAAUAACAUGUGUGACAUAAUAUUAAAAACAAAUAGAGUAUAUAAUUAAUGGAAAAAAAAUAAAAGAAUGAUAAGAAUGGUUAAAUGAAUGAACAAUAUAUAAAUAAGAAAGUUGAUGGAUAAAUAAACAAAUAAAAAUAAAAGAAUAAUUAAUGAUUAAACAAUUAAAUGGAUAAAUAAAAAGGUUAAAAAACGCUUAAGUCAGUUUAACUCUUACAAUAUGAAGAUUCAAAGAAAUUCCUCCAUCAAAAUCCAACUCAAAUGAAAGCAACUUAAAAAGAAACAAAGAUGAACGAAGAACAAGAUAAGAACAAGCCACAGAAAAUAAGAACGCAAGAGAGGGAGAAAUUUGAGUGAAUGCUUUUAAGAAUUAUUAUUGCUCCAAACUUCAGUGUUUUACAAUGAAGGGAGAGGCCUCUAUUUAUAGUUGAGCCUCCCCAAAUCUAACGAUAUAGAUCAAUUACAUCAACGGCUAAGAUUAAAGGGUAUCUACAAAUUAAAUCUCUAAGAUUACAAAAUCUUAUCUUCUAAGAGUGCAUAUCAUAUCUUAGAUUGCAUAUUCUGGACCUUCAACCCACUACACCAAAACAAGUCUUUAGCGGCGUUUUUUUAGGCCUUUAGCGGCAAACAUCGCUAACGUUUGCAGCGUUUACAAAAAAAACCGCCGCUAAAGAUCAUAUUCUUUAGCGGCGUUUUUUUUAAGCGCCGCUAAAGAACCUGCUCUUUAACGGCGCUUUGUAAAAAACGCCGCUAGAGAUCAUAAUUUUUAGCGGCGCUUUUUUUACAAACGCCGCGAAAAGAAAUGUUCUUUAGCGGCGCUUUUAUACAAAAACGCCACUAUUUUUGGGAUUUUUUUAUAUUAAAAUUUUCAUUUUUUUAGCCCUCCUGUAGCAACAAAUCAAAAGCAACCAGAUCUAAACCAGCCAAAAACAAUAAUUUUAUAUAAUAUUUCAAAUUAAAUGAAUAAAAUAAUAUUAAUAUCAAUAAAUAAAAGUAAAUUCAUAUUAUUUUUGCAAAAAUGUUAAAAGUUAAAAUGAUAGAAAUAUUUAUGCAAUACACUAUGACGGCAGAAGUUGCGACUGAAACAUCUUCAUCAUACUCUAAAGCUGCUGCUGGAGUUCGUCGUACUUUUUGCUUUGCUCUGCUUCUCUCGCUGCAGCCUCUGCUUUAAGUUGUAGCUGGAGUUCUUCAUAUUUUCUUUGAACCUCUGCUUCCCUCGCUGUCGCCUCUGCUUUAAGUUGUAGCUGGAGUUCUUCAUAUUUCCUUUGAACCUCAACUAUGGUCGCUUGCAUCUGAGUCAUCUGAUCUUUUAACCUCUGAACUUCAGCUUGAGCCUGACUCCUCGAAGCCAUGUAUUGCUGCGAGCUGGAUCCAAAAUAUUAGGUUGGGCUAACAAAAGAUCCUUGAAAUCGAACCCGACCAUACCUUUCAGGACCUAAAACUUCAGUAAUAAUCCGGUUAUCAAUGUCUUCAGGAUGAACAGAACUAUCACUAGAAGCAAUCGCUUCGUACUCCGCCUUUUUAUCCUUUAGUUUUUCCUAAUAAAUAAAUCACAUAGUUAGGAACGCAAUAUAUAUUAAAAAACAUAUGCAACAUAACAAUAGUCGCAUUACAAGCAAUGAAUUAAACCAUUAGAAAAUAAACACUAUAAAUAACUAAAAGAAGUCAAAUCGUAUUAAGUAAACGUACCAUUAUUUCACCAGCUUCAGGAGUCAUGGGAGAUCCAUCUUUCUUCCUAUGUGUAAUUUCAAAAAGUUGAAGGCAUCAAACUUUUUGACCGGACGACAGUUCCUACAAUAUAGUAGUAAAAAUAUUAUUUAAUGGAAAGUUAUACAUAUUUGACAAUAUUAAAAAAUUAAAAAUACCUCCGCCUCAGCUACACAUGCAAAACUUCUCGACCUGGCUGUGUGAGUGAAUUUUUGUUUCUGCCUACUGCUUUUUCCAACUCGUUCACGAUCCUACGUUAUGAAAUUUUUAGUACGUAAAUAGUAAAUACUAUAAACCAAAAUAAUUACAAUAGUUUGGAAGUACGUCAUACCUUGCCUUUCUUCGAAUGCCAAAAUCUAACCGCAUCUUCCCAUUGGUACCUCAACAUACCCGGCAGGACAUUUUGCAAUUUCUCAUCGAGGGUUAUUUUUGUCUUAUAAUAAUUUUUCUUCAAAGUACUUUUAUGGUCUCUCCAUCUUUUUCCCAAUGCCUUCUUUACAUAAGCAUCCGAGACCUCCAAAGCAAACCUCGCCUACAAAAAACACAAGUUAAUAAAGUAAAUAUAAAUGAAACUAUUUCCCAAGCAUUACAGAUGACAUUAACAUUUUGUUACCUUAAUAUUAUCGAGGGCUUGGUUUUUGUUGCUAUCGGGCAUUUGAUGCCAUGACUUAUAGUUGAUAGGCAACAUAUUCGCAUUUUGUGCUAAAAUGCCCAUGUAUCCUGCUAAAAGUUGAGCUUCUGGUCCAACAGGCUGACCAAAACUAUUUCGUCCAACCUUGACACGCUCGACUGGAUCUAACUCGUAUAACUCUCUAAGCAGCGUACGUCCUCGACCUCUGCACGUCCCACCAUUUUCAGCUACAAAUGGUAUAUUAUAAUAUAAGAAUUUGAAAAAUAAAUCAAUUAUAAGUCAACACGCAUGUAAAUUAAAUGUAAAAUUACUUUGAACUUCUGUAGGAUCCUCAGAUGUAAUCGGAACAUUCGAAGAUCCAAUUGCUGUCUGUUGUUCAAUACUAUUUGUUUCUGUCGAGUUUGGAUUAUUUUGAACCAUGCUUCCCCUUAGAAUUUUUCUUCUAGGCAUUUUAUCUGCAAUACACAUAAAAUAGUUGAAAACUUAAUAACUAAUUACAACAAUAACAACACAUAUAAAAUAAUUGAAAUAUAUAAUAAGACCAAGAUUUAAAUUAUUAUAUUACAUAUAAUUAAACAAUCGUAAAAUCUUACUCCAUCAUUAUUCGUAAAUAUCUUCAUCCGUAUCUUGACGAACCCAUUGAAAUUGUGCACUAGUACUAGGGAUAUUAUCGUUUAAGUUUUGUUUUGGAAAGGGCAAAGUUUCUGAUCUGUCGUCGAUGUUAUCUCUACUUCCACUGCCCAUGUCAAACAAGUCUCUAGGGAUGUUACGAAGUAUAACGUACUAACCCUCAUCAGUUGGAUAUUUUGAGUAAAAAACUUGUUUGACUUGAGAUGAGAAUACAUACGGCUCAUCUAUCACUUGUUGUCCUAUAUAAAUCAAUCGGGCGAAGUUCACCACUGUAAAACCAAAUUGAUCUUGCUUAAUUCCACGAGCAGUAUUAACAUCAGCCCAAUCACCUCGCAAUAAGACAACUUUCCAUUUGCCGUAGUUAUCCAACUCAAUUAUGUCAGUAAGAAGUCCGAAAUAUUCCACAUUUCCCUCAACAAGAUUAUUGUCCCUAGCACUAGCAUAACUUGUAAUUGAGGAAUUAACAACUAUUCCACAAUCUUGCUUUCUCCUCAACCUCUUGCGAUAUUUUGUAUGAAAUCUGAAUCCGUUGAUGAGGAACGCACUAUAUCUUUUAACCACUCGAUCUGGACCUUGGGAGAGCCAUUUAACUUCGUCGUUUACGUUCUUCCCACUCCGAACCUAUUGAAUGGAAAGUAAACCGAGUAAUUAAAAAUUAUUCAAUGUAGACAAUAUUUCAUAGCACACACCUCAAAAAUUUUCACAAACAAAAAGAAAAACAAUUAAAAAAAAGAAAAAGAAAACCCUGAACUACUAGAAUUAAAGAAACCUAUAGCAGGCAGAAAAAUGUAAAGCAACCUUCUUUGUAGCAGGCAUGGCCUCAAGUAUUAUAACCACAAAGAAUAUCUGACAACAAUUGCCUACACCAAACCAACAUGGACUUGUAAAACAAUUCCCACAAGAAGUUGGGUUAAUUUUAUAUGAAAUAGUUUCCCCGCAAAAAUCUAGCUUUUUGGACUUGUAAAACAACAAAUCCAAGUGAAAUGACUUUAGUUUAAAAUUUAAAUUACGGCACUCUCCGCCAUUCAGCCAAUAGUGCUUUUUAAAGAUAUACAAGUAAAGAAAAACAAACUGAAUGAACAAGAUAGGGAAUGACAAGGCCCAUGAGGAAAAUAAUGAAAAAAAUAAAAAUUCAGAUAAUAGUUGAAACAGAACUAACGGUUCUAGGAGAAACUUGGACAAGCCCAGAUACAGAUUUAUACACUUAAGGUAGCCAAAAUUUUCAAUGGCAGCAAAAAUGAAAAAAAAAUGUAUAUAUAUACAGAAAAAGGAACUGAAAUCUUGUAGAAAGAGAAGAGGUGGCUCACUUCUCGGACGUGGAUAAGCAGACGGAGAAACAACGAAAAUGAAGCACAGAUUCAAAAGAGAUGAUUUAAGAGAAAAAGUUUUAUAUUUAUUUAUUCAUUUGCCUUACUAAUAAUAUCAAAUUCCAAGCAGGAAAGAAAGGUUGAAUUCCAAGCAUUGAUUUUAAAUGUCAAAGGAACGAUGACACCUUCGCCGAAGAUCUCCGGUGUGUCAACAUCGUCGACUUCCAUGGCUGAACCUUGGUCGUCUGGGUCCGUCACGAAUUCCAUCGGCUUCUAAGCUUCUAGGGAUUUCUUUCCCCCUUUUUCUUUAGGCUUCUAGGGAUUUCUUUCGUUGUUUUAAUUUUAAUUAUUUCUGUUGAAAUAUCUUUCCCCUCUUUUCCUUACAAUAAAUUAUGGAUUUUGUGGCGUUUUUAGAAAAAACGAAGCUAAAAAAAUUAAAUUUUUGUAGUGAAACGGCACGUUUUGGAAAAAUUUAAUAAAUAUUUGCGGCGUUUUUUGUCCAAACGCCGCUAUUGCUUACCUUUUGCGGCGUUUUUCUCAUAAAUGCCGCUAAUGGUUGAUUUUUUUUAUAAUUUUGUAUUUAAUUAUUAUAUAAUUCAUAAUCCAUAAUUCCUAAUUAUUUAAAUUAUUUAAAAAAAAAGAAAAUCAAGAAUUGUAGAUUUAAUGUUGAUAUUAUAAAUUACUGGUAAAUUCAAAUAAAAAUCUAUCUUAUCUAAACAUUUUAAAUAUAUAUAUAUUUUCAAAUUGUUAAAUUUCAGUCCUAUAUAAAUGAAUCACCAUCCUGUUUCAACAUUCGGCUUUCGAAAUUUCAAUGGAAUUUACAGAAAAUAUUUUGUUAUUUUAUUUAAUAAUUAGGUGUUUUGUGAGAUAAUAAGUAAGAAAUUUAAUUGACAUAUUAUCUUAAUAUGUUAUAAAAAUACUGUUAUUAUCUUAAUUAUAUUACUUACAUUCUAAUGAUUUAUCGGACCUAUUCCAUACACGUGUCAAAUCAGAAAAAUAAUACAACAAUUCUGUAAAAAAAAAUUCGGUGUUUACUUCAAAUAAAUAAGGAAAAUAAUAAUUUGAAUGUUUCAAAAUUCAAUUUUAAACCGAAAAAUCAAAAUUUAGAGGCAAAAAAGGAUCUUUUUCGACGAAAACUGCGGCAAACUGCCUUCGGCAAUUUGUCAGGGCGUAGAUCUCGAAAAGUUAUUCGAGAUAAAAAAAAUGGCCUCAAUUGGACAACCGAGCCAAAAGUUAUGGCCUUUCAAAAUUUUCCAAGCUAAAAAACAUAAACUGUUCAUGAAUUAUUACUUCAAAACUCACCGUUUCGUUUCCAUUGAUUUCAUCGUGCACCAUUUCAAUUGAUUUCACAAAUCCCGCCUCUAAUCCUCCCAAAAUUUGACAUCCCUCCAACUCUACACAACGAUUCAAAAUGCUUUCUUUUUCAGGCAAAAUACCAAAAAAGCCCUAUAUUUUUAAAAUUUAUCGAAAUGGGCCCGGUAUUUUAUUAUUUACCGAAAUGGGCCAUUUUUCCCGAAAUCGCGUCCACGUCAGCGCGAUACCAGGGGACGUGUUGAAACUCUAAACCCCAAAUCCCUAACCUAAUUAUUGAAACCUUAAACCCCAAAUCCCUAAACCCUAACCCCUAAAUCCCAUAACCCAUAAAUCUCUCUAACCUCUAAAGCAUAACACUGAACCCCUAAACCUUAAUUCACAAACCCAAAAUCCAUACCUCGGCCUACUCCUUAAACUCUAAACCAUAUAAUAUAGUGAUAAUUAAUUCAAUAUUUUUAAAUUAAUACUAUCUCUUUUACGAUUAUAUAAGAAAUUAUUUAAUAUAUAAGCUAAAAAAAUCAGUAAUGUAUCCAAAAAGCUUUAAAAUUAUUUUAAAUAAUAGUAUUUUAAUUUUUCCAUUUUUAACAAAUAUUUUAAAUUAUUUUAAAUCCCUGAGCAUUAGCGGCGCUUUUGUAAAAACGCUGCUAAAUCCCCGAAAGCUCAGAAAACGGCAUCGUUGGGUUUAGGUUUUUUUGCGGCGCUUUCCCAAAAACGCCGCUAAAGCCCUGAGCAUUAGCGGCGCUUUCUUAAAAACGCCGCUAAAUCCUCAAAAGCUUAGAAAACGGCGUCGUUGGGUUUAGCUUUCCCAAAAACGCCGCUAAAGCCCUAAGCAUUAGCUGCCCUUUCUUAAAAAUGCCGCUAAAUCCCCGAAAGCUCAGAAAACGACGCCGUUGGGCUUAGUUUUUUUUACGGCUUUUUCCCAAAAACACCGCUAAAGCCCUGAGCAUUAGCGGCGCUUUCUUAAAAACGCCGCUAAAUCCACGAAAGCUCAGAAAACGACGCCGUUGGGCUUAGUUUUUUUUGCGGCGCUUUCCCAGAAACGCCGCUAAUGCCCUGAGCAUUAGCGGCGCUUUCUUAAAAACGCCGCUAAAUCCACGAAAGCUCAGAAAACGGCGUUGUUGGGCUUAGUUUUUUUUUGCGGCGCUUUCCCAAAAAUGCCGCUAAUCCCCGAAAGCUCAGAAAACGGUGUCGUUGGGCUUAGGUUUAUUUGUGGCUUUUGAGCAAAAACGCAAGUAAAGUCCUGGGUAUUAGCGGCGCUUCUCGAAAAACACUGCUAAAUCCUCGAAAGCUCAGAAAACGACGUCGUUGGACUUAGAUUUUUUUGUGGGGCUUUAGCAAAAAUGCCGCUAAAGUCCUGGGUAUUAGCGGCGCCUCCCGAAAAACGCCGCUAAAUCCCCGAAAGCUCAGAAAACGGCGUCGUUAGGCUUUGGUUUUUUGUGGCGCUUCGGCAAAAACGCUGCUAAAUCCGCUAAAGCUCAAAAAAUGGCGUCGUUGGUCUUAGGGUUUUUUGUGGCGCUUUGUCAAAAACGCCGCUAAUGCCCCGAAAGCUCAGAAAACGACGUCGUUGGGAUUAAGUAUUUUGUGGCGCUUUCGCAAAAUCGCCGCUAAUGCUUAUUUCAUCGGCGUUUUCCAUGGAACGCUGCUAAUGGUCGAUCUUUAGCGGCGUUUUUUAUCCAACCGCCGCUAAAAACGCCGCUAAAAGUCUGUUUUGGUGUAGUGACCUUUUCAAGUAAUGAGUCAUUCCGAUCGGACCAAAUGAUAUAAUUUUGGACUGGAGUUAGACUUUAUUUUAUUAUUUUAAGUUUUUUUGUAAACUCGGGCUAAAUUGACCUAUUACAUUCAUAAAUAAAAUUUAUAUUUAAAUCAUUUUUGUAAAUAAUCAAAUUUAAAACCCACAUUUUACAGUGUUGUGCUUCUGGAUUCAUCGUAGGCCUAAGAGUUGGCAAGAUCAUGAGUGACAUAGUGGGUAGUUGUUGUGUAAUGUCAAUCUACAGAAGACACGUAAUUAGAAAGUGACAAAAUUAUUGUCCUUCAGUUGUAGGACAUCCCAUGCAUUUACACUUUGAAAAAUAAUGCAAAGAGCUGACGCGUAAGGACAGCAAUUAAUGGUACGGUAUUCAUCUGUCUCAUAAUUAAUUAAUAUGGCCACAACCACAAGGCUUGUGCCAAAUCACCCCCUACUUCAUUUGACCCCAAUCUGAACUGAAAACCAUGCCUCCAACUUCUUUGCUCCUUAGCUGGGACUGAAUUAUGUUAUUUUACAUUUCCUAUUUGCUUUAAUAUUAUAGAUGUAUAUUUAUUUUAUUUACCCUAUACAAAUUUACAUUAUCCUCUAUCAUUUUAUUAAAUAUAUAUAUAAUAACACCCUUAAACAAUUAAAUUAGGAUUCAACUUUUUAUGGGUUACUUAUUUAAUGAUUUAACCUUUCAAAAUGGUCACAUGAGCGUUACUUUUAUAUACGUAUUUAAAUAAGAGUUUUUCAUACGCUUCAAUUAAGUUCAUAUUAAAAAUUAGUUAAAUGAUAAUAUGUUUAGAAUAAAAUAAAUAACAACUAAAUAAAAUAUUAUUUAAAAAGAAAAGAAAAGAAUAAUAACAUAAUUUGAAACCCAAUAUACGAUAUCUAAGAAGCCAUUAUUUUUGUAGUUUUGAAAUGGUUUGGCUAUUAUUUAAGCACUUUCGAAAAGGUUCGGCCAUUGUUUGAACAUUUUGAAAAGUUUAGCCUUCUUUUGAGCACUUUUGUAAAGAUUAGGCCUUAUAUGACAAUUUUGAAAGAUUUGAUCCUUAUACGAGCUACCCUAAAAGGUUAGACCUCAAAUUGAGCAUUUUUAGCUUUUGAUUUAUUAUUAUUAUUGUUAUAACAUUAAUGUUAUAUAAAAUGUUGAAUAAUACAAUGAGUGUGAUUCACACUAUAAGGGGGUGUGAAGAGCCUCUAGAAUGGGGCAAUUUACACCAUAGAUGAUGCGAUUGGAUUUUAAGUUGUAACACCUUGAAUAAUUUAAGUCUGUUUUUGUGAAAUUUAGGGUCUGUCUGAUUGCCAGUAAAAUGUUUUCCGUAAAAUAAUUUUUGGAAAAUGUUUUACUUUUCUAUAAAAUGAUUUACUGGAAAAUAUUUUUUGGUGUUUGAUUGAAUCCGUGUAAAAUAUUUUCUGCUGUUUGGCAGAUUUCCUGAAAAUAUUUUUCGAAAAAGUUAUUUUUACAUAUAUUAAUAUAUAUUAAUAAAUUUUUAUAUUUUAUUGCAAUGAUUUAUUUAUAAUAAUACUCAAUUAUUAAGCUACAAUAUUAAUCGUUAAAUUAAAAAAAACUAAAUUAAAUAUAUAAUAAUACUCAAUUAUUAAAAUAUAAAAGCAUUGCAAACUACUUCCGAAAUUUACUAAUUAGUAGUGAAUCAAUUGUAGUGAUCUCCUGAUGAAAUUACGCUCAGCAUAAAAGCAAUUUUUUUGUUGUCUUACAAACAACACAGAUAGCAUCAUUAUCAAAUUUCAGCCACUCUCAAGUAUAACCAAUUCCUUAGCCAACCAAUCUACAUUGUAACACAAAGCUAACUCCUAUAAAAAUUAUCCCAAUGCACACAUUUACAGAAAUAAAUAUGUAUAUAUGUAUGCAUUCAACAAAUACAUAACCAUAUGCAUGCAAUCAGCUAUGUUCUUUGAAAGCUACUACUAGAUCAAGCAUUGCCCCAAUACCAUAGGUUGCCAUCCAAUAGAGAGGAAAAAAUACAAGCAAAGAACCCAACUUUUUACUUAGACAUAUGGCGAAACGUGCUCAUGCAACUGGUAAGAAAAAAUCACUCAUGGCCCAAAAAAGAAUUUCAUAAAACUGAUAGUAAAAUCAAAAUGAAUGAUACAUACAAUCAAAAUUUUCAACUGACACCUAUUGAUUUAAUACAACCAGGUAAAGAGGCCGACAACCAUCUGAUAUCUAUGAAGCAAAUGAACUAGCAAUAUACUAGAAAUAUCAGCAAUUGCAAUCAACAAAGGCAACAGGCUCCAUUGAAGUCCCCAAUUUAAAUCUAUUGAUUUAAUACAUGCUCUCAUUGAAGUCCCCAACUCUAGGAAUAUUGUUCUGCCAGAAGCUAGUCAGUUAAGCAAAAUCAAUAAAAAUUCAAGAAACAUAAACCCAAACCUAGAUAAACUACUGCAUUUAUCUUACGGUGCUUGCCAAUUACGUUGCCAUGAUUUCCAAUUAUAACAGAAAUGGAGUUCUGAAAAAGACCGACCCGUACCCGGGGUUCUCUUAACAACUCUUUGUCAGCAGAAAAUUUGAAAGCCUGGAAUGAUUUGAAAUGGAAAAGCACUUAUAACUGCCUUCUACAAUAUACUUGUAUUGAAAUGACAAAAAUUGAGGCACAAGGUGAUAAGAGCUAGAAAGGGGUGCAAGUGAUAAUAGACAUUAACAUGUCCUUACCUUCCAAUAAAUUUAAAAUGGCAUAUCCAUCGCAAGAAUUUUUAUGAUUUGUACCCUCGACAACAUUGGUGAAGAACAACACAACCUAUAAAAUUGUUAUAAGUAUCCUAAAUUGAGAUCUACCUUGAUCAUUAGAGACAAGAUUAGUGCUUUGUUGUAGCACAAUUUAAAAUAAUUGUUUAUGAAAGCAAGACAAUGUGCAAGUACACAAGCAUGAGAGCAACGGAGCUUUCAAUUUUAUCUAUUAAUGGUUUUCACAUGUCUUGAGAGAGAAUAUGAUUGCUAGAUAUUACAAAAGGUUAAACAAAAAAGGUAGGCUAUAUUCUGUACUAGCUCUACAAGUUCAGAGUACAAAAACCACAAGCACUUCUAAUAAAUCAAAUUCUACAGGUCUCUAAUGGUCAGAACCAUUACUCAUUUAUCUUCAGAAAACAGGAGUGGCGAGUUGCAAAAAUCUAUACCUCAUCAACUUCCAUUGAGAGAUCAUUCACACUUUGCCUAAGUAAUCCUUUCAAUCUUCCUUUCUUGAAAUCUGAAAGCUCAGCACCAAUGUUGUUUUCAAAAAGUGAAUCAACAUCUUUAGGACUACAAUCCAUAGACUCUUUAUCAUUGACCACCAUAUACUUCCCUUGAGACAACUCAGAUGCAUUGGAAUUGGACAGAGUAUUUUUAUCUUCUGACAACAGGUCAGCUAUUUGACAAGCAUAGAAGCUAAAGAAAUCAGGUCCAGCUUUACAUUGCUUACUCGAACCAUCUGAAUUUCUCGGCAUCUCUGACAUGAUAGAAGUACUACUACUCUGCAUACGACAACUACAUAGAUAUGAAUCAGUCCAGACUCCAGAUAAAUAACUGAAGCAAAAGAGGAAGAAGCACCAUUAUAUAUACUAUACAAAUUUCUCUCUAAAGCUAUAUUUAGAAACAUGAAUUUGAACAUUUGGAUUUAAUUUCAUUUGUUAUAAAAAUCUACGGAUAAAUAAAUAUUGAUGAGCUAAGAUGAUGGAUCUCUAUAUCAAUGAAUCGUUAUAAUGCAGUAAUGUUGGAUAAAUAAAUAGGCACUUGAAGAUCAAACUCAUGUUUUGAAGAGAGGGCUUUAGCUGAUUCAGGUGGAACAAUAGUUUCAAGUGUUGUUCCGCAAUUCAGCCUUAGAAGCAAUCGGCUGACUUCCUGUUAAUAAACCAUAACAAAAUUCCAAAAGAUUGUUACUUUCACCAGCAAUAAGAUCAGUAGAUUUUGACUUUUAAUAGGCAAAACAUGUUACUUGUUAAUGAGAUAAACUGUUUACAAAUUCUAGGAUCGUCUGCAAUGAUUAUUUCAGUGGCAAAAACUGACUAAAAUGACAAUAACCAAUCAAUUCAUAAUAGACAAUAUGAAAUGGGUUUCCUUUUUCAUGAUCAAAUUUGCUUUUACAAUAUAUAUAUAUAUAUAUAUAUAUAAGCAAGAAAAAUAACAGGAAAGACAAAUAAAUUACAACCCGGAAAGUGGGAAAAAAGAAAAAGAAAAGACCUGGUAGAGUUGAGGCUUGAGAUUUGCGCUCAAGAGGUGGUGAAGCGAAUUAUACCCACAAAUUGAUCCAUAUUUGAAACUUUCUUUUUCUUCUGUGCUUCCAUUUUCUUUCCCAAUUCCAUCAGUUUUUUCAUUUUCUGAUUCCCUCAAUUAUUGCUCCGAAAUCAAAACAUAGAAAAAAGGUUGAUGAACGCCGGUGUCUAGUGUUAAGAAUCGAUGUUGGUUGAUGGCAAGCAGAAGAUCAGGUGUCAAGGAUAGGAGAAAGGGAAGGGCAAGGGAAAGGGAAAGGGAAAGGGAAGAUCGAUGUCUAAAAUUUUCUUGAAAAUGUCUUAUCGAAUUAGAAACGGUAAGAUAUUUUCCAAAAUUAAAGGCUUCUUUUUCCCGUAUUUGUAAUUGAUUUUACGUGAAGAAAAUAUUUUCAGCCAAACAAACACUGGAAAAGGCUGAAAACCUUUUCCGGAAAAUGUUUUACUACAAUCAAACAGAGCCUUAACAUAAAAUGUGUAUUUGCUUCAGUGGUUAAGUGUUCUGGGUGUGUGUAUGAGGUUUUGGGUUCAAGUCUUUAUUUUGGAAUUUUUUUUUAUUUUUUUAUCCAAGCCUUAUCUCUAUUAGGUGGGCUUAUGUUUUAUCUUUAGUAAACCCAAAUCAGAAUGAGCCUGUUGGUUCGAGCAAUAACGAGUUAGCUUGCUGAAGGUCCUGUGUUCGAUUCCCUGUGUGAGCGUGGAUGAUAUUUUUGUUUUAGUUGUGAGAUAGAGGUUAGGUGAAAGUAAAAUUCUAAGGUGGUGGAGAGUUAGUCGGUUAGUUAGUGGAAUAAUGGAAAGUUGAGAUAUUAGGGGUUUCAAAUUUUAUUUUAAUUUUUUUUCUUCUCAAAGUUUUUGACGUCAGUUUUAUUUUAUUUUUCCCUCUUUUAACAUUUUUACCUUCUCGGUAAAAUCCUUUUCAUUUCUCUUUGAUUCUAUUCGUGAAUCCCUCGUUCAAAUCAUUGCUACUGUGAUUUUUGGGUUCUUUAAUCGGUUGGUAAGUAGAACUUCGUAUCUCUUUAACAAUUGGUUUGAGAUAUUGGCAAUGUUAAGUUGUAGCGAUUAAUUAGUAGAUUCUGUGUUUAGGAGAAGAUUGUGAAGCAGAAAAUUCACUCCGACAGCCUAAUCCGUGUUAGUGGUGGUUUUCAUUAACGAUAAGUUUGUGAUCGUUGUUGAAUUUUUGUCACGAAUUUGUAAAUUGGUUGCUAAUCGGGGUUAGAGAUACUAUUUACAGGUUUUUAUGGUCUCGGGAUUGAUUAUACUACAAAAAUAAACCAGGUGUGUAACCCUAACGUGAGAAAAUGAGAUUCGACGAAAGUUAAAAUUUAGGUUUGUCGACGCCACACUAGCGUGUGCCCGGUCGUGUGCAAGACAUGGUCGUGUGACUUAUAAGGGUAUGGCCCUGCGUAAGACACGACCGUGUAACAGUGUUAGUGUGGCUGUGUGGACUUCACGGGCUGGGCGAGAUUGGCCGAAUGGGCCCAUACGGGCAAGCCACAUCGACGUGUGGGCCCAUAAUUCUAAAAUUUUCCCUAGGAUCUCACUGGUCGUUUUGAUUGAAUGUGAACCUAUUAUAGGGUCGGUAAGGGCUAAUCAAACUCUAAUUCAUGUGAUCUGAUAUUCUGAUAGUCUGAUUUGAGUAGGACAUUGAUAUGUAUGUAUGACUGUUCUGUUUGAGUAUAUAUAUAUGUGUUAUCUAUAUACGAACAUGUGUUAAUUAUGUUAAUUUUGUAUUAUGUAUUGUGUUUAGGGUGGGAUUUGUAUAUAUGGAGGAAGUGAUCUGUACGGUGACCUUUCGCCUAUAUUCUGGUAGCUUGGCUGCGUAUUAUCUAUUAUGUGUCGCAUCAAAACUCUAUGGUGUCUAGGGAUGGGUGGGUGUUUUUAACCCCCACAUGGUGUGAUGGGAUGGACGGAGAUGGUGUGUAGAGGAUGGGGGUAGGAUUUUGUAUAUUCGUUCUAUUUAUCUGAUAUGAUUUCUGUAACUGUUGUGGACUUAGGUUCGAAUCUGUUUCUGACUGUAUAUGAAACUUUGUGUAUGCUGCAUGUCUGUCUCUGUUGGGUUACACACUGAGUUUAUAUAAACUCACAUUUGUUUGACUUUUUUGUUCAGGUAACCUAUAGACAUAGGCGGGUCAGUGCGACGGAGGCUCAGCGGUGACCACUCGAUAGAAAACUGUUUCCAUUUAUUAUUUCAUGGUUUUUAUUUAAAUUUCUAAUUUUCGUGAGAGUUUUGUAAUUUUUGGACUCUCCAAACUUUUUGAACUGUUUGGUUUCAAUUUUUGGUUUGGUUGGGUUAUGAUUUCUAAACUACGACAAUUCGACAAAAUAUUGAUUUUACGUGAUCAAAUGUCAUCGAGCCUGGUUUCUAUUUAAACGACUUUUCAAACUUCCGCUGCUAAAUGAUUUGGUUAACCUUAAGGGAUAACAUGUAACUGUUUCAUUAAUAAAUAUAUAAGUGAAUACGUUUUACAAAACUUGGACGUUUUAUUGAAAUAUUAUUGGUUUUAAAACCUUUCUUCGUAACACUCCUGAAUUCGGCCAUAACGUCUAGGUCGAGUUUGGGAUAUUACAUUUAGUGGUAUCAGAGCCAGGUUGUAAAACUCGGGUUAUGAAUUUUGGAUUCCAAAAUUUUGUCUUGAAAAAAGACUAGUUUUUAAAUAAUUUAGAUCAUUCCUGAGUAAGUAUGUGAUACACCAAGUCUUCGGUGUCGAUUUUAUAAGUAUCUCUAAAUUUUGAAAAUACAAUAGAUAGUACUUUAUGAAAUUGUAAUAAGUUAGUUAAAGACUAAAACCUCUGAAAUACUUCUGAACUUUUGAUAUUUUAAGCAUAAAAUAUUUGUUAAUAAAAAUUGAAACUGAGGCAUAAAAUUUUAUAAUGUAAAUAAAAUUAAAAAUACGAUGAGUACUCAUGAAACUCAUGGUCAUAGUAAUCGUGGACGUGGCGGGCGCCGUAGUAGGGCUUGAGUUGAGUUUUCCUCUCUAGGCAGUAUGCCAAAUUUAGAUACGAGUGAGGCACCGGUUUUACUUACUACAAAGACUGGGUUUGAAAGCCGUUCGUCUGGGGACGAUGCACUGUCCUAAUCUAUGUUGAGAGUGUUGGAGAGGGUUGCUAGACCCUAUUCGGGAUCUGGAGGUCGUAGGUCGAUAACAAAAUGACUUCGAUCCAAUAGAGUUGAGUUGUUUAGAGGUGUCACUAGAGUCACCUUUACUGUGGACGAGUAUUGGUUAGAGGCCAAUAAGAGGAUUAUGAAUGACAUCUACUGCACUCCUGAGUAGAAAUUAAAAGGUGCAAUCUCUUUGUUUCACGACGAAGCUUAUCAGUAGUGGUUGUCAGUUGAGGAGGGUAUUCAACCGGAUCAUCUGAACUGAGACUACUUUAAGACCGCUUUCUAGGGAAAAUAUGUGGGUGCAAGCUCUGUGGAUGCUUGUAGGCGUGAGUUCACGAAUCUCACGCAAGGUGAUAAGUCUGUGGUCGAGUAUGAGGUCAAAUUUCUGAGACUGAGUCGCUACGCUCAAGGCAUUGUGGCAUCUGAGUAUGAGAAAUAUGUUUGUUUUAAGGACGGCUUGAGGGAUAGUCUGAGGGUAUUAAUUGCUUCACAGAGAGCGAGAGUUUGCUGUUCUUGUGGAUAAGGCGAAGAUCGCCGAGGAGGUUAAGGACGUAGAGUGCUAGAACAGAUAUCGUGAGAGAGGCAAGAAUAAGAAGGAUUCAGAGCCCUCUAGUUCUAUUCAGAGGCCUAAGAAAUUGCCCAGACCUGAUGGGCCUGUUAGGGUGGGAGUUAUUAUUGCUCUUACUAGGAUUCAGCCUUGUGGUGACUGUGGUAGGCUUCAUCUGGGUAAGUGUUGGAGGAGAUCGGGGCUUAUUUGCGGUAUGGGUCUUUAGAGUACCAGAUUAAAGAAUAUCCACAUCGUACCAAUUAGAUGCAAGCUACGGGACCAGGUUUUGUUCAGCCUCAGAGGACAGUACAACAGCCACCUAAGGGUCGUGGAUUGGCUAGGAGUGGUAAUGGUAUGAGUCAUGGACAGAGAGUACCAGACAAAGGUGUUAAUCAGACUGAGGCGAGACAACCUGCACUGGUUUAUACUGCUCGACGCCGAGAGGAUAGAGACGCUCCUGAUGUGAUCACGGAUACGUUUUUAAUUUUUGAUAUUUCAUAUAUUACUUUGAUAGACUUAGGUUCUACACACUCCUAUGUAGCUAGUGUUGCUUCUGAAAACUUGAGAAUUUCUAUUGAGUGUACUUGUGGUGAGAUUAUUGUACUGAGUCUGUUGGGACAGUCUGUUUGGGUAAAUAGACUUUAUAGGAAUGUUUCGUUGGAAGUAUAAUGGGUUAUCUUUUCGGUAAAUCUGAUGGAGCUAUCGUUUGGGGAGUUUGACUUAAUUCUAGGUAUGGACUGAUUAGUUGAACACCGAGUUAGUUUGGAUUGCGUAACUAAGAGGGUCAUUUUGAGGACCAAAGAUGAUAAGGAGGUGGUUGUGAUUGGUGAGUGUCGAGAUUACUAGUCUAAUAUAAUCUCCGCUCCAGUAGCUGAGAAAUUAGUUUGAAAAUUGUGAGGCGUAUUUAGCCUACGUCAAUAUUUCAGUUUAUGGGGACUCUGCUGUCGGGGAUAUCAGAACAGUGAGGGAAUUUUUGGAUGUUUUUCUUGAGGAAUUGCUGGGUUUACCUCUGAAUCAAAAAGUUGAGUUUGACAUUAAGCUUCUACCGGGUACAAAAUUGGUAUUUAUAGUUCUUUACUGUAUGGCACUGAAGGAGCUUACAGAGCUUAAGGUUUAACUUUAAGAGCUUCUGGUUUCAUCCAUUCUAACGUGUCUCCGUGGAGGGCACCAGUUCUAUUUGUGAAGAAAAAUGAUGGUACCAUAAGGAUGUGCAUCGAUUACUAGCAGUUGAAUAAACUGACUGUGAAGAAUAAGUACCUACUUUCGAGGAUCGAUGAUCUGUUUGAUCAAUUUUGAGGGGCUUCAGUAUUCUCAAAAAUAGAUAUCUGUUUUGGGUAUCAUCAACUUAGAGUUAAGGAAGCCGAUAUUUAUAAGACGGCUUUUAGGACUCGUUAUGGGCACUACGAGUUCCUAGUUAUGCCCUUUGGUUUGACAAAGGCUCCAACUGGAUUCGUAGAUCUGGUGAACCAAGUUUUUGGUGUACUCUAAGAUUGAGGAUAAGCAUGACGAUCAUCUUAGGGUAGUGCUUCAGAUACUUCGAGAGAAACAACUUUACGCUAAGUUGAGAAAAUAUGAAUUCUAGUUAUGAGAAAUAACAUUUUUGGGGCACGUGGUUUCUACUGAGGAGAUCCGAGUUGAUUCUAGAAAGAUUGAGGUUAUGCUUGACUGGAAACAACCUAAGAACGUAUCUGAGAUCCGUAGUUUUCUAGGACUUACAUGUUAUUAUUGGAGGUUUAUUGAGGGGUUCUCGUUGAUUGCAGCUCCUUUAACUAAGCUUCUGUGCAAGAGUGUUCCUUUCUUCUAGACUGAUGCGCAAUAAUCGAGCUUUGAGAAGCUCAAGUCUAUUUUGACUCAAGCUCUUAUUUUGAUAUAGCCUGAAUCUGGUAGGGAGUUUGUGGUGUACAGUGAUGCGUCGCACGUUGAUUUGGGAUGUGUACUGAUACAAGAUAGUAAGGUUAUGGCUUAUGCGUCUCAAUAGCUCAAGUCACGCGAGGGAAAUUAUCUGAUGCAUGAUCUCUAGUUGGCUACGGUAGUGUUUGUACUAAAGAUUUGUAGGCCCUAUCUGUAUAGUGAGAGGUGUAUUAUCUACACCGAUCACCAGAGCCUCAAGUACCUCCUUACUCAGAAGGAAAUCUUAGGCAACAUCGAUGGAUUGAGCUGCUAAAAGAUUAUAACUGCACAAUGGAGUAUCAUCCCAGUAAGACUAAUGUGGUGGCUGAUGCUCUCAGUUGUAAAGCGAUGACUGAUUUGAUAGUAGUGUUCGCUCUUCUUAGUCUGUUGGAUGAUGGAGGUCUGUUAGCCGAGUUGCAAGUUAAGCUGACUUGGAUUGGGCAGAUUUGGGAAAGGGGAUGAGUCACUGGUUCUGCGGUUUGUCAGGUUGGGAGUGGCUAUACUUUUGAUUUUAGACUGAAUAAGGAUGGAGUUCUGUGUUUUUGAGGACGGGUUUGUGUAUCAAAUGAUUUUGAUCUGUUCUGAGGGAAGCGUAUAGUAGUCCUUAUGCUAUACAUCCUAGUGGUAAUGGAUUUUCGUGAGCUGUACUAGUGGCCGAGGUUGAAACGAGAGGUAAUAGAUUUUUUUAUUCAUUGUCUGAUAUGCCAGCAAAUUAAAGUUGAGCAUUAGUUUCCUUCAAGUUUUCUCCAACCCGUUAGGAUUCUUUUAUAGAAAUGAAAACGAGUGAUGAUGGACUUCGUUAGUGGGUUGUCCUUGACACUCAUUAAGAAUAAUUUUGUUUGGGUCAUCAUGCAUCGAUUGACCAAAUCUGCCCAUUUGAUUCUGGUCCAGACGAACUUCUUUCUACAAAAGUUAGAGAAGCUCUAUAUCUCCGAGAUUGUAAGACUGCAUGGGGUUUCAGUUUCGAUAAUUUUUGAUAGGGAUCCUUGCUUCACUUCUCGUUUCUGGAUGAAACUUUAGGAAGCCCUAGGUUCGAGAUUGGACUUCAGUACUGCGUUUCAUCCUCAGACCAAUGGUCCAUCAGAGAGGGUGAUUCAGAUACUGGAGGAUAUGCUUCGGAGUUGUGUGAUUGAUUUUUGAGGUAAUUGAGAGGAUUUUCUGUUGUUAGCUGAAUUCACCUGUAAUAAUAGUUUCUAUUCUAGCAUUCAUAUGGCACCUUACGAGGCUUCGUAUGAUCAUAAGUGUCGUACUUCACUAUGUUAGACUAGUUAGGUGAGUGAUAGAUUUUGGGUCUUAAGUUGGUUUUCUAGACUGAAAAUAAGGUUAGAUUGAUUCGGGAUUGUCUGAAGGCGACUUUUGAUAGACAGAAGUCCUAUGCAGAUCUAAAAAGGAGGGAUAUUGAGUACUCUGUGGGUGAUUCUGUAUUCUUUAGGGUAUCACCGUGGAAGAAGGUUCUACGAUUCGAUCGUAAUGGCAAGUUAAGCCUUAUUCAUUGGGUCGUACCAGAUUCUGAAGCAUGUGGGACUGGUUACUUAUCAGUUAGAGUUACUUCUAGAGUUGGACUAUAUCCAUGAUGUGUUACACGUCUCGAUGUUGAGGCGGUACUAGUCUGAUCCAUCUCACGUUGUCUUUGUUGAGGAGAUCGAUGUUAGACCAGAUUUAACUUUUGAGGAGGAACCGGUUCAGAUUUUGGAUCGAGAUAUUAAGGUUUUGAGGAGGAAGUCCAUAUCGUUAGUGAAGGUUCUGUAGUGGAAUCAUGGCAUUGAGGAAGCCACGUGAGAACUUGAGGACUUGAUGCGUCAGCAGUAUCCUCAUCUGUUCGGAUCAGGUAAAUUUCGAGCCAAAAUUUCUUUUAGAGGGUAGAGUUGUAACGCCCUGAAUAAUUUAAGUAUGUUUUUAUUAAAUUUGACAUAAAAUGUGUAUCUGCUUCAGUGGUUAAGUGUUCUGGGUGUGUGUAUGAGGUCUUGGGUUCAAGUCUCCCUUUUAGCAAACUUUGUUAUUUUGAUCCAAGCCUUAUCUCUGUUAAGUGGGCUUAUGUUUUAUCUUUAGUAAACUUAUAUUAGAAUAAGCUUACGGGUUCGAGUUAUAAGGAGUUAGCUUGCUAGAAGUCCUGUGUUCGAUUCCCUGUGUGAGCGUGGAUGAUAUUUUUGUUUCGGAUGUGAGAUAGAGGUUGGGUGGAAGUAAAAUUCUGAGGUGGUGGGGAGUUAGUGGGUUAGUUAGUGAGAUAAUGGGAAGUUGAGAUAUUAGGGGUUUCAAAUUUUAUUUUAAUUUUAAUUUUAAUUCUUUGUCUUCUCAAAGUUUCUGACGUCAAUUUUUUUCUCUUUUUUCCCUCUUUCGACAUUGUUCCCUUCUCGGUAAAAUUCCUUUUCUUUUUUCUUUGAUUCUAUUUGUGAAUCCCUUGUUCAAAUCGUUGCUACUAUGAUUUUCGAGUUCUUUAAUCGGUUGGUAAGUAGAACUUCGCAUCUUUUUAACAAUUGGUUUGGGAUAUUGGCGAUGUUAAGCUAUAGCGAUUAAUUAGUGGAAUCUGUAUUUAGGAGAAGAUUGUAAAGUAGAAAAUUCACUCCGACGGCCUAAUCCGUGUUAGUGGUGGUUUUCAUCGACGGUAAGUUUGUGAGCGUUGUUGAAUUUUUGUUAUGAAUUUGUAAAUUUGUUGCUAAGCAGGGCUAGGGUUACUAUUUACAGGUUUCGGUGAUCUCGGGAUUGGUUAUACUACAAAAACGAAUCAGGUGUGUACCCUUAACGUGAGAAAAUGAGAUUCGAUGAAAGCUGAAAUUAGAGUCUGUUUAUGCCACACGGGUGUGUGCCUGACUGUGUGGCACGACACGACCGUGUGACUGACGAGGGUGUGGCCAUGCGCAAGACACGGCUGUGUGAUAGUGUGAUAGGAGUUUGGUUGAGUGUGGGUCUUAGCUUAUUUGGUACCUUAGUUUUUUUUGUUCAAUUUAAUUCCUGAACUUAAUAUUUUUUUCUUAAUUUAGUACUUAAGCUUCUUUUUUUUCCAAUUUGGUAUCUAACUUGUUAAAGGUUUUACAAAUUUCUCCAAUAUAAUAACAAUUUUAUUUUUAUAAGGUGCGAAAAUAAUCAAUGUAUGAUUAACGUAUGACAGAUGACAUGAGAUUGAUUUUUUGUAUUUUAAUGGUUAAAUUACUUUUAAUUAAUUAUUUUAUUUUACCUUUUUAAUUUAAUAAUGAAUUUCUUUUUAUUUUUGGGUUUUAAAACUUUUUUUUCAAUAUUCAUUCAUUAAGCGUAGCUCAAAGUACAAUCUUUUAACAUAAUUUUCCUCUAAUACUGACAAUAUUUUUGUGGGAUUUGAUGGCUUUAUGAAAACUAGGUCAUGCUUUAAGCAUGUGGUUCCUCUUGUAACAUUCUUGCCAUUAACUGUCAAAGUAAUCUUAGCCUUGAUGAAAUGUAAAUUUUGAACAUGUUGUUUAGAAAAAUAGAGAAAACUUUAAAUAAAUGUAAUCAUCCCUGUCAUUAAAUUCCAUAUCAUUGGUCACAUGACAACCAUACGUUAGCUACCUCAUAAAAAAAAUGAAGAUCAUUAGUGUUUUGAGGUAAUUUGUAUAAUAUUUAAAAGGUUUAAGUGUCAAAUUAAAUAAAAAAUGAUUAAGUAUCAAAUUAUAAGAAAAAUGUCAAAAUUAAGUACCAAAUGUUAAAUAAUUAUAACAAUAUAUUAUUAGUCGGCUUACAGUUUGAUUUCCUCUUUCCCAGUUGAUUGGAACAGUUUGUGGACAAAGGGUUUGAUAUUAGAGGCAGGAUUUAGGGUUUAACAUUUAAAAAUUUAUGGUUAAAAGUUUAUAAGGUUUAAAAUUUAGGAUUUGUGUUUUGUAAAAAUAAAAAUAGAAGUAUAUAUUUAUUUUACAAAGUCACAAAUUUGUAAAAAAAAAAAUUAAAUUAAAUUAGUUUCUAGAAUUACAUUAAGAAUAAACUUUCAACAUUCACUCAUUUUCUUCUAAGAUUUUAAGAUAAUGGAUUUAUCAUGCGAAGACUUGAACCCCACAAUAUACGAUAUAUGAAGAUAAUGGAUUUAUUUAACCCCACCAUGCAACAUAUAAGGAUAUAUGGUUAGGUAAACUCAUAUUUUCUUUUAUAAAGUUUUACAAUUAAUAAAGAUUAUUUUUUAGUAAAAUAUAAAUUCAAACUCACACACAAAUAAAUUUAUGAUUUCGACCCUAAUUUCAAAUAUAAAUGAACUUUUAAAUUAUGGGUAUCGUAUUAUGAAACGAUAAACUUGCCACAUUGAAAUUUUUUAUAUGGAGUGAAUCUCAUAAUUUUUGUUUUCUUAAUUUUGUUUUAAAGCAAUGAAAUAUAGAUCACGUGAAUGUUGAUAUAAAAUGGGAAAUGGAGACGAGUGAUAUUAAUUUGUAGAUAAAGUUAAUAUUACGUAGUCGCAUAAAGCGGCAUAGUACACAACCCACAACUCUGGAAUUUUAACAUCCAUAUUUAUUCUGUAGCUAUCGUUAUUUUGGCUUCCACUAGCUGGUGAACUUUCCAUGCCAAAACUUCACUUGACGCUGCAAAUGAAACAACAAAAAACACAACAUUAAAUGUUGAGCAAGUAAUAAGCAUAAGCAAUGAAACAACUCAUACGAACCUGUUGCAGUCAGUGCUAGGGCUGAUCUUGUAAGGGAUGUUGACACCGCACUUGCCUGGGAGUCCGCUUGCAAUACCAUAGUUGAUGCCAGAAAUGCCGGCGGCCGCACUUUUGAUGCAUUUGCAAGCUGCUUGCCGGUCUGGUGUUGUUUGGGCGGCGGAGUUGAGAGAUUUUAUGCCGCCGCAGCAACCUGGGGGAACGCCACCAGCACCAUUCCCUGUCAAGUAACCAAUGCAGGGUGCGAGGGAGCUUGUGACUUGACCACAGGUUACGGCCCCUUGAGCCAGGGGUGCACCCACCACCAUGCACAACACCGCCACACAUGCAAGCUUAAGGGACAUUGAGCUAGCCAUAUCGAUUAAUCACAAGAAAAACAAACUUGUAAGGAAAAUGCUUGCUUGGAGUAGUAGUACUAUUGCUGAUUGUCGUGGUUAGGGCUUGAGGGUAGGAGGGUUUUUAUAGCCAAAAGUAGUAGCGGGUGAUGUCUGAAUUUUACUUUCCUAGCUAUUAGGUAAGUUGAGAUUAUCCGAUCCAAACAUUAACACACCACAUUAAAAGUUGAGACCAUUCAAUUAGGUUCAACUGCCAACCUACGUGAUUAUUGUUUUCUUUCAAUACAAUUAAAACCAGCGUCCAUUUGAUUUCACUCAAUCAUGCCUCCACAGCUAGGACUCAAAUAUUGGUUUAACUUUUUUCUAGGUGUUUUCUUAUAAACAUGAGAUUUACAUUUGAUGUAUUUAUAAAUGCAUUUAUUGUCAGAAUGAUACCAUUUUAUUAAAAGUAAUUUGAUUUAUAAUUGUUUGUAUAUAUACUUUUAUAUAUUAAGUCUUUAAUUGAAUUGGUAUUACGAUUCACCCAAGCAUCUAUUUAAUUGAAAAUUUGUUAAAAUAUUCAUAUAACAAAUAUUAAUAUUAAUAUAAAUGUAUUUUUAUUUUUAUUAUAAAUAAAACUAUAAUAAGAUUUAAACUUAUGACUCAUAAAUUUUACUCUUUUUAACUUAACUAUUUCAACUAAAAUUUCAUUUAGUUUUAAUAUAAAUUUUUAUAAAUAUAUUAUUUACAUGAAUUUUCCUUUUCCAGGCGGUAUGCCAUGGAACUAAUAUAAAAUAUAAACAAAUGGUUAUUUUGUUAUUUUCAAUGGAAAAAAAAAACUUCACAAGAUUAGGACACAUGCAUGGUUUUUUUAAUAUAUAUAUAUAUAUAUCAUGCAACAUUCUAAAUCUAUUUAUAGAUUAUUUUGUUGAUUGAAUUUUUAUUUUUUUUUAUUUUGGUAAUUAUAUAAAACUAAAUAUUUUCUUCGCGCAAUGUUAAGAGCAGUUUGAAAUUUAAAAGAAGUGUGGAUUCUAAUAAUAAAUUUAGUUAUCUAAUGUUUACAUAUUUUAUUAAUUUGGUCUUAAAUAUAAAAAUUAAAUUCAACAAAAUUAGCCCUCAAUGUUUACAAAAUUUUUCAUUUUAAUUCAAAUUCUAAAAUAAUCCAAUAAAUUUAGCUCUCAACAUUUACAAAAUGAAAGGAUUUGAUUUUUAAAAUUUUAAUUUUUUUUUUUAAAAACCCAAAACACAAACCUAAAUAAACUGAAAAAGAAGAAGGAAUAAUUAUCAUCACCACGAUCUAAUCUCUCAACUUUAAAAUAAGACUUCAACUUCGGUUUAACCCCAAGACAAGGCGAAACAUUGAAAGUAAGUGCAGCGGAUGCCAUUGAUUCUCCUACCUUUUGGCUAAACACAUAAAUUUGAACAACUUCAUACAUAACUAGCAGCAGUACUAAAAAAUCAUUAAUACUAUAUUUUCAAGUACAAGAAAUUGAAAAAAGAAUCACGGGUAGAGUACAAAAAUGAAAUUUGGUGUGAACCUAGAUUAACAAAACAAGGUUCACGGUUUCUCAAAAACACAAUACUAAAUUUUUAGAAUUUCUUGUGAAGAUCAAGCAAUGAGACAAAUACUGAAAUUGGCAAUGCCUUAAUAGCAAAUAAUAAUUCAAACCAAUGUAGAAAAAAGAUGAAGAAGAAGAAGAUAGGAAAAGAAUUUUUAGUUUACAUUAAAAGCCUUGAAAAGGUAGACCGAUAGGAUUGAUUGUUUUGAAUAUUACUCAACUUUCUCAUUAAUUCUUGUACUAUUAUGGCUAAGUGUGUUUUUAGAUGGUAAUGAAUUUUUUUAAUUGUUAAUAAUUUUUACAAUUAUUACACUUGAUUUGGCAGUUGUUUUUCUUUUUAAUUUACAAAAUUUUAAAAAAUUAAAAAUUUCUAUUUUGUAAAUGCUAAGAGCUAAAUUUAUUAUUAUUUAUUUUAGAAUCUAAACUAAAGUGACAAAUUUUGUAAAUAUUUGGUGUUAAAUUUAUUGGAUUUUUAUAUUUAAAAUCAAAUUGAUAGAAUGUGUAAAGAAAGUUAAUUUUUUUAUUAGACAAAUAAAAAAUAACCCAUUUCAACACUUCCGAAAAAUUUUCAAACGGCCGUUAACAUUUAGUGAUGAAAAUAUUUGAUUUCAUAUAGUUUAAUAAUUAAAAUAAAAAUAAUUAAAAAUUUAGUAAUCAAAGUAAAACACAAGUGAUAUUAUUCUAGUGAUCAUUUCUGUACUUGACCCUAAUUUUUUUUUCAAAACACUGUUAAAAAACGAUUAAUUUCUCGUUUUGGCCGGAGUUAAAAUUUUUAAUAUAUUUGUUUUUAUUAAAUUUAAAAAUUAUAAUUUUACAUAAUAUAUUUUUGAUAGAAUACAUAUGAUAUAAUUUUAAUCAGUGACACCUGUUAAAGCUUGUUAGAUCUCCUGUAUCUCUUUCAAUCUGGUGGUAAAUGAAGCAAUCAAUGAGUAUUACAACCAGCCACAUGUCAUUCAAUUCACAUUAUAUCAAUCUUUUCCCUUUUCUCUCAUUUUGGUAGUUAAUUCCUUUUUUUGUCAUCGAAAUUAUAUUUUUUUCUCAAAUUGAUAAUUUCCUUAAUCCGUUAAGUUUGUUAAAAGAAACCUUAAUCUUAUUUAAAUUAUAUCUUUUUUUUUUUAUUUUGAUACUUAAACAUUUUUGUCACAUGUGGUAUGUAAUUUAUUUUUUCUUAAGUUGUUAGUUUAAUUAUUACUCAAAUAGUUAAGUCUAUUUAAAAAAAGAUAACUAUUUAAAAAUUACCAUAUUCGAACUAGCUAGGCCAUUAGUUCCUGGUUUAAUCAGUUUAUCUAGUUUGAUGAAAUCAAUUAUUAAAAAUUCAUAAAAAUAAAAAUGUUAAAAAAUAGAGAAAACUAGCUCAACUAGUUUUUUUUUUAAGCUCGACUCAAUCAAUCUGUAUCAGUUUGUAGGUUAAUCGGUUCAAGCCCUAUCUCCAAACUAGUAUCCCAGUUGGUUCCUAGUAUUAAGGGUGAGCAAAAUUUGAAUCGACUCGAAAAAAUUUAAAAAAGUUCAAAUUUUGAAUUAUUUGAAUCGAGUUAAUCGAAUCAACUCGAUUUUUUUUUAAUUUCAAGUUCGAGUCGAGUUGAGUUUUUGAAUUCAAAUGACUCGAAUAAUUCGAUUAAGCCGAAUACCAAACUAUAAUAUUUUACAUUUUACCUCAAACCCCAAACCCUUUUACUUUUCCCCCAAAACUUUACUCAUUCCUCCUUGUCUGCCCCUGUAACGCCCCAAAUUUUGAAUUGUUACUGUUAGUUUCUAUUUAUAAGUAAGUAUUUGCUUCAGUGGUUAAGUGUUAUGUGUUGGUGUUUGGAUCGGGGGUUCAAGUUACACUUUUAGAGAAUUUUAUUAUUCUUUUGUUUCAACUCUUAUCCUUGAAUGCUUGAAUUAAGUUUGUAUCUGCAUUAAUUUGUGUCAAGAAUGAGUCUUCUAGUUUAAUGGUUAAGUUUUGUAUUACCUAUGGUCUCGUGUUCGAGUCUCUGCGUAGGCAAUAAAGAAAUAUUUUGGCAUGCUAUCGGGAAAUCAGUUUUAUUUUAAUAAUUAUUUUUAUUUAAAACUUAUUUUUAGUUUUUUUUAUUUUGGUUCUUCUCCUUCCUUACUGUUCAUUUCCUUCUUCUUUUUUCUCCUUUUGUAACACCCCUAACUCGAAUCCGUCGCUGGAACAGGGUUAGGAGUAUUAUUGAAGUUUACAAUUUAAACAGGCAGAAAAAUUAAACAUUUCAUAACAUAUAGCAUUCAUGUUAGAAACCAAUCAUAAUUAUGCAUAUUGUCCCUAAUACGAGCCCUCGAGGCCCAAAAUACACCUUAGAAAUAAUUCGGGACUAAAUUGAAAAUUCGGAGCAUUUUUUAGAAACUUAUAAAAUUUUUAAAACUACAGGGGUCACAUGGCCGUGUGGCUAGGUUGUGUGACUCAUAUGGCCAACAGACACGCCCAUGUCUUAGACCGUGCGGGUAUUCGAAAUAGGGACACACGGUCGUGUCCCAGCCAGUGUCCAUGCCCGUGUAACUCACUAACUUGGGCCACACGGUCAAGCCAUACGCCCGUGUGCCAGGCAUUGUGAGCAUACUAACUUGCAUUCUUUAAAAGAUACAGGGGACACACGGCCAUGUCACCUGACCGUGUGUGACACACGCCCGUGUCUCUGCCCGUGUGGACAAAAAUAGGCUAUUUUUCAAGUCAUAAAUAUUCAUGUAUUCUUUAAAAGAUACAGGGGACACACGCCCGUGUCUCUGCCCGUGUCUCUGCCCAAUUUGGUACCAACCUAAACACAACAAUUUGCAUAUAACCAAGUCAUAAAUAGGCAUCCAAAACCAGCCAAAAUCAAGCUUAAAACAUGUAAUAUCAUCACAUACAACCAAUAUGCCCUUAGGCACCUCAAAUGACAACUUAUAAUAUUAAUAUUCAUGUAUUCAAUAUAGCCAAAUGUAUAACUCACUUAUAUGCAUAUUUUCAUCCAAAGUUUAUUAAGCAAAUUUACAUCAUUUCUUACCAAAUUACUUACCUUCCAAAACAUAUUAUUUGGUGCUAAAAUGUAUUUAACAUACUAACAUAUUUAACUUAUAUGCCUUACAUAUCCAGACACCAAUUCAUGAUCAAUUCUUCACAUUCCAAAACACAUAUAUGAAAUGCACAUUAGGUUACCUUUUUACCACUCUUUAUUCAAUCAUGAACCAAACUACAUGUCAACCAUAAUAAGCAAAAUAUGCACAUAUCCAAAAUUCCAUAACACAAACAAAACAAAUGGCUAAUCUCAACAAAACACAUAUAAGCCAACAUUGGCCAAACUAAUCUAUACAUGCCAUUAUAACCGAAAUUAAACAACCGAAUGUACCAAAAGAGCCAAUGGAUAGUGUGAUAUAGCUCCGACAAGCUUUCAACCAGAACGAGCUUUCGAAUCACUAAAAACACAGAAAAUAACACAGAGUAAGCAUUCAAGCUUAGUAAGUUCAUAUAGCAUAUAAUUUAACUUACCAUUUAGUCACAUUUAAGGUAAGCAUACAAAACAUAUCCAAACUCAAUUAGGAUAAAAGCCUCAACACAUAUCCUCAUCAACCAUGUUAGUCAUGUAAUUCAUAUAAAUAUCAAGAAACAUGUAUGAGCUCAACAAUAAUCAAACUUGCAUGUACAUAUAAUUUCCACAUCAUGUAUUUACAUAUCAUGUACAAAUCAUUUUCAUAUAUCUCAUGUAAAUACAUGUAGUAGUUUGUAUUGAACUCAUGUAAUAUCAUAACAGAACAGUGCCCGUUGAACCAUUUAGAUUAUUGUUGGAUACGCGGAUAGUACACAUGAGGUGUACUGAACUGUAAUUCAUCAAUUCAUGUACAUGUAUGCUCAUAUGAGCUAUAAACAGUAAGCUCCUCUGAGAUGAAUAACAAUAAGCUUGUACGAGCUGAAUAUCGGUAAGCUCAUAUGAGCUGAGUAUCGGUAAGCUCAUAAGAGCUGAAAUCGAUAACCCUAAUGACAUGUUUACCAAGCCAUGACAUUCCACUAACACAUUUAACCUUUAAAAUUAUUUCAAUUUACAAGUUUAAGAAAGAACAUAAAAGAUGAUACUUGGCUUUAUUUUACUAAAUUUUGUUAUUUACUUAAUUACUUAUUUAACCUUUAAAAUCAUUUCAAUUUACAAGUUUACUAAGCCAUGACAUUCCACUAACACAUUUAAGGGUUAUUUACCAUAUAAGGACCUCUACUUUAAAUUUUUAUAGCUAUUUAAUACCUUUAGCUAUUAGAACUUUACUUUUACACUUUACGCGAUUUAGUCAUUUUUAUCAAAUUGAACAUGUAAACGGUAAAAUUUCUUAACGAAAUUUUCAUAUGGUAAUAUUAUCAUGUUUUCGACCAUAAAAUAAUAAUAAAAUAAAAUUUUUUACUUCAUAUUUGUGGUCCCAAAACUACUAUUCUGAUUUCACUGAAAAUGGGUUGUUACACCUUUCUUGCUUGAUUGCUUCCGUAAGUUUGCUAUCGUGCUUAAUUGGGCAUUCUGUGUGGUUUCUUACAUUGAUUGCAAGGAUAUUGCGUAAGUUAUGUUGUUGUUUUUUACCUAUUUUUUCUAGACUUCGUCUGUUUCGUCGAGGUUAGAUAUUACUGUUAAUGGUUGUAAAAUCUCGUUAAUAGUUCCAAUGGAUCUUCUUUUAGGAAAAGGUUUCAAAAGUAACAUUUCCCUGUGAGAUUAGGUCCGAAUUGUUGUUGCUUGCUUGUCAGUAAUUGAAAAUUUCUAUUUUGGAUAGCUGCGUCGAAGUUUUCGACGAACGUUAGUUUUGAGUGCUAAUUUUGGCAUUUUGAGUUGAUUUAGUCAUUUAAUUCGUCAAUUAAUUGUCGUUUUAGGUUUCAGAUUCUUGUGUGUUGCUUCUACAUCGAAACUACAUCAAGUGUGUAACGAAAACUCAUUUUUCUAUGAUUUACGAAUGCUAGAAAACAUGGCUGUUAAUCACACGACCGUGUGUUAGGCCAUGUAACUUACUGUUUAUGUAUUAAAGUCACCGAGCCAAGGACGUGGGCGUGUGUCCUAGUCGUGUAACUUACUAUUUGUGGAUUGGAGUCACACAGGCUAGGGACACGUUUGUGUGUCCAGACUGUGUGAAGGAAAUUUUAUGAAUUGAGUCACACAAGCGUGUGCUUGACUAUGUCAUAGACCGUGUAACUCACUUUUUUGAGCCACACGAUCGUGUGCCAGGCCGUGUGAUAGAUCGUGUGCUACACGGGCCAGCCUUCCGGGACAUGUGAAUCCACACAAGUGUGUGGGUCAAAAUUUCAAAUUUUUUAUUAGGGCCGUAAACAUCAUUCCAGUCAAACGUAGGCCUACUGUAGGGUCUGGAUGAUCUGAUUUGGGUUAUAAAACCCAUUGACUAGUUAUCUGUUUCUGUAUAAACUGUUAUUUUAUAUACAUCAUAGAAUUGUAAACUAGAGAGUAGUUGUAUUCUGUAUUAAUUGAGUAUAACCUGAAAUUUGUAACAUCGUAUGCUUAUAUCUGUAUCUGUAACAUUGCAUCUGCAUUGGGGUUGGGAUUGAAUAAGGAGGAAGUUAUGGCAGUUAAAUAAUCUGCUAAGACUGGUGGCUAAGACACGUAAAUGUAUCUAAUUUUGGUGACUUUCGCAUUCUGUCCUAGCAAUUAGUCUGCAACCUUUUGAACGUGACAUAUGGUCACUAUGUGGUGUGUAGGGACGAUACCCUUUUUGGUGUGUAGGGUUGGAUGCAGAUGGUGUGUAAUUGACAUAUUCUACUCUAUUUCCGUAUAUAAUUCUGAGAACUGUUCUAACUUUAAGAAAUUGAAGAUCUAUUUUGUUGUUUCACUUAAUAAUAAUAUAAGUUAUACGCUAUGUAUAACACCCUUUACCCGAGACCGUGGUCGGAGUCGAGCAUGAGGUGUUACUUGACUUAACUUAAAAGUUCAGGGCAUAAAAAUUUACUUUCAAAAUUAAUUUCACCAUUCACAAUAAAGUUGUCCACCUGAGCAGCAGUCACUAAAUUAAUUAUAACUCAAGCUAAGAAACUCGAAAUUUAGAUUCGUAAAUUUUCCCUGAAACUAGACUCAUAUAUCUAUUCACAAAAAUUUUUCAGAAUUUUUUAUUUGACCAAUUAGUACAGUUUAUUAGUUGAAGUCUCCCCAGUUUCACUAAUCGACUAUCCUGACCUCUCGUCACUAAAAUUCAAUUAUCUCAUUAUACAGACUUGACAUGCUGAUUCCACUUAUUUAUACUUAAAAUAUACUCAUUAAGGAAUUUAAAAAUAUAAUUUAUAACUCAUAAUUCUAUUUGUACAAUUUUUAAUGAAUUUCUAAAGUCAGAACAGGGGACUUCAGAAUCAUUCUGACUCUGUCUCACUAAAAUUAAAAUAUCUAAAAGUAUAUAACUCUUUUGCUUACUCUAUUGCUUUCAUGUGAAAGUAGACUCAUUCAGAUUUAAUUUCAUCUCUCGCUAAACAUAUAAUUCUAUUUCUACAAUUUUUGGUAAUUUUUCAAAGUUACAUCAAUGCUGCUGCCCAAAAAUAGUUCCAUUGAAAUUUUUAAAAAAAAAUUCAAUAUAACCCCUUUAUAAUUAUCUAACCUUCCCUGCAAAUUUCAAAUCACAACCAAUUUCAGUAUUUCAACUACUUCACUUAAAUACUAAUGAAGUUCAACUAAUCAACCAUUUCAAACUAAAAACAUGUAUAGUUCAAUGUUUAACACAACCAUCACAUUCAAAUUUAUUCAUUCUAUUACUUUUUACUUCAAUUCCCUAUACAUGUCAUAUAAAUCCAAAAAGUUGUUUAACAAAAUCUACAGGAGUAAAUCUGGAUAGUGUGAUUCUUGGUGUAGAUCUGAUCCUCCGAAUGUAUAAAUACGUCAAUCUACAAGAAUCAAUAAACACACAAUUAAGCGUAUAGAAAGCUUAGUAAGUUCAUAGGCACCAAACAUAAAUCUUACCAAACAUUUAUACACUUAUACAUUAUACACCAUUACUAAGUUUACCUGUCAACCACAAUCUUUGGUGAGUUCCUUGGUAUAAACUCACUACUACUUAUUCUUUUACCAUAAUUCCUUUGGGCCCAUUUGUCACUUACCAUCCUUGAUCAAAAUUAAGGAACGGUUACGGAAAAUUGAGUACUUCACUUUCACUUUGCCAUAGUAUAACUAUGGUCUUACGUAUGAUCAAACAUCACUUGUCCUUGAUAAGAUAAGUGUAGCUAGGCAACCACUUAUCACUUUGUCACUUGAUCAGAUAAGUGCAGCUAAAGCUACCAUUUAUCACUUUAUCACCACUUAUCACUUGUUCUUGAUUAGAUAAGUGUAGCUAAAGUUACCACUUAUCACUUUGUCACCACUUAUCACUUGUUCCUAAUCAGAUAAGUGUAGCUAAAACUACCACUUAUCACUUUGUCACUUGAUCAGAUAAGUGUAGCUAAGCUAUCACUUAUCACUUUGUCACUUGAUCAGAAGUACUCAAAUCCGGUGUUCUGCUCAAUUUGAUCAUUUAUUCAGUUUUCACAUUUUUAUUUUAUUCUCAUUUCAUCAAUAAAUAUAUAUAUUUCAUCAUACAUUAUAUAAUUCAUGAAAUUAACAUUUAAUCAUUAAAUUUUAGCCAUAUGAACUUACCUGGGUUGAUUUGCUGAAUUUGUAAAAGUUUAGGGACUAAUCAGCUACUUUUUUUUUCCUCGACUUGUUUCGGGUUCUCAAUAUGAUUCAAAUAUAUGAAAAACCAACUUGGAGGGACUCUUCAAUGGUGUUUUUUGCUAAAAAAUAUGAGGAAUUGCCUAGAAACACUUUUAGUUAAGAUUUUUAUUUGUUAUUUUUUACAAAAUUUCCAAUUUUGCCCUUAUUACAUCACUUUUUCAAAUUUUUCUUCUCUUAUGUCGUCUCAACUAUUCCAUAUUGGCAUAUUUAUGCCUUAAGUCCCUCCUUAUUUACCACUUAAGCUAUUUAAUCACUUUUAACAAAUUUUACAUUAUUUUCAGUUUAAUCCUUUUUAAUUAAUUAACCACCCAAACGUUAGAAUUUUCUAACGAAAAUUUAAUACCAACUCAAUGACACUCCAUAAAUGUUUCUAAAAAUAUUUAUGGCUCGAUUUAUGAGGUUGAGGUUUCAAUACCUCAUUUUCGAUUCUAAUUAUUUUAAUAUUUAUUCUUAGUACAUUAUUCACUAUUUCAAAAAUUUUCCUAACUUCGCAUUUAACUUAUACUCACUAAAUUAAUAAUAUUUUCUACUCAUUUGUCAAAUUUAAUGAUCUCGAAUUACCAUUCCGACACCACUGAAAAUUCAGGCCAUUACAACUCUCCCCCCAUUUUGGAAAUUUCAUCACCGAAAUUUCGUACCUGAAAAUAAAUUCGGAUACUGAAAUCUCAGCAAUUCCUCUGUUUCCCAGGUUGCCUCCUCAGAUCCAUGUCGAUUCCAUAACACCUUAACUAGUGGUACAUGUUUAUUCCUCAACUCUUUAACCUUCUGAGCUAAAAUUUUCACCGGUUCCUCUGAAUAAGUCAUGUCAGGUUGAAGCUCUAUUUCCGUAUGAGGAAUUACAUGUGAUGGAUCUGAUCUGUACCGUCUCAACAUAGACACAUGAAACACAUUAUGAAUCUUUUCAAGUUCCGGGGGCAAAGCUAAUCUAUAGGUUACCGGACCGAUUCUUUCAAUGAUUUCAUACGGCCCGAUAAAUCGUGGGCUGAGUUUCCCCUUUUUGCUGAACCGCAAAACUUUCUUCCACGGUGACACUUUCAAAAAUACACGAUCACCCACAUUAAACUCUAUAUCCCUUCUCUUCAAAUUUGCAUAUGAUUUUUGCCGAUCGGAGGUAGCUUUUAAACAAUCUCGAAUAAUACGAACUUUUUCUUCAGUUUCCUGAGUCAAUUCCACUCCCACUAGUUUCGAUUCACUUAAUUCAGACCAAUAUAAUGGAGUUCUACACUUUCUUCCAUACAAAGCUUCAAACGGUGCCAUUUUAAUGCUAGUUUGAUAACUAUUAUUAUAAGCAAAUUCGGCUAAAGGUAAAUACCUUUCCCAGCUACCGCCGAACUCAAGUAUACAACACCUUAACAUAUCUUCUAAAAUCUGAAUCACUCGCUCUGACUGCCCAUCUGUCUAGGGAUGAAAAGCUGUGUUGAAAUUUAAUUUGGUGCCUAAAGCUUCCUGUAAUUUACUCUAAAAUCUCGAGGUAAAUCUCGGAUCUUGAUCUGAAAUAAUAGAUGUCGGUACCCCAUGUAACCUCACUAUCUCAGACACAUAUAACUCCGCUAACUUUUCAAGCUGAUAAUCUGCUCUGACUGGAAUAAAAUGUGCUGACUUAGUUAACCGAUCAACAAUCACCCAUAUUGAAUGUUUCUUCUUCAGAGUUACUAGUAAUCCAGAUACAAAAUCCAUCGUAACAUGUUCCCAUUUCCAAUCUGGAAUCAUAAUGGGCUGUAACAACCCUGUCGGCACUUGAUGCUCAGCUUUCACCUGUUGACAGAUCAAACAUCUUGCUACAUACUCAAAGAUUUCCCGUUUCAUUCCGGGCCACCAAUACAUUUUCUUCAAAUCACAAUACAUUUUUGUACUACCCGGGUAAAUAGAACACAUACUACUGUGAGCCUCUGAUAAAAUAUCAUUUUUCAAGUUUAAAUUAUUCGGAAUACAUAUUCUAUUACGAUAAUAUAACAUACCAUUUUCAUCAAUGGAGUAUUCUGAGCUUAACUUAUCUUGAACCAUCUGUCGCUUUAUCAUCAAUUUUGGGUCAUCAUCCUAUAACUCCCGAAUCCGUUGAAAGAACACGGGUUUAGCCUUUAAUUCUGCUAGUACAGAACCAUCCUCAUUAAUAGAUAAAUGAGCAUUCAAUGCCCGUAGUGCAAAUAAUGAUGAUUUCCGACUAAGCGCAUCUGCUGCGGCAUUUGCUUUCCCUGGGUGAUAGUCAAUGACAAGAUCAUAAUCUUUCAGCAACCCCAACCAUCGUCUCUGUGUCAAAUUUAACUCUUUCUGAGUCAUUAAAUACUUCAAGCUUUUAUGAUCAGUAUACACGUAACAUUUCUCACCAUAUAAGUACUCUCCAUAUCUUCAAAGCAAACACGAUCGCUGCCAAUUCCAAAUCAUGUGUAGGAUAAUUCUUGUCGUGCGGUUUCAGUUGCCAAGAAGCAUAUGCCACCACUUUGCCUGACUGAAUAAGUACACAGCCCAACCCAUUUACAGAUGCAUCACUAUAUACUACAAACGGUACACCCGAUUCUGGUUGAGUCAACACUGGAGCCUCUGUCAACAUCUUUUUCAACUGAUCGAAACUCCGCUGACAUUCAUCUAACCAUAUAAAUUCAACAUUCUUUUGUAGCAAUCGAGUUAACGGUAAGGUAAUCAUUGAGAAAUCUUUGACAAAUCGACGAUAAUAACCUGCCAAUCGUAGAAAACUCUGCACUUCAGUCACAUUCUUCGGAACUUUCCAAUUUAUCACUGCCGCUACCUUACUUGGAUCCACUCUUAUUCCAUCAGCUGAUACAAUAUGACCCAAAAAUGCAACUUCAUGGAGCCAAAAUUCACAUUUGCUGAAUUUGGCAUACAAUUGUUUCUCCCACAAAGUCUGUAAUACAAUCAUUAGAUGUUGUGCAUGUUCGGACUCUGUCUUUGAAUAAAUCAAUAUAUCGUCAAUGAACACAACCACAAAUCUAUCCAAAUAUGACUGAAAAAUUCUAUUCAUCAAAUCCAUAAAAGCAGCAGGGGCAUUGGUUAAACCAAAUGGCAUCACCAAAAAUUCAAAAUGACCAUAUCGAGUUCGAAAGGCAGUUUUCGGCACUUCACACUCUUUAACUUUCAACUGAUAAUACUCGGAUCGAAGAUCUAUCAUGGAAAAUACUGUAGCACCUUUCAACUGAUCAAACAAAUCAUCAAUAUGAGGCAAAGGAUUUUUAUUCUUUACUGUUACCUUAUUCAACUGUCUGUAAUCUAUACACAGUCUUAAAAAACCGUCCUUCAUUUUCACAAACAAGACAGGUGUACCCCAGGGCGACAUACUCGGUCUGAUGAACCCUUUAUCUAAUAACUCCUGCAGCUGCGCCUUCCGUUCUUUUAACUCGACUGGAGCCAUUCUGUAUGGUGUCAUUGAGAUAGGAGUUGUUCCGGGGAUCACAUCAAUUACAAAUUCAACUUCUCUAUCAGGUGGUAGACCGGGUAACUCUUCAGGGAACAUAUCAGGGAAUUCAUUCACCAUUGGCACUUGUUCGAGCUUCAAACCAGAACCCUGAGUAUCCAGGAUAUAGGCCAAGAAUGCUUCGUUGCCUUUGUGUAAUAACCUCUGAGCAGAGAGAGCUAAAAUAAUUCUGACUGUAUCACCCAGAUUUUCAGACCCAACUGAGAUUAUAUCUCCCGUUUGACAUUUCAAACUGAUUUGUUUAUCACGAUAAUUCACUACCGCAUCAUGUCUCAUUAACCAGUCCAUCCCCAGAAUAAUGUCAAAUUCCCGAAAAGGUAACAACAUCAAAUCAGCGAGGAAUUCAUAGCCUUUCACUUUCAGUGGACAAUUACGACAUAUCAAAUUAACCAUCACACUUUGACCUAAUGGGUUUGUGACUUGUAUAUCAAAUUCAGUGGACUCAACAGAUAAUUUCUUUUUAGAUGCUAACAUAGUGCAAAUAUAUGAAUGAGUAGAUCCAGGGUCUAUCAAUGCAUAAACAAUAACAUCAUAAAGAUAGAAAGUACCAGCAAUUACAUCAGGAGCCGUAGCCUCUUUCCUUGCUCGAAUGGCGUAGGUACGUGCUGGUGCUCUAUUCUCUGAUCGACCAACUGAUUCCCUCGUACCCGAACGGGUAGUCCCUGUAGCACUGCUCUGGCCCGAACGUCUACUUUUUUGGGGAAUGGUUCUCUGUAUUUCUUUCUGUUCCACUUCAUCUUUUUACAGUCGGGAACAAUCUCGAAUAAGAUGAUUAGUACCCUCACAUUUUUAACAAGCCCCUAUCUUGGUCCUGCAUUCUCUGAAAUGAUAUCUUCCACAAUAUUGACACUUAGGCCGGGGAGCAUUCUGAACACUGCUCACACUUGCUGGAGGUCUAUCGAAUACCCUGAAAUCAGAUUGUCUUGGUCUAUCUCUACCCGAUCUUCUCGACAGUGAUGUAGUUCGACUAAUUUCUUCUCUAGAUUUGUUCACUGGUAAAUCUAAAAAUGACUUAGAAGCACCUCUUUUGAAUGGCUCUUUACUUUUUCGAUCCCGCUACAUUUUUCUGUUGUAUACUUCUUCGAGCUUUUGAGCACGGUCUGACAGAACAGGGAACUCUCGUAUUUCAUUACCCCCAAUCAUCAUUCUAAUUUCAUCAUUUAACCCUUCUUCAAACCUGAUACACAUUUCUUCUUUAAUAAGUACAAUGUCUCGGGCAUAUUUGCUGAGGUAGACAAAUUCUCUUUCGUAUUCAGCCACUGAUUUAUCUCCCUGGCGUAGGUCGAGAAAUUCCCUUUUAUUUUUAUCCAAAUACCGUCUGCCCACAUAUUUCUUCUUAAAUUCAUUUUGGAAAAAUUCCCAAUAAAUUUUCUCUGUCGGAACCACAUCCUCAAUCGUCUCCCACCAACUAUAAGCUUCUUCUUUCAAUAGAGACACAACACAACUCAAAUAAUCAUCUAGUGAGCAAACCAUUUCUUUAAAAAUUCUUAUUAAACUCUGUAACCAAUAUUCAGCUUUGACGGGAUCUUUAUCAGUCCUUCCCCGAAAUUCUUCGGCUCCAAGUUUUUUAAGCCUUUCCAAUGGAGAACGCUUUCUGGAUUCAGUCGUUGUAAAAGGUGGAGGAGCAACCGGGUGUGCCACCGAUGGAGCAGUAGGGGGAGGAGGUGGUUCAGCCUGAUUUCUUUCUUGCCUCAUUUCAGUAUAUCAUUGAUUCAUAAUCCCAUAAAUCAUAUUCUUUAACUCUUGCUCUCGCAUUUGGGAGAUCGGAACAUCACUGCUUGUUCUUUGUUUAGAAUUAUGUAUUCUACUAUUAACUUCUUCUUUCUCAGUACGUUUAGGUAUAUCUGACAUCUCCAUAACCGGAGAAUAUCUACUAUUAACUUCUUCUUACUGGAUUCAGUCGUUGUAAGAGGUGGAGAAGCAACCGGGGGUACCACCGAUGGAGCAGUAGGCAGAGGAGGUGGUUCAGCCUGAUUUCUUUCUUGCCUCAUUUCAGUAUACCACUGAUUCAUAAUCCCAUAAAUCAUAUUCUUUAACUCUUGCUCCCGUAUUUGGGAGAUCAGAACACCACUGCUUGUUCUUUGUUCAGAAUUAUGUAUUCUACUAUUAACUUCUUCUUGCUCAGUACGUUCAGGUAUAUCUGACAUCUCUAUAACCGGAGAAUAUCUAUAAAAAUAACAAAGAUUAGAUCGCAUCAUACGCAUUACACUAUCACAGAUUUAUAUGGCAUGUAUUUCUAAACACUUUACACUUUACACAUAUUCCGAGAACCGGCUAAACCUGGAUCUGAUACCAAUAAAAUGUAACACCCUUUACCUGAGACCGUUUCCAGAGUCGAGCAUGAGGCGUUACUUGACUUAACUUAAAAGUUCAGGGCAUAAAAAAUUACUUUCAAAAUUAAUUUCACCAUUCACAAUAAAGCUGUCCACCCACGCAGCAAUCUCUAAAUUAAUUAUAACUCAAGAUGCGAAACUCGAAAUUUAGAUCUGUAUAUUUUACCUAAAACUAGACUCAUAUAUCUAUUCACUACAAAAUUUUCAGACUUUUUGGUUUGGCAAAUUAGUACAGUUUAUUAAUUGAAGUCUCCCCUGUUUCACUAAUAGACUAUCCUGACCUCUCGUCACUAAAAUUCAAUUAUCUCAUUAUACAAACUUGACUUGGUGCUUUCAAUUAUUUUUACUUAAAAUAGACUCAUUAAGGAAUUUAAACAUAUAAUUUAUAACUCAUAAUUCAUUUUGUACAAUUUUUAAUGAAUUUCUAAAGUCAAAAUAGGGGACUUCAAAAUCAUUCUGACUCUGUCUCACUAAAAUUCAAAUAUCUAAAAGUAUAUAACUCUUUUGCUUACUCUAUUGCUUUAAUGUGAAAGUAGGCUCAUUCAGCUUUAAUUUCAUCUCUCACUCAACUUAUAAUUCUAAGUCCACAUUUUUGGUGAUUUUUCAAAGUUACAUCAAUACUGCUGUCCAAAAACUGUUCCAUUGAAAUUUUUUUAAAAAAUUUCAAUAUAACCCUUUUAUAAUUAUCUAACCUUCCCUGCAAAUUUUAAAUCACAACCAAUUUCAGUAUUUCAACCACUUCACUUAAAUACUAAUGAAGUUCAACCAAUCAACCAUUUCAAACUAAAAACAUGCAUAGUUCAAUGUCUAACACAACCAUCACAUUCAAAUUUACUUUGCAUAUUUAGAUAUUCAUUCUUUUACUUUUUACUUCAAUUCCCUAUACAUGUCAUAUAAAUCCAAAAAGUUGUUUAACAAAAUCUACCGGAGUAAAUCUUGAUAGUGUGAUUCUUGGUGUAGAUCCGAUCCUCUGAAUGUAUAAAUACGUCAAUCUACAAGAAUCAAUAAACGCACAAGUAGGCUUAAUAAACACACAAGUAAGCUUAUAGAAAGCUUAGUAAGUUCAUAGGCACCAAACAUAAAACUUACCAAACAUUUAUACACUUAUACAUUAUACACCAUUACUAAGUUUACCUGUCAACCACAUUCUUUGGUGAGUUCCUUGGUAUAAACUCACUAAUACUUAUUCUUUUACCAUAAUUCCUUUGGGCCCAUUUGUCACUUACCAUCCUUGAUCAAAAUUAAGGAACGGUUACGGAAAAUUGAGUACUUCACUUUCACUUUGCCAUAGUAUAAAUAUGGUCUUACGUAUGAUCACUUAUCACUUGUCCUUGAUCAGGUUAGUGUAGCUAGGCUACCACUUAUCACUUGUUCCUGAUCAGAUAAGUGUAGCUAAGCUAUCACUUGUCACUUUGUCACUUGAUCAAAAGUACUCAAAUCCGGUGUUCCGCUCAAUUUGAUCACUUAUUCAGUUUGCGCAUUUUUAUUUUAUUCUCAUUUCAUCAAUAAAUAUAUAUAUAUAUUUCACCAUACAUUAUAUAAUUCAUGAAAUUAACAUUUAAUCAUUAAAUUUCAUCCAUAUGAACUUACCUAGGUCGAUUUUCUGAAUUUGUAAAAGUUCAAGGACUAAUCAGCUACUUUUUCUUUUCCUCGACUUGUUUCGGGUUCUCGAUAUGAUUCAAAUAUAUGAAAAACUAGCUUGGAGGGACUCUUCAAUGGCGUUUUUUGCUGAGAAAUAUGAUGAAUUGCCUAGAAACUCUUUUAGUUAAGAUUUUUAUUUGUUAACUUUUACAAAAUUUCUAAUUUUGCCCUUAUUACAUCACUUUUUCAGAUUUUUCUUCUCUUAUGCCGUCUCAACUAUUCCAUAUUAGCAUAUUUAUGCCUUAAGUCCCUCCUUAUUUACCACUUAAGCUGUUUAAUCACUUUUAACAAAUUUUACAUUAUUUUCAGUUUAGUCAUUUUUAAUUAAUUAACCACCAAAACGUUAGAAUUUUCUAACGAAACUUUAAUACCAACUCAAUGACACUCUAUAAAUGUUUCUAAAAAUAUUUAUGGCUCGAUUGAUGAGUUUGAGGUUUCGAUACCUCAUUUUCGACUCUAAUUAUUUUAAUAUUUAUUCUUAGUACACUAUUCACUAUUUCAAAAAUUUUCCUAACUUCGCAUUUAACUUAUACUCACUAAAUUAAUAAUAUUUUCUACUCAUUUGUCAAAUUUAAUGAUCUCGAAUUACCAUUCCGACACCACUGAAAAUUCAGGCCAUUACAACUCUCCCCCCAUUUUGGAAAUUUCGUCCCCGAAAUUUCGUACCUGAAAAUAAAUUCGAAUACUGAAAUCUCAUCAAUUCCUCUGUUUCCCAGGUUGCCUCCUCAGAUCCAUGUCGAUUCCAUAACACCUUAACUAGUGGUACAUGUUUAUUCCUCAACUCUUUAACAUCCCAAGCUAAAAUUUUCACCGGUUCCUCUGAAUAAGUCAUGUCAGGUUGAAGCUCUAUUUCCGUAUGAGGAAUUACAUGUGAUGGAUCUGAUUUGUACCGUCUCAACAUAGACACAUGAAACACAUUAUGAAUCUUUGCAAGUUCCGGGGGCAAAGCUAAUCUAUAGGUUACCAGACCGAUUCUUUCAAUGAUUUCAUACGGCCCGAUAAAUCGUGGGCUGAGUUUUCCCUUUUUGCUGAACCGCAAAACUUUCUUCCACGGUGACAGUUUCAAAAAUACACGAUCACCCACAUUAAACUCUCUAUCCCUUCUCUUCAAAUCUGCAUAUGAUUUUUGCUGAUCGGAGGCAGCUUUUAAGCAAUCUCGAAUAAUACGAACUUUUUCUUCAGUUUCCUGAGUCAAUUCCACUUCCACCAGUUUCAAUUCACUUAAUUUAGACCAAUAUAAUGAAGUUCUACACUUUCUUCCAUACAAAGCUUCAAACGGUGCCAUUUUAAUGCUAGUUUGAUAACUAUUAUUAUAAGCAAAUUCGGCUAAAGGUAAAUACCUUUCCCAGCUACCGCCGAACUCAAGUAUACAACACCUUAACAUAUCUUCUAAAAUCUGAAUCACUCGCUCUGACUGCCCAUCUGUCUGGGGAUGAAAAGCUGUGUUGAAAUUUAAUUUGGUGCCUAAAGCUUCCUGUAAUUUACUCUAAAAUCUCGAGGUAAAUCUCGGAUCUCGAUCUGAAAUAAUAGAUGUCGGUACCCCAUGUAACCUCACUAUCUCAGACACAUAUAACUCCGCUAACUUUUCAAGCUGAUAAUCUGCUCUGACUGGAAUAAAAUGUGCUGAUUUAGUUAACCGAUCAACAAUCACCCAUAUCGAAUCUUUCUUCUUCGAAGUUACUGGUAAUCCGGAUACAAAAUCCAUCGCAACAUGUUCCUAUUUCCACUCUGGAAUCAUAAUGGGCUGUAACAACCCUGUCGGCACUUGAUGCUCAGCUUUCACCUGUUGGCAGAUCAAACAUCUUGCUACAUACUCACAGAUUUCCCAUUUAAUUCCGGGCCACCAAUACAUUUUCUUCAAAUCACAAUACAUUUUUGUACUAACCCGGUGAAUAGAACACAUACUACUGUGAGCCUCUGAUAAAAUAUCAUUUUUCAAGUUUAAAUUAUUCGGAAUACAUAUUCUAUUACGAUAAUAUAACAUACCAUUUUCAUCAAUGGAGUAUUCUGAGCUUAACUUAUCUUGAACCAUCUGUCGUUUUAUCAUCAAUUUUGGGUCAUCAUCCUGUAACUCUUGAAUCCAUUGAAAGAACACGGGUUUAGCCUUUAAUUCUGCUAGUACAGAACCAUCCUCAUUAAUAGAUAAAUGAGCAUUCAAUGCCCGUAGUGCAAAUAAUGAUGAUUUCUGACUAAGUGCAUCUGCUGCGGCAUUUGCUUUCCCUGGGUGAUAGUCAAUGACAAGAUAAUAAUCUUUCUGCAACUCUAACCAUCGUCUCUAUCUCAAAUUUAACUCUUUCUGAGUCAUUAAAUACUUUAAGCUUUUAUGAUCAGUAUACACGUAACAUUUCUCACCAUAUAAGUAGUGUCUCCUUAUCUUCAAAGCAAACACGAUCGCUGCCAAUUCAAAAUCAUGUGUAGGAUAAUUCUUGUCGUGCGGUUUCAGUUGCCGAGAAGCAUAUGCCACCACUUUGCCUGACUGAAUAAGUACACAGCCCAACCCAUUUACAGAUGCAUCACUAUAUACUACAAAUGGUACACCCGAUUCUGGUUGAGUCAACAUUGGAGCCUCUGUCAACAUCUUUUUCAACUGAUCAAAACUCCGCUGACAUUUAUCUGACCAUAUAAAUUCAACAUUCUUUUGUAGAAAUCGAGUCAACUGUAAGGUAAUCAUUGAGAAAUCUUUGAUAAAUCGACAAUAAUAACAUGCCAAUCGUAGAAAACUCCACACUUCAAUAACAUUCUUCGGAACUUUCCAAUUUACCAUUGCCGCUACCUUACUUGGAUCGACUCUUAUUCCAUCAGCUGAUACAAUAUGACCCAAAAAUGCAACUUCAUGGAGCCAAAAUUCUCAUUUGCUAAAUUUGGCAUACAAUUGUUUCUCUCACAAAGUCUGUAAUACAAUCCUUAGAUGUUGUGCAUGUUCGGACUCUGUCUUUGAAUAAAUCAAUAUAUCGUCAAUGAACAACCACAAAUCUAUCCAAUUAUGACUGAAAAAUUCUAUUCAUCAAAUCCAUAAAAGCAGCAAGGGCAUUGGUUAAACCAAAUGGCAUCACCAAAAAUUCAUAAUGACCAUAUCGAGUUUGGAAGGCAGUUUUCGGCACAUCACACUCUUUAACUUUCAACUGAUAAUACCCAGAUUGAAGAUCUAUCUUGGAAAAUAUUGCAGCACCUUUCAACUGAUCAAAUAAAUCAUCAAUAUGAGGCAAAGGAUAUUUAUUCUUUACUGUUACCUUAUUCAACUGCCUGUAAUCUAUACACAGUCUUAGAGAACCGUCCUUUUUUUUCACAAACAAGACAGGUGCACCCCAGGGCGACAUACUCAGUCUGAUGAACCAUUUCUCUAAUAACUCCUGUAACUGCGCCUUCAACUCUUUUAACUCGGCUGGAGCCAUUCUGUACGGUGUCAUUGAGAUAGGAGUUGUUCCGGCGAUCACAUCAAUUACAAAUUCAACUUCUUUAUCAGGUGGUAGACCGGGUAACUCUUCAGGGAACACAUUAGGGAAUUCAUUCACUACUGGCACUUGUUUGAGCUUCAAACCAGAACCCUGAGUAUCCAUGAUAUAGGCCAAGAAUGCUUCGUUGCCUUUGCGUAAUAACCUCUGAGCAGGGAGAGCUGAAAUAAUUCUGACUGUAUCACCCAUAUUUUCAGACCCAACUGAGAUUAUAUCUCCCGUUUGACAUUUCAAAUUGAUCUGUUUAUCACGACAAUUCACUACCGCAUCAUGUCUCACUAACCAGACCAUCCCAAGAAUAAUGUCAAAUUCUCGAAAAGGUAACAACAUCAAAUCAGCGGGGAAUUCAUAGCCUUUCACUUUUAAUGGACAAUUACGACAUAUCAAAUUAACCAUCACACUUUGACCUAAUGGGUUUGUGACUUGUAUAUCAAAUUCAAUGGACUUAACAAAUAAUUUCUUUUCAGAUGCUAACAUAGUGCAAAUAUAUGAAUGAGUAGAUCUAGGGUCUAUCAAUGCAUAAACAAUAACAUCAUAAAGAUAGAAAGUACCAACAAUUACAUCAGGAGCCGUAGCCUCUUCCCUUGCUCGAAUGGCGUAGGUACGUGCUGGUGCUCUAUUCUUUGAUCGACCAACUGAUUCCCUCGUACCCGAACGGGUAGUCCCUGUAGCACUGCUCUGGCCCGAAUGUCUACUUCUUUGGGGAAUGGUUCUCUGUAUCUCUUUCUGUUCCACUUCAUCUUUUUACAGUCGGGGACAAUCUCGAAUAAGAUGAUUAGUAGCCCUACAUUUUUAACAAGCCCCCAUCUUGGUCCUGCAUUCUCCGAAAUGAUAUCUUCCACAAUAUUGACACUUAGGCCGGGGAGCAUUCUGAACACCGCUCACACUUGCUGCAGGUCUAUCGAAUACCCUGAAAUCAGAUUGUCUUGGUCUAUCUCUACCCGAUCUUCCCAACAUUAAUGUAGUUCGACUAAUUUCUUCUCUAGAUUUCUUCACUGGCAAAUCUAAAAAUGACUUAGAAGCACCUCUUUUGAAUGGCUCUUUACUUUUUCGAUCCCGCUGCAUUUUUCUGUUGUAUACUUCUUCGAGCUUUUGAGCACGGUCUGACAGAACAACGAACUCUCGUAUUUCAUUACCCCCAAUCAUCAUUCUAAUUUCAUCAUUUAACCCUUCUUCAAACCUGAUACACAUUUCUUCUUUAGUAGGUACAAUGUCUCGGGCAUAUUUGCUGAGGUAAACAAAUUCUCUUUCGUAUUCAGCCACUGAUUUAUUUCCCUGGCGUAGGUCGAGAAAUUCCCUUUUAUUUUUAUCCAAAUACCGUCUGCCCACAUAUUUCUUCUUAAAUUCAUUUUGGAAAAAUUCCCAAUAAAUUUUCUCUGCUGGAACCACAGCCUCAAUCGUCUCCCACCAACUAUAAGCUUCUUCUUUCAAUAGGGACACAGCACAUCUCAAAUAAUCAUCUGGUGAGCAAACCAUUUCUUUAAAAAUUCUUAUCAAACUUUGUAACCAAUAUUCAGCUUUGACGGGAUCUUCAUUAGUCCUUCCUGAAAUUCUUCGGCUCCAAGUUUUUUAAGCUUUUCCAAUAGAGAACGCUUACUAGAUUCAGUCGUUGUAGGAGGUGGAGGAGUAACCGGGGGUACCAUCGAUGGAGCAGUAGGGGGAGGAGGUGGUUCAGCAUGAUUUCUUUCUUGCCUCAUUUCAAUAUACCACUGAUUCAUAAUCUCAUAAAUCAUAUUCUUUAAUUCUUGCUCUCGCAUUUGGGAGAUCGGAACAUCACUGCUUGUUCUUUGUUCAGAAUUAUGUAUUCUACUAUUAACUUAUUCUUACUUAGUUCGUUCAGGUAUAUCUGACAUCUUUAUAACUGGAGAAUAUCUAUAAAAAUAACAAAGAUUAGAUCGGAUCAUACGCAUCACACUAUCACAGAUUUAUAUGGCAUGUAUUUCUAAACACUUUACACUUCACACAUAUUCCGAGAACCGGCUAAACCGGGAUCUGAUACCAAUAAAAUAUAACACCCUUUACCCAAGACCGUUGCCCGAGUCGAGCAUGAGGCGUUACUUGACUUAACUUAAAAGUUCAGGGCAUAAAAAUUUACUUUCAAAAUUAAUUUCACCAUUCACAAUAAAGCUGUCCACCUGCGCAGGAGUCACUAAAUCAAUUAUAACUCAAGCUACGAAACUCAAAAUUUAGAUCCGUAAAUUUUCCCUAAAACUAGACUCAUAUAAAUAUUCACCAUAAAUUUUUAAGAAUUUUUAGUUUAUCCAAUUAGUAUAGUUUAUUAGUUUAAGUCUCCCUUGUUUCACUAAUAGACUACCCUGACCUCUCGUCACUAAAAUUCAAUUAUCUCCUUAUACAGACUUGACAUGGUGCUUCCAAUUAUUUUUACUUAAAAUAUACUCAUUAAGGAAUUUAAAAAUAUAAUUUAUAACUCAUAAUUACUUUUUUACAAUUUUUAUUGAAUUUCUAAAUUCAGAACAGGGGACUUCAAAAUCAUUCUGACCCUGUCUCACUAAAAUUCAAAUAUCUAAAAGUAUAUAACUCUUUUGCUUACUCUAUUGCUUUCAUGUGAAAGUAUACUCAUUCAGAUUUAAUUUCAUAUCUCACUUAACUUAUAAUUCUAUUUCCACUAUUUUUGGUGAUUUUUCACAGUUACAUCAAUGCUGCUGUCCAAAAACUGUUCCAUUGAAAUUUUUAAAAAAAAUUCAAUAUAACCCCUUUAUAAUUAUCUAACCUUCCCUGCAAAUUUCAAAUCACAACCAAUUUCAGUAUUUCACCUACUUCACUUAAAUACUAAUGAAGUUCAACCAAUCAACCAUUUCAAACUAAAAACAUGUAUAGUUCAAUGUCUAACACAACCAUCAUAUUCAAAUUUACUUUGCAUACUUAGUCAUUCAUUCUAUUACUUUUUACUUCAAUUCCCUAUACAUGCCAUAUAAAUCCAAAAAGUUGUUUAACAAAAUCUACCAGAGUAAAUCUAGAUAGUGUGAUUCUUGGUGUAGAUCCGAUCCUCCGAAUGUAUAAAUACGUCAAUCUACAAGAAUCAAUAAACACAUAAUUAAGCUUAUAGAAAGCUUAGUAAGUUCAUAGGCACCAAACAUAAAUCUUACCAAACAUUUAUACACUUAUACAUUAUACACCAUUACUAAGUUUACCUGUCAACCACAAUCUUUGGUGAGUUCCUUGUUAUAAACUCACUACUACUUAUUCUUUUACCAUAAUUCCUUUGGGCCCAUUUGUCACUUACCAUCCUUGAUCAAAAUUAAGGAACGGUUACGGAAAAUUGAGUACUUCACUUUCACUUUGCCAUAGUAUAACUAUGGUCUUACAUAUGAUCACUUAUCACUUGUCCUUGAUAAGAUAAGUGUAGCUAGGCUACCACUUAUCACUUUGUCACUUGAUCAGAUAAUUGUAGCUAAAGCUACCACUUAUCACUUUAUCACCACUUAUCACUUGUUCCUGAUCAGAUAAGUGUAGCUAAAACUACCACUUAUCACUUUGUCACCACUUAUCACUUGUUCCUGAUCAGAUAAGUGUAGCUAAAGCUACCACUUAUCACUUUGUCACUUGAUCAGAUAAGUGUAGCUAAGCUAUCACUUAUCACUUUGUCACUUGAUCAGAAGUACUCAAAUUCGGUGUUCCGCUCAAUUUGAUCAUUUAUUCAGUUUUCACAUUUUUAUUUUAUUCUCAUUUCAUCAAUAAAUAUAUAUAUUUCAGCAUACAUUAUAUAAUUCAUGAAAUUAACAUUUAAUCAUUAAAUUUCAGCCAUAUGAACUUACCUGGGUCGAUUUAUUGAAUUUGUAAAAGUUCAGGGACUAAUCAGCUACUUUUUCUUUUCCUCGACUUGUUUCGGGUUCUCAAUAUGAUUCAAAUAUAUGAAAAACCAGCUUGGAUGGACUCUUCAAUGGCGUUUUUUGCUGAGAAAUAUGAUGAAUUGCCUAGAAACUCUUUUAGUUAAGAUUUUUAUUUGUUAACUUUUACAAAAUUUCCAAUUUUGCCCUUAUUACAUCACUUUUUCAGAUUUUUCUUCUCUUAUGCCGUCUCAACUAUUCCAUAUUAGCAUAUUUAUGCCUUAAGUCCCUCCUUAUUUGCCACUUAAGCUGUUUAAUCACUUUUAACAAAUUUUACAUUAUUUUCAGUUUAGUCCUUUUUAAUUAAUUAACCACCCAAACGUUAGAAUUUUCUAACGAAACUUUAAUAUCAAUUCAAUGACACUCUAUAAAUGUUUCUAAAAAUAUUUAUGGCUCGAUUGAUGAGUUUGAGGUUUCGAUACCUCAUUUUUUAUUCUAAUUAUUUUAAUAUUUAUUCUUAGUAUACUAUUCACUAUUUUAAAAAUUUUCCUAACUUCGCAUUUAACUUAUACUCACUAAAUUAAUAAUAUUUUCUACUCAUUUGUCAGAUUUAGUGAUCUAGAAUUACCAUUCCGACACCACCGAAAAUUCAGGCCAUUACAUUAUGUUUAUUGACUCAUUUUUUCUGUUGACUGAAUUUCAGGUAACUCAUCGACUUAGGCGGGUCGGCAUGGCGAGAGCUCGGUCAUCCUUAUUUAGUAAUUUUCUGUUUAAAUUAAACUUAUGCUAUAGUUGUUUUAUCUUGAAUUACAGAUUGCAAAUUUAUAUUUCUACACUAGUUCAACUAUUUAAACAUUUUCUGACAAUUAAACUUUAAUUAGUUAAAAGUGAGAAUUUCUUAAAUGAUUUGUUGUAGCUUUCCAAGCUUGGUCCUAACAUCUAGGUCGGGUUUGGGGUGUUACAACCCAAAACCCCCAAACUUUCCCCUCAAAACUUUUACUCCCCCACCCUUUCUCUUUCUCGCUCACCCUCCCAAACCCUUUUACUUUUCCCCCAAAACUUUUACUUCCCACUUUUACCCCCAAAUCAAAAAUCAAAAUCCUCCCAAAAAAAUCCUUAAACCUAAAUAGUAAUAAUUUUAUUUAUGGCCACUAUUUAUAUUAUAAAUUAAAUUUCACAUUUUCUAUUAUUUAUAUUAUUAAAUUGUUUAAUCAUUUUGAAUCUUUAUCAAUUUCUGUUAAAACUGUAUCAUUGAUGAUGUCAUACAUUAUUUGUGUUAAAAAUUUCUAUUGGUAUCAAUUUCACAUUUUAUCUUUAAAAUAAAUUUUAUUAAAAAAAUUACUUUUUUACAUUUAAUAUAUUUUUUAAUUUCAAAAUAUAUGGUGACAAGAAUUAGAAGAUAAUUGAAGCAACUAAGCAAGUAAAAAAGCUAACAUGUAUAUAAAAGAUUAAAUAAAUUAUGAAGGGAUGAAAGUUAAUAACACAUUUGAUUACGGUGGACAAAUUUGAUAAUGAUGGGUGACAGUGGCUACAAGGAUCCAAAGUAAUUUUUUCAAUUAACUGGAAACAAAUAUAUUCGAUUCGAUUCGAUAAAAUUUGAAAUCAUUUUAGGAUGAUAAAAUAAGAUUCGUCAACUCGAUUAACUCGAAGUUUUUUCAUUUGAUUCGAUUAGACGCUCACCCCUACAAAGUAUGACCGAUUGGUCUGAUUCUGAAAAAAAUUGGUUUUGAUCAAUGAAAGAACUUUUACGAUGGCGACAGGUCUAACAAACAGGUGAUAUUUUGAAAAGAAAAUUAAUCUCCAUAGUCUCAACCUUAGGAGGGUGAAUUUUGAGCAUUGCAUUUGUUGUCAUUGUUAGACAUUAUAAAGGAAGAAAAAAGAAAGAAAAAAGUUAAAAUGAGGGAAAUUAUUGAAAAAAAGAGAGAAGAGAAUAAUUAAUUUUUUUUAAAAUUUUACAUGUCAAUCUAUUAUUGAUUAGAUUUUUUUAAUGAGUGUAACAUUUUGGUGUUAAAUGGAUAAUAAAAAAAUAUUUUAAGUAUCAUUUAUGAUAAAAAUAUUUAGGUAUCAAUUUGAAAAAAAUAUGUAGCUUAGAUACUAAUUGAUGGGUUAAUUUUUUUAGCUUAAUAAUUUGAUUAAACCGAAAUACCAACUGAAAAAAAGUUUACUCGCCGCUUAUGAAAAAAAAUAAGUAUGAAUUUGUAAGUUAAAUCUCCCUAAAAGAAAAAAUAUAUCACAUUCAAUACGGGGUGAAUGAAGCAAUGAAUGCAAUGGGGUAUUACAACCAGCCACAUGUCAUUCAAUUCAUGUUAUAUCUACCUUGUUGGCCCCACAGGCGGUCUUUUCCAUUAUUUUCGAAGUGAACGACAUGAGUCGGACCUAUAUCGGCCCCAACAAACAACCUCAACCACUUGUUUUGUUAGGUUGUUGACUAAUUUGAAUAUGUCGGCUCAAAGCUUUUUGAAAAUUAAAUUAUUUUUUAUAUUAAUAUCAUAUAGGUAUAAAAAUUUAACGUUUUGUAAAAAAAAUAAAUUUAGUGUUAAAUUUAAAUAAUUAUAAAAAAUUAUACAAAAUACAAAGACAACUUAGAGUCAAUAAAAAAAAUAUGGAAAAUCAAUUCAUACAUGAAAUGGCAUAAAAAUAUUAUGAACACUAUACAAAUAUAUGAAUGUUUUUAUAUCUAUAUAAAAUAAGUUAUUAACGCUUAAAUUUCAACCAAUUAAAUAUUAAUUUAACUAUAAACUAUAAAAAAUUAAAAUUUCAUUUACCCUAAACAAUUAUUCUAAUUUCGCCCCUGUAUAAAAUAGUUGUAAUAUUAAAAAAAAAGUUAUACGAAUAUGGAGUGUUAAAAAAAAAGGCUUUCAACUUUUAAUAUUCCAAACAAAUAAAAGAAAUAAUAAUAACAGUUUACAAGUGCAAUAAAAGUAAUACAUAUUUGAUGAAUUAAAAAUAGAAUAAAUAUAACUAACUAUAACAGAAAUAUAUUUAGAUUUAAACCAAAUUUUUUUGAAGAUGAAAUUUGAACUCACAAAUAAUAUUUAUAAAUGAUGAUAUGUUUUAGAACAUGUAUAUUUUAAUUUCAUUUGAUAUUUAAAUUAAAUGAAUGAAAUGAGUAUAUUAGCAUAAAUAUAUUGAAUUUCUAGAUUUAUUAAAAAUCCAACUAAAUAGAGUAGAUCCAUAAAUUUAAAAAAUGAUUAUGGAUUUUGAAAUAUAAAUCUAAAAUUUAAAAUCUGAAACCCUCCUAAAUGUUUUCCAAAGUAAGGCGGGGAUAAAUGGUAUAGGGAAGACGGUGGGUAGAUAGAUGUACGGUUUAUUUAUAACUUCGUUUUUAUUAGUCGGCUUACAGUUUCAUAAAAAGCAUCCGUGCAAGGCAUGUUCAAAUGCUGCACUAGCAUACCACUACUAUAAAAAAAACACAUACAAGAGCACCACAAAUUUAUCCCAAAAUACAUUAAAUAAAUGACUCCUAAGGGUGCCAGAUUUAACUAGUGUGUCUGGGAUUGUAUUAGCCUCUCUGAGGCCAUGUGAAAAAAUUUAAUGUUAUUGUUAUAUUUCCAUCUCGAUACGUUGCAAGACAUGAAGCAAUCUGUAAACAACUCUCUUUUGGAAGCAGUUUGCAUACGACUCUUCGCUAAGAACCAUUUGUUGUGAUCUUUCGCUUAGGAUUGCUCACAAAUGACCCCCAUGCACCCUAUCUCUCUCCCUCCUUAACUCAUCAUCUUGAACUCUCAUCCUAUUAUAGGUGAAUCGAGACUCUUCUCCUCCACCCUUUCCUCGUUGGUUACUUGUAGCAAAAAAAAUUAAUUUCACCGAAAAUGUUGGAGAGAUCCCAUGGUCUAAGUGUGUUGUUAGAGCAAAGCUCGAUGGCAAAUUUGGAGUCAAAUUUUAGAAUCAACCCUUUAAAAUCCAUUACACCGUAAAGGAAAAUUUUUACAAUUACAUUAACAAUAAAUAUUCAAAAUUUACUCAUCUAUCUAUACUUAUAUUAAGCCUUAUUUGAGUUGGAGUCAAGAGUCAACUAGGUACUAACUCAGUUGAGAAUUUACUAAAUAAUUUUAAUAUAAAGUAAAAAAAAUAUUAAUACGAGGGUGUUUUUAUCUUUUCAUAUUUUUAAAUAAAAAUACUAUAAUAAGAUUUAAACUUAAGUUUAAAAUUUCAAUCAAAACAUCACUUAAAUUUAAAAUAACAUUUUUAUAUAAAAUGUGUUUAGAUUCUAAGAUAAUGAAAUUUAUGAUGAGGUAUUCAAAAUGUGUUUGAAUAUGCUAAUGAGAUAUUCAAAUUGGUAUGCACAUUCCUAAUCAGGGAGCAUUAAUGAUAAUUUAGUAAAAUAAAUUAUCUCAUUAGCAUAUAGUUUAUUAUAAAAUUAUUGUGUAAAAUAAACAAUUCACAAACUUAAGAAUUUAUAACACAAAAAUUAUACAUCAAUGUUGUUAGAAUUGUAUUAUAUCCAUCGGUUGAAUUUAAAUUUAAAAAUUUAAUCAGCGAUAAUAAUUAAAAUCGUUUCAAACUAGUAAAAUAUUGAAAAUUAAGAACUAAUAAAAUAGAUUCUAAUUAUUUUUAUUUAAAAAAUGUUACCUUCUUAUUCAGGUUACAUUAAGACAAACCCAUCUUAAUUAUAAGUAUCAUAUUGUGAAUGGUAAACUUCUUACACAACAUCCACCAUUUGUCCAAAUAUGUUAAAUUAGGUGCAACAUAGAAAUUUUAUUGUAAGGAGUGAAUCUCAUUGUUUUUAUUUUCAUCAAACAUACGUCUAACUUUAUUAUUACGGGAUUAGAACUUAAAUUUGAUAAAUUGUGUGGUUUUAGGUGAUUUCUUUUCGUUAAAUUUAUCUAAAUCAACCUAACACUCGAAAAGUGAGAAUUCUCCUAAAAAUUCUUUAUGUUAGCAAAAAAUAUAGUGGAAGUAACUUGAAACGAAAGAGCAAUGAGAGAAUUGAAAAGACACAAGAAAAUAAUGCAUACAAGGUGUUUGAGUAAAUGCUCUCAAUAAAUUCUUUAACUCAAGAAGGAAUGAAGUACAACCAGUAUCUAGCCCCCCUAAAAUAGAAAAUUUUCCAUUUAUAUACCUUUAUAAUUUAUAAAAUUUAAAAUUUUACUUUCCCAUAAAAUGAUAAAAAAUUGAUUUAUUUCUUUAAAAAUUAUAAAGAUGACUAUUAAAAUAGUAAAAUUGUAUUUUUAUUAUUGUAAAAAUAUACAAUUUAAUUCUGUCUCCCAAAUUUUUUUUUUUUGGUUUCAUCCCUAAGUACAAUGAUCGUUGUAGCAGGAUACAUAGGCAUUCUAGCACAGAAUGCAAAUAUGUUGCCAAUUAACUUCGAGUCAUGGCAUAAAGUGCCCGAGAGUAACAAGAACCAAGCUCUCGAUAACAUUAAGGUAACAAAAUGUGUAUAUCAUUUAUAAUACUUGAGUUUAAGUUUCGUUUACAUUUACUUUCUGAAGUUGUGUUUUUUGUAGGGGAGAUUUGCUCUAGAGGUCUCCGAUGCUUAUGUAAAGAAGGCAUUGGGAAAAAGAUGGAGAGACCAUAAGAGCACUUUAAAGAAAGACUAUUUUAAGACAAAAACAACACUCGACGAGAGAUUACAAAAUGUCACGCCGGGAAUGCUGAGGUACCAGUGGGAAGAAGUCGUUAGAUUUUGGACUUCGAAGAAAGGAGAGGUAUGUGUUACUACAAAAAUCUUGUAAUUAUUUUGGUUUAUAGUAUUUACUAAUUAACGUACUAAUAAUUUCAUAACGUAGGAUCGUGAACGAGUUGGAACAAGUAGUAGGCAGAAACAAAAAUUCACGCACACAGCUGGGUCGAGAAGUUUUGCGUGUGUAGCUCAGGCCGAGGUAUUUUGAAUUUUUUAAUACUGGCAGAUAUUUAUUACUUUCUAUCAAAUAAUAUUUUUACUAUUGUAUUGUAGGAAGUGUUGUCGGGUCAAAAAGUUGGACGCCUUCAACUUUUUGACAUUACACAUAGGAAGAAAGAUGGAAACCCUAUGACUCCUGAAGCUGCAGAAAUUAUGGUACGUUUGCUUAAUACAAUUUGACUUGUUUUAAUUAUUUAUGCUGUUUAUUUUCUAAUGUUUUUUAUUACAUUUCUUGUAAUGCAAAUAUUGUUAAGUUAUGUUGCAUUUGUUUUGUUAAUAUAUGUUGCGUUCUUAACUAUGUGAUUUAUUUUUUAGGAAAAACUGAAGGAUAAAAAGGCGGAGUACGAAGCGAUUGCUUCCAGUGAUAGUUCUGUUCAUAUUGACGACAUUGAUAACCGGAUUAUCACUGAAGUUUUGGGUCCUGAAAGGUAUGGUCGGGUUCGAUUUCAAGGAUCUUUUGUUAACCCAUCCCAAUAUUUUGGAUCCAGCUCGCAACAAUACAUGCAUUCGGGGAGUCAGGCUCAAGCUGAAGUUCAGAGGUUAAGAGACCAGAUAGCUCAGAUGCAAGCGGCAACGAGUGAGCAAAUUACACAACUUAAAGCGGAGGCAACAUCGAGAGAAGCUGAGGUUCAAAAAAGAUAUGAAGAACUCCAGCUACAACUUAAAGCAGAUGCGGCAGCGAGAGAAGCAGAGGUAGCAGCGAGAGAAGCUGAGGUUCAACGAAAGUAUGAGCAACUGCAGCAGCAGCUUAAAGAAGAUGCGGCAACGAGAGAAGCAGCGGCUGCAGCGAGGGAAGUAGAGGCUGCAGUGAGGGAAUCAGAACAGCAUAAAAAGUUCGAUGAACUCCAGCAGCAGCUUCAGAAUAUGAUGAAGAUGUUUCAGCAGUCGCAACCGCCGUCAUCUUAGACUAUCGUUUAAAUAUACUUCAAUUUUGACUUUGGUAUUAUUAUUUUAACUUUUACAAUUUCUGUCAGAAUAAUACGAAUUUUAUUUUAUUUAUUGACAUUUAUUUUAAAUAUUAUAUAGAUUUGGUUAGAUUUGGUUGGUUGGAUUUGGUUUCUUCUGAUUUGUUUUUAUAGGAGGGGGCUGAAAUUUUUUUUUUCAAAUCUGCAAAAAUUAGCGGCGUUUUUUUGGAUAAGCGCCGCUAAAGACCAUCGUCUAUAGUGGAAUUUUUUGGCUAAGCGCCGCUAAAGACCAUGGUCUAUAGUGGCAUUUUUCGGCUAAGCACCGCUAAAGACCAUGGUCUAUAGUGGCGUUUUUUGUCUAAGCGCCGCUAAAGACCAUGGUGUAUAGUGGCAUUUUAUGGCUAAGCGCCGCUAAAGACCAUGGUGUAUAGUGGCGUUUUUUGGCUAAGCGCCGCUAAAGACCAUGGUCUAUAGUGGCGUUUUUUGUCUAAGCCCCGCUGAAAACCAUGGUCUAUAGUGGCGUUUUUUGGCUAAGCGUCGCUAAAGACCAUGGUCUAUAGUGGCGUUUUGUGGCUAAGCGCCGCUAAAGACCAUGAUCUAUAGUGGCAUUUUUCGGCUAAGCGCCGCUAAAGACCAUGGUCUAUAGUGGUGUUUUUUAGGCUAAGCGCCGCUAAAGACCAUGGUCUAUAGCGGCGUUGCAAAGAAAACGCCGCUAAAGACCAUGGUCUAUAGUGGCGUUUUUUAGGCUAAGCGCCGCUAAAGACCAUGGUCUAUAGCGGCGUUGCAAAGAAAAUGCUGCGAAAGGUCUUGAUCUUUAGCGGUGUUUAUUAUAAAAAGCGCCGCUAAAGUUACCGACGCUGUCAUUAGCGGCGAUCCUUGCGGCGCUUCGUAAAGCGCCGCUAAAAGUAUUUGCGGCGCUAAAAAAUGCCGCUAUAGACCUAAAAAAGCGCCGCUAAAACCCUGUUUUGGUGUAGUGUGAGAUGAUUACAAAUGAAGGGGGAGAUCUCUAUUUAUAGUUGAGCUCCCCUAGAUCCAAUAGUAUAGAUUGAAUUACAUCAACGAUUGAGAUUAGUACUUAUCUACAAGAUGAGUCUUAAGGAUUUUAAACUCUAUACAUCUUUAUCCCUUAGGAUUUACAUUAAUUACUCUGGUAACUCUAGUUUUACUGGAGAGUUUCACUGAACCACCAAAGGUUUAAGUAGAUGAGCUUCUCCAUAUGUUCCACGAGUUGGACAAGUUCAAGCGGAUCAAAUGAGCCCAAUUUAAUUAGUUAAUCUCAAUAAAACGUUCUAUGCACAAUGAUCAUGAACUUUGAUCCACAUCUCAAAAUGAUCAGAUGAAUAAUCUCUCUUAAUUAUAUUUUUAUAAAACUUGAUAUUUUCAUUUAAAAAGAAACACAAUCACAUAUAAUAAUGUCUCCAAAAGAGUCGUCCACUUCAAAGAUUUAAAGUAAUGUAAGAAUGAACCCAACAUUUUUCAAUUAAAAAUAUGUCGAUAGAUAUAGCAAGUUGUAUAACCUUUCAAUUACAAAACAGAUUUCAAUGGGGAUUGCAUCCGGUACAUGCAACUAAAGAACAGAACCGGUGCAUAAAUUGAUUUAAUUAAACUUUGGGUUGAGUAAUCAUGAUUUUCAUUAUUAUUAGACUACGUGAAUGUUGAUAUAAAAUGCUUGAGAGAAGGGUAUAGAAGAAACACAAAAUAAUGAGUGAUAUUAAUUUGUAGAUAAAGAUAAUAUUACAUAGUCGCAAAAAGCGACCUAGUACACAACGCACAACUCUAAAUUAGGAUAACUCCUCUGCUAUCCCUAUGGAUGGAUUUUAACAUCCAUAUUUAUUCUGUAGCUAUCGUUAUUUUGGCUUCCACUAGCUGGUGAACUUUCCAUGCCAAAACUUCACUUAACCCUGCAAAUGAAACAACAAAAAACACAACAUUAAAUGUUGAGCAAUUAAUAAGCAUAAGCAAUGAAACAACUCAUACGAACCUGCUGCAGUCAGUGCUAGGGCUGAUCUUGUAAGGGAUGUUGACACCGCACUUGCCUGGGAGUCCGCUUGCAAUACCAUAGUUGAUGCCAGGAAUGCCGGCGGCCGCACUUUUGAUGCAUUUGCAAGCUGCUUGCCGGUCUGGUGUUGUUUGGGCGGCGGAGUUGAGAGAUUUGAUGCCGCUGCAGCAACCUUGGGGAACGGCACCAGCACCAUUCCCUCUCAAGUAAUUAAUGCAGGGUGCGAGGGAGCCUGUGACUUGACCACAGGUUACGGUCCCUUGAGCCAGGGGUGCACCCACCACCAUGCACAACACCACCACACAUGCAAGCUUAAGGGACAUUGAGCUAGCCAUAUCGAUUAAUUACAAGAAAAACAAACUUGUAAGGAAAAUGCUUGCUUGGAGUAGUAGUAGUAUUGCUGAUUGUUGCGUGGUUAGGGCCCGAGGGUAGGAGGGUUUUUAUAGCCAAAAGUUUUGUGAAGGGAUAUGGAACGAACUGAGAAACACGUACGAAUAGAAUAUGGUUAGGCGUUGGUAGUUGUCCCAAUUCAAUGCCAAGGUUUCUUUUUUUCUUUUUCAUGUUUCAGCUUAUGGUUGAGUGUGUUUAAUGCUUUGAAAAAGGUUUGUAUCUACCACUUUCAUCUUCAUCACUAAUGCUGAAUUACUCCGUUGAUUAAUGCAUCAUAUUAGCCUUGUCCUAGUGUUACCGGUUUUCUGAUAUUAGUAGCUUUACCAAUAAAAGAUGCUAUCAAAUAUAGUUUUCAGGAUGAUAUUAAAAAUUAAGGUUUUUUAGUUACAAAUAAAAUUGUCACAUUAUCAAAUUUUAAAGAUAUGAAAUUAUUAUUAUAAACUCAUCUAUAGAGAAAUUAUUUUAUGAGCCCUUUCCACCACAUUAUUCACAGUCCAUUUUCAAUUAUUUAAUAAUAUUUCAACAAUAUUUUUCAUGUCAUUGACACAUAAUUUUAAUAAAUUUUUUACCCUGAACCUUGAGUCUAGAAUCCCAAACCCUAAAUAAAAAACUUAAAACCCCAAACUAUAACCCCAAACACUUGCAUCAUAAACUCGAACCGCGAACCUCAAACUCAUAAUCUGUAACCUUGAACCCAAACUUGUAAUCUCGAACCCUUGAACCCUUGAACCCUGAACCUAAACCUUGAACCCUGAACUCAAAGCCCAAAACCAAAACUGAACCCUGAACCUUAAAUCUCAAACCCAAACCUUAAACCUCGAGGUUUGGGUUCAAGGUUCAAGGUUCAGGGUUUGAGUUCAAGGUUCGAGGUUUAGGAUAAAAUAAUUACCAAAAUUUGUAACAGAAUAAAAGAGUUCGUUUAUAAUUUAAAAAGCAAUUAUUUUAAGUAAUUUAAUUAAAGUGAAAUUAAGUUAGAGAAAAUAUUAGAUAUAGAUGAGUGUAUAAUAAUACUUUAUUGUCUUUAAAAUUUAAUGACGUGGUACUAUUUUAUUGGUGCCUCAAACUAUACUUUUUAGAAUAAUCCUAAUACAAUUUAUUCCCAUAUUAAAUACGUAUGCUUUCUAUAUUUUUUCGAAAAAAUAAAUUUUAUUCAUAAACUUUCUAUAUAUAAAUAUAUGUUUUAUUUAAAAUUUAUAAAUACAGAAAAAUUAAAAUAUAAAUAUAUGUCAAAGUAGCUAUUAAGUGUAGAAUUAAACAAUUAUAACAUAUAAAUAGAUUAAAAAUUAGGACAAAAAAUCAAUCUAUUACAUAAAAUAUAAAUUAUGAAUGAAAACAAUCUAAAUUAUAGUCUGGCUAAUCAAACUAAAACUUACAUAUAACCAUAUGACUUUAAGGGUCUUGAAUAUGGUUACUUAAAAGCUUAUAGUUCAGCUUUUACCCACUACGUCAAGGCUUCAUUUACGUUUUUUUUAACCAUAUAUUUUUCAUAUAAUUAUAUAUAUAUAUUUUGCAUAAAAAAUCCCCAAGACGUUAAUUACUUCUAUAUAAUGUAGCGAUUAAGUCCUCAAACAAAAAUUGCUCAACAUCAAUGCAUGUAUAGAUCAAUUUUAUAUAUCAAAGACCAAUACUAUCUUUUUCUUAAAAAAAAAAAAAAACCAAUAUGUUGUGAUUGCUUAGCUAUUGUUCCUAAGUCUUCCUGAAAAAGGUUUCACAGCGAGAGGAGAAAAAAAAAAGUUGAACUUGUCUUGGUUUGCCCCAUAAUGAUUGAAGCAUAGACAAGAUUAUAAAUGUUAAUUUAGUAUACGACAUAAUAAUAUAAUAUAAUAUAUUUAAAUGUAUAUCUCCUCACCUCCUAGACGCUGUCAGUUAUUUUAUUUUUUGGGAUUCUUUUAACAAAAGGUUGAGCUUUUUAUUAGGUUUUAUUUGAUUUUUCAUUUAUUAAUAUAAUUUUUUUAUUUUUAUAUAUUUUAGUUAUUAUUAAUUUUUGUUGGAAAUUUGUACGGUCUUGUUCUAACAACAAUUACAACAAGCUUUUUGGAACAAUCAAAAGUUUUGGGUGUUGGCAUGUUUGACUUUUAAUGGCUUAUGUUUUAAUAUUAGUUAACAACAAAUGAUAAGAGAAUUUCAUGGUAAAUUAGAAUAUAAUUAUCAUCCAUUUGAUUAGUCUUGAAGAGGAAGGAGAGGAGUUUUAACUUUGGUGGACACCCAUCCUUAUCCUUGUCUUUUAGAGUGUUUGAAGCUAUUGGAGAACUUGGUUUUAAAGAUUUUAUUUGAUAAAUAUUCAAAAUAAUUAAUUUGAUAAUUUCAACUUUUAAAGGAGAGUUUAAAACUUAUCAAAAUAUUAUUUGAUAAACACUUGUAGAGGCGUAUAAAUAGGCAACAGUGUGGUGUAACUUUGUUUGUUGUUUUGGAGUGUCUUAAACUUUUAUUUUUUUGCUAUUCCAUUGGGUAACUUUAUGACACUCUCUUUUUAGGUAUUAUUUGGAGAUGUUUAGUAAUUGUAUUGUGAGGAAUUUGAGUGAGUGAUUGCAUUGAAGAAAUGCGACCUAAAUGUAUAUGUUAAACUCUUAUCUAGGACAUAAAUUCCAUGAACAAGGUACCCAUGUUAAUAACAUGUCACCACUUCGCAUCUUUAUGGUAUUGACCCUAUGUAGUUAGACCCUAUAUGACGUAAACAACACUUAUAGUGUGCACGAUAUCGUAGGCUUGAACGUUGAUUGAAUGCAACCUAUAUUUUGGUGCCUUUGUCGGAAAUGAUGUAUGCAUCGGGUUGCGGUACAAAUGCCUUCUCAGGUUAGUUAAGAAGAAAUCCCAUUCAUCAUUGGAUUCUUCAGGAGUUAUUACAAAAGCUAUUGGCAGGAUUUUUAGGUUACCAUCUUAUGCAACAACUACUAACAACCGAUGGUCGCAUAUUCUAUACAGGAAUGUGCCGUUAAUUUGGAAAAGUGGCUUACAGUACCAAAAUGUAGUUCUGCAUUGCUUAAAAGUCCAAAAGCAACGGUGGAAAACUCCUUUUCCAGGGACCAAGCAAUCGUCAUAAUACGCAGGCUCCAUUUUUAACUUGGUUACAGAACCUAGUAUGUACCACUCUAGUAUCUAACACCAUUGCCACAAUUUAUAGUAGGAUUUCUCCCACCCUCUAUUCAUUUUCUCCAAUGCCUUCUAUUUUUGCAACUAUGUCUUAUGCUAGGACAUGGUGUAAUCGGAUUCUCUACAGAUGUGUGCGAUCAAAAUUGGGACCAGAAUCGUAGGACUUGCUUUUGCCAUGGGUAAUAGAAUUUUAGAUAUCAUGUCUAAAUCUAAUUUUGGAUGAUCAUUCGAUAUGCUUGAAAAACAAGAAAUCAAGUCACUAUGUGUAAUAGAAUGUAAAAAAAGGCUAGGAUUCGAGUCGAUGUUGUUAGCCAUAUUACAUACCAGCUACAACACAUGUAUGUGGCACGAUAAAUUUCCUACGUUUAAAAUGCCAACUUCUUCGUCAUAAAUGCCAUGAUUUUCCAUAGACAUCUUGUUGCACGCAUUGUGCGCAUCGCCUUAUAUUUCUCGGAUUGAGAGCAUGUAAUAGUGAAGUUGACACCAAGUUGUAUGCUAUACUACUUGAUUGUAGCUACAAAAGCAUAUUUGGAGUCAAAUUCCAUCCCAACCUCUAAGUGGUCGAAAUUUGUUGAUGAAGUCGCAUACCUUAGUCUUCUACGGGGGAGGUCUGGGAAUUCUAAAACCACUUUCACUAGUAAGACUGAGAGUACGCAUAUGGGGUGGGGGUUUGUAUUUCGUGAAACUUAGGUCAUCCCCUCGAGCGAUGUCUAAAGCUUGACCAUUAGAUCCAUCGUCUUCUAGUUCAGUAGGAAUGGGAUCUAGUUCUAAAAUUACUACAAUUUCGCACCAUCCAGUCCAACCACCUCUCCUGGGUCAUUAUCUGAUUUAGACCCCUCUUUGACCACUUUGUUCUCUUGUCCCUCUUUGUUAUCAACCCUGGUUGUAAGUCCAGGGUUGGAUGUACCCUCUCUGGUCAAAGUUGUCAAGAGUAGAUCAUUCAUUCUUGUAAAUCCGAUGUCAAUCCCAAAAUCAAUUCUGUUUGGCCUACCCAGUAACUUGAUGGUGUACCAUAUGAGUGUUAUCGAGGUUGAACAUAGGUGUGUCAAAGUUGAAACCAAAGGCACUGAUAGAAUGUUGUGCGGCUGUGUUGUAGGCCUGGUGACCGAAUACGUCUAACUAUCCCCCGAAGUUGAAAUCGAGGGAUGAAAUCGAUGAAUGCCUCACCAUUGAUGAUGUUAAUAAUGUGUCUUUGUAUAAGCUUUGUAGAAAUGAUCUGAAUCCACAACAAAACCGUGUGGCCAGACUUUUUGCUUCUUGAUUUGGCUAGAAAUUUGGCGGACACGGUAUAAUCGAGCUUGGGCCACCUUUUUCCUCUUCAGCAAAGACUGUAUAUUCUCACUAGAGUAAUGAGUUUCGAUCACUGUCUUCAAACCGUUGUCCCCUGUGAUCUGAAAAAUGGAAUAUCUAACGGGGUUAAAUGAUGUUAGAUAUCUACAUUUCAGGCUCAAAAUUCUUCUUCAGAUCCCUACUUUAUGCCUAAACCUUGUUCAAAGCUCUUUUAACGUUAUGCUCUAGUUGAAUGUCAGAUCUUUAGAUUGGGUUGAUACAAAAAUGGGCUCAAUUUCAGCCUCACAAUUUUGACCGUUGUAAUGGACAAUAGCUCUGGCUCGUCUCCUCAUCUUGAACCAAAUAUUCUAUUCCACAUGUUUAAAAUCGAGAAAAUUGUAAAAAUAUAGUUCUCAUCACCCAAAUCCCUAAAUUUACACUUACUUUAAUGAAAUACCUUUGCUUCGACAAUAUUGUCAGUAUAAAAUUUUUGUUUUUUACUACAACAUCGAUAACUCCUAAUGCCAACAAUCUGCUUCAAACAUCUGUAUGGAAAAUCCAAGAAUUAUAUUGAGUUUUUUUAUAGAGCCUUUUCCUCGACGCACAUGAAACGAUUCUAGCAACAACACAUGUCAAGGCAUUAGUUGUUUUUGAGGUAUACACUAAAAAUUAAAAUUUGUGGGGGAGAAAACGUUCCCCGCAACGAUGUUUUUCAGCACCUAGACAUAGCAUUGAAAUUUAUCCUAGGAAUCCCGGGUUGUAGGGGCUUAGAGGUUGAAGCAAUCAAGUUGGCUUGGGUAUUGAAAGACCAUAAAGAAAAUGCCUAUUGCAGGAAGCAUUUCCACCUGACUUGGCAAUCAAAAUGCCUCCUGCAGGACGCGUUUUCCAGCCACAUCUCUGAUAUGUUAGUCGAAAACGCAUCUUGCAAGAGGCGUUUGUACUGCCAUGUUAGGUAAAAACACUUCCUGCAGGGAACAUUUUCUUUAUGGCCAUUUCAACACCCAGGCCAACUUAAUUGCUUCUGCCUCUGAGCCCUUACAACACGGGAUUCUCGGGAUAAAAAAAUUUCCCUUUUUACCCCACCCCAUCCCUUAUAUAAAUGCAUGUUCUCAUCCCCUACUCACCCAUAUCUCAGUCUCCUUUAAAUUAUUUUUUUCUUUUUCUUCCGUGUUGAAAUUUUCAAGUUUAAAGAUUUAUUUCUCUCACACUUUGAGGGGGAUGUAAUCAUAGUUUUAAGUUGUGUUUGAGUUCACAAUAAUGUCGUGGCGCUUGAUAACUUACAAAUUUCACUUGUCGUGUGAGUAUGGAGCCAUCACUUGAGAAAUCGAGAUCGCUUUGCAACUCGAGGUCCAAGUUGACGGUGUAAAUAAGGCUUCAAGUUUACAAAGGUUAUGCUAUUAAAAGGAUGGAGCAAAACCGGGACUGUAGUUGAUGAUGGUGAUGCAAGCACAAGAACUAGUUUUUCCUCAUUGGAAGAGCAUACUUUAUAAAAUCCAUAUACAAGUACGAGGGAGAAAAUCACAGGGGUCUUCCAGUAUAAUCAAGUAAUUCAUUUUAUCCUUUUCCAGCAAAGGCAAUGACCCUGUUACUAAAACCUAUUACAUCCCAAUUCUAUCAUAGGUAAUAGUAACGGUGUCACUGUCUUUGGUGGAGAUGGAUAAAAAAAUUUACUUAAUUAUACUGAGAUACCAUUGCAUUUUUCUUCCUCGUACUUGUGUAUGAGUUUUAUAAAGCAUCAUUUUCUAAUGAAAAAAGUUUUUUGUCGUGCCCGCAUAACCAUUGUAAAUUACAGCUCCAAUCAUACUCCGUCCUUUGAUAGCGUAACAUUUUGUAAACUUGAAGCUCUAGUUACACUUCAAUUUCAGACCGUAUAAUCACCCUUAACUGGGACCAUGAGUUGCAAUGCGAUCUGGCUUCUCGGGUGAUGGCUCCAUACUCACAUGACAAAUGAAAUUUGUAGGUCACCUAACUCCACGACACCACCAUAAAUUCAAACAUUCCUUAAAACUAUAACAGUGUCUAUCUCAAACAAGAAUGAAAAUAAAUGUUCAAACUUCUAAUUUCAAAUUGCAAGAAAAAAAAAAGAAAAAAAUAAAUUUUAGCAAAGUAAAAAUGGGUCCUACCGGCACAUUUUCAUUGCCACAUCAAUGAAAAUACACCUCGUACGACACGUUAUUCUUUCUUCGUAAACAAUGUAAAUCAAUAAAUUUAAAAAAAAAUUAUACAUUCUCAAAUAACUCUUUUUUUCAGCAUUUUUGUUAAAUUUAUCCCAUAAUACUGCUACUUCUUGUUUCCUGGGUUAUUUUUAUUACUGCUGGUUGUACCACCCUCCUACUGUGCGCCGGUUAUAGCAACUCACUCAAGAUUCUAAAUACUAAUAUAAACACCAUUUCUUUUAUUCUUAGUUUUUUUAGUGAUUAACGUGGUUUUAAUUAUCGUUAGAUCACGUGGGUGUUUAUAUGAAAUGCUUGAAAUCGUCACGCAGGACAAAAAAAAAAAAGAAAAAGAAAAGGAAAUGAAGAGUAUAUAUAUAGAGGAAACAACUAGUGAGAGUGAUAUUAAUAUUUAGAGUAGGUAAAGAUAGUAUUAUAUAGUCGCAUAUGCGACCUUGUACAUUACCACUAACUCUAAAACUAGGAUAACUCCAACAAUGAAUAGUACCGCUAUGGAUUUUUAACAUUCAUUUUUAUUCUGUCGACAUCACUAUUUCCCUUCCAUUAGCUGAUCCCAACUUCCAUGACCACACUUCACUUAAUGCUGCAAAUGCAACCACACCAAACAAAACAUUCAUAAAUUAAUAAAUCAAUUGCCAUAAGCGAUAAACUUUGGGUCAUUUUCUUUUUCCGUAAUUUCAAAGAAACCUAGUUUAAAUUAGAUACGAACCUUUUGCAGUCAGUGGAAGGGCUGAUCUUGUAAGGGAUGUUGAUACCGCACUUGCCUGGGAGUCCGGCUGCAGUGCUAUAGUUGAUGCCAGAAAUGCCGGUGGCCGCACUUUUGAUGCAGCUGCAAGCUGCUUGCCGGUCUGGUGUUGUUUUGGCGGCAGAGUUGAGAGAUCUGAUGCCGUUGCAGCAAGCUGGGGGAGCAGAACCAGCACCAUUCCCUUUCAAGUAAGCAAUGCAGGGUGCGAGGGCGCUUGUGAUUUGACCACAACUUAUGGCCCCUUGAGCCAGGGGUGCACCCACCACCAUGCAAAACACCACCACACAUGUAAGCUUAAGGGACAUUGAGCUAGCCAUAUCAAUUAGUCACAAGAAAACAAACUUGUAAGGAAAAUGCUCGCUUGGAGUAG
rnacentral:lncRNA from 1 species